rnacentral:lncRNA from 1 species
UCUGAAUGUUGAGUUAAAAGCCUUUAAUCAUACAUAUGAUCCCAUCAUCUGAACAUUAUUUGUUAAUAAUUAUGUAGAAGAUCUAUUAACUAAUGGAUUGAAACAAAAAAACAAAAAAAAAACCAAAACCCAAAAAACCUCUCUCUAACUUUCUCUCUCUAAAAAUUCUCUCAACUCAUCUCUGAUGCCCUUCUUUCUUCAUCAUCCCUAAACGGCCUUUAUGGCCCCUUCGGCCGCCGGUGAUGGCGAUCGGUCAUCACCGGUAAACACACUACCCCCGAGAAGAGUUUCACAGGUUCUUGGAUCCACCUGGGAAAUCUUUUAGGAAGCCUCCAAAAUUCACCAACGAACCACCACCUGACCUAAGGCUACCAUCACCACCAGAACCUAAGCCGAGACGAUCAAAGAGAUUACUCAACCAACGGAAAACAGCCCAUAAUCCACAUAUACAAUUACCACAUACCCUUACGAACCACCCUGAAGGAGAGUCACCACCAACAUCCACUGCCUCUAUCCUUUCUAAACUUCGUCAGCCAUCGAUUACGGUUAAUGAUCAAGAAGAAAUGUCAGAAGAUCAUGAACAAGGCGCUCCACCUCUCCAUGCAAAUAGCUUCCAUGGCGGCCAAGAGGAUGAAGAAAAUCGCCGUGAGGAAACAAAUCAGUCACCCCCUCAUAAAGGUAAACACCGAAGUCAAUCUCCGACCAAAGGCUUCACCUCCAACCAUGAACAAUCGCAACUUGGUAAAUCUCAAGAUCCAACCUCCAUCGCCCUUGUACAAGAUCCACAACAACUCACGGCUGUUAACCUUGUAACCACCGUGAAUAGCCAAGAUGAAGCUUCUCAACCACCCUUGGAUUGCACACCUUUUGGUCCAAAAACGGCAUCUCCCAAAAGUCAGCAAAGAGAACUAGCUUUAGUCCCACUCACAUGCAAAAUUCCCGAAAUUACCUCACAAAUUUUGACUACAUGCAAUCAUGCCCACCAUUCUCUACCAACGCCAACACAUUCCCAUUUUUUUUUUUUAAAUUAUUAUAAAUUUGAAAUAAAUUAAUAAUCAACAAAUUAUUAUAAUAAUAAAUAAAUUAAAGAAAAUGAAUAUUUUAAAGUAAAAUAAUAAAUAAAGCAAAUAAAAGCUCAUAACUUUAAUUUUUUUAAAUAUUGGAUUCUCUCAUUCCAACGCUCUAUUAAUUAUUUCACACAAAAGAGAGUUUAAUAUCAUAAUUUUAACUUUUUGAAUCAUUAUUAAUUUAUAAAUUAAGAAUUUAAGUUUUUUUUAAGUUACUUUUUAAUUUUAAGUUACUUUUUAAUUUUAAUUAUAUUAUUCUAAUUUAUAAAUUUAUUUUUUUAAAAAAACUGUGGGUCUAGGCCUAGCCCGAACUUUUUUUGCCCACCCGACCCACCACUCACACCUCUUUCCAUGUUUCGACCCCCACCACUCACAUUUCUUUGCAUGCUUUGGCCCCCACCAAUCCACAAACACAAGUCCACAAACAAAGCCCUACCAACUCUUAUCAUGGAAGCCCACCACAUAACCACUCAAACCUUCAAGCCCAUAUUCAACAUUCAGCAGCCCAUUCCAUAAAUAACAAAACACAAACUCUUAACCCACGAGCCCAAAAUCAAAAGCAACCCAUUCAACUCCAGCAAGGCCAAUCCUCCAAUUUAAGCCCACAAGUUCAAAAUCAAGCCCAAUCAACUAAUCCCUCUAAUCCAUUAAACCAUAACCAACCUCAAAGUCAGCCCACUUCUAUUCCAACAUAUGCUUUAGUUUUGAAUUUCGCUCCUAAUCGGAAUUCAAAUUGGCCGAUCAAAAAAAUCUUUGCUAAUAUUAUGAAUGGAUCCACAUCUCCAACAGUUCCCAUCAAGACCAUCUCUUCAUACGAGGGAGAGCCCAACGUACAUUUUUCUGUAGUGGAAGUCAAAGCGAUGGCUAUUCCAUUCAAACUGACUUUAGUCGUAAGUUUUCCUACAAUCGCCCUUGUAUGGAAUUAAUUUGAAAUUUUUUUUUCAUCAUUGGGAUUAAAAGGAAAUUCUCAAAUUUCUCUCUUAGAUAACCGUCAUGUUUUAAUUAAAUUGGAUGUCGAGGAAGACUGCACCCGUCUGUGGGUUAAGCAGACAUGGUACGUUAGUGGAAGUGCCACGAGCAUAUUUAAAUGGACCACAUAUUUUUGGUAUUCUGAGGAAUCGCCCGUUGUUCCGGUAUGGAUUUCACUUCCCUAUUUGCCUAUUCAUUUUGUGCAAUGCACGGAAGCAUUAUUUUCUAUUGCAUUAGUAAUUGGUAAGCCUUUUCGAAUCGACCAAGCCACUGCCUCAUUAUCACGACCCUCUGUAGCUAGGGUUUUAAUAGAAUAUGAUGUCACUCAACCACCGCUAUGACAGAUUUAAAUCGGUGUGGGUAACUCUGGAUUUUGGCAGAAUGUAGUGUAUGAGAAAAUCCUACUUUAUUGUGCUUCAUGCAAGCAUCUUGGCCAUGAUGUUGAGACAUGUUAUGUUGCCAAUCCAGGACUUCGUCCCCAACGGCCAAAUGGGACCAGUCAGAAUAGCAAGGAAAAGGGUAAGGAAACAAGAGAAGCCUUCAGACACUCCACAACAUACUCCCAGUCCAAACCCAGAGUGUUUGAGCUUGGCCCUGCAGAUCAUGGACACUGGGUCUCCGAUCACCAUGAUUUCUCCUGUGGAGAACUAAGCUGAUAAUACAGGAGCCAUCGACGUUCAGGAUUCUAGAGCACAGGUUGAGCCAAGUGAUCAAGGCGUAUCUCUCCGACAGACCAUCAGGACUCUAGAUUAUCGGGCAUCUAAAUGCUUUCGAUCUUUAUCGGAUGAUUUUGGCAUGACAGUUGUGGGCUUCAACACCCACUUUACCGAUAUUCCUGCACAAUCUGACGAGGAUAAUCGUGGGGAUGAGCUUCAACAUUUUAGGUAUCUUGUGAACUGCAAUUUCAUAACAACGAACACGACGAGUUCUCGGGCCAUGAUGGUUCCUUCCUGUCUGCACCUGAGGACACCGAGAGACAUGAUCUGAACCCUAACUUUAGUGUUACUCAGGAACAUUCUAGGAAGGGCUUCAAAUUACUCACCGGUCGCAAAUAUCAAAAAUAAUUUUCUGGUAGACUUCAUUAGUAGCGGAUCGACAUUUGUAUUUUAGAUAUUAGGCUUUGCCUUAGUUGAAGCAGUUUCAGGUUGUUCUAUUUCUUUAACUUGGAGGUUUAGGUUCAUGCCCUCUCCAUAUGUAUUUUUUCAUUUAUCGUUUAACAUUACAGGUAGGGGGAAAAAAACUAAUGGAUUGAAACAUUAAAUAACUUGAAUUUAAGAAUAAAAGCCUCAAUUUUAAACUGUUAAUGCCCGAAAAUUAAAGGAAUAUGUUUAUCGAAUCAAGAUUAUAUAUCUUCAAUUUCUUUUAAUUUACAAAUAAUUGUAGGUAUUGAAAAAUGUUUUAGAAAAAUACCAAAAUUUCCAAAUUAAUAUAAUAAUAUUUUGAAAGAAAAGAGUUUAUUUUUACUAUUACAUUAUCUUGUAAUUACCUACUCCCCAAUCACCCACCUUCGCACUCUCAGCUACUUAAUUCUUUACAUAUACAUUACAUAUAUAUUAAAUCAGACCAGAAGCAAGAACUCGCAAAAGCAACUUAAUUACUUUAAAUGUUUUAUUCCGGAAGCCGAUGCCUUUUCUGAUUUGAAGAUUAUGGAAGGACUAGGAUUCUUUUCUUAUCUGAGCUCUCUUAAGCUUUUAAUAAUCUUAUGUUAUUUGUCAUUUAAUAAGAGUGGAUGGAUAUAAUUUAACUUCUUUAUUUUUUUUAUUUACUAAUCACCAAUCAACGCGUGAAUUUGUAUUUAGGAGAAGUCAAAUCAAGAGAGGAUCUCAAAGCAUUAUCGGAAGCUAUAUGUGUAGGUUUUUCGACCAAUUUCAAUUGAAUAUUGUUUUUUAAUUCUUAUUUUGAUAUGUGUAUUUAUGAUUAAGUUUUCAAAUAUGAAUUUUUCUUGGAUAAUGAUUGGUGGAAGAGGAUCGUCCUAAUAUUUCCUCGUCUCAAUACUGCUGACGAUGACAUUUGCUAGUGACAAUCUUGAUAUAUAUGUUGGCAUUCAAUGUAAGAGAAAUCUCGACCAUACAGGUUAACUGCAAUGUUACUCUUUUAUGUUAUGUUUAAUUAAAUAAAAGAGAGAUUGCCAAUUUUCUUCUUACUAAAAUAAAUAUAUACCACUUACCACACUAUUGUUUCAUAAUAGCCAAUAAUCCCCCUAACAACAUAAUUUUACUGUAUUACUUUUAUUUACAAAUACACUUCUAAUCUAGAUUUGCUUAUUUGCUACUGAUGCAAUUCUAAAGCUGGUUAACAAAGCAGCUAGUGAUCAUCAUUGUUAGCAAAAUAGAGAGAGCUAUAAGAGAGAGAAAGUUCUAGCUUGUUUUCUAUAAUCUCUUAUAAUUUCUUUAUAAAAGAUUCUCUAUUGAUCGUCAAAAAAAAGAUCACCAAAAAACUUCUCCCGUGGAUGUAGGUUGUGCCAAUCUUGGUACAGCUGAACCAUGUAAAUUCAAAUCACUCUUUGGUUCUUGGAUGUGAUUGUUUUCAAUUUGGGGUUUUGUUUGUCAAACUUGUUGUUUUGAAUUAGAAUGGGAGCCUUGCUUGUUACUUAAGGAUUAGAAGAUGCAACUGAACCAGUAUCCAAGAAAGAAGGAAAAGAAGUUCCAUCAUCCAAGCCUUGCUUGUUUCUCGUGAUUGAAGUGCUAGAUACAAAAAUCUGUCAUUCAUUUACAUAGGAUUACAUCGUUUCCCUUAAAUGUAAUUGUUUUACUGGAUAUUUUGGUAAUACAAUUUUUUUUUAAAAAUAAUGGUUGUCAAGAGUAUUUGGAUAGGUUUAAAUAGCCCCUUGCUUGAUUGUUUAAAACUUUACUUAUGCAUUCUCUGUCUAUGCUUGAUAAACACUUUCAUAAUAUGUAGAAAUAUUUUCACUAGUUAAAUUCCCUUUAAAGUUUAUAUUAUCCUUUACGAUGUUAAAAUUUUAAUGACACUUUUUUAAAAUUAAAUGAGACAUCUGCAUACAAAUGAACUAAUUAUAAUUUAGACAAUUGUCAAAAUUUUAGCUGACGAUAAUUGCUACAUUUAUUUGUCAAUUUCAAUUAACAUCUUAAACCAAGAGAAAGUUAUAUGAAAAGUUUAUAAGAGAUCCACAGGGUUAAAAAAGGAAUGGGACUAUUUGAUCUCAUAAUUUUUCUUUUAACAUUUAUUUUCUUAAGAAACCCAUUAUUAAAAUUUAAAACUCGAGUUUUUACUCUAGACACCCUCUAUACUUCAAAAAAUUACCUUAAUUGAAGAUAGACGCUUCAGUUACCUUUUUCCUUCUUGCAAAAUUUUUCUACAUUGCAACCACUUUUUAUCACUUUUACUGUUGUUCUCACUUUUUUGUUUCAUCUCAACAACAUAUUUAAGUUGUUCUCUUUCCAAACCUCCAUGUGAUCACGCAUAUUAAUAAGGAGAAUGAGAUAAAAAAAUUUAAUAUGUCAAAAAGUGGCAUGCCGACACCACCAUUCUAGAAGGCGGUGCCCACUAUUGUUAGAGUAGGAGGUGUUGCCGUGUUGCCUCCUUCUUCGACCCAAAGAAAAAGACAAAAUGUACAGUGACGAAUAAUAGCCAUUGAAGGAGGAGGUGUUGCCUCCUUCUUUACCCCAAAGAAAAACCCAUAAAAUGUACAGUGACGAAUAAUAGCCACUUGGUGGCUAUAAAUAAAGAGGUUCAUUCCCUCAUUUGAUUCAUCCCCAAAUUCCUCUUCAAUUAUUAGACAAAAAUAUAGAAUUGUACGGGAGUUUGGGAGUUUUAAUACUCUUGUGUGAUUAGUGAUUUAAGAGAUUCAGUGUGUUGGGGUUCUGGGUAGUGAGCCAAAAAUAUUACAGUACUUGCUACCCUCAUUUCACUAAUAAAGUUUUAUCCUUCUAUUUUUGCGCAUGAACGUGAGCUAAAAGUUGAACCAAAUGUUUUCUAUGUAGUAAUUUCUUCCAAUUUCAUUUUAGCUAUGGGCCUGCUUCACACAUCAAUUUCCUAACAGUGAUAUCAGAGCUUCAGCUUGUAUUUUUGGGUUAGGGCACUAUUCACACAUAUGACACUGUACUGUUCAUGUAUAUGGUUACUGUUCAUGUGAAAUGGUAGGAGCCGCAACUCAUUGUAAGAAACAAUGGCGAAAAAAUAUGAAAUUGAGAAGUUCAAUGGAAAUAAUUUCUCAUUGUGGAAAAUGAAAAUAAAGGCUAUUUUAAGGAAAAACAAUUACUUGGCAACAAUUGAAGAAAGGCGUAUGGAGAUAACUGAUGAUACCAGGUGUAACGAGAUGGAUGGUAAUGUAAUUGCCGAUCUACAUUAACACUAGUUGAUGAAGUGUUAUCUAGUGUGGAGAAGAAAAAGAGAGUAAAGAAAAAAUAUGGGAUACUCUUAUAAGACUGUACAAGGCCAAAUCAUUACACAAUAAGAUUUUCUGAAAGAAGAGAAUUUAUACUCUUCGAAUGGUGGAAACCACAUCAGUGACUAACCAUAUCAACACUCUCAAAACUCUCUUUUCACAACUUACAAUGUUGGGUAAUAAAAUAUAAGAAAAUAAGUGUGUAGAGCUUCUACUUCAAAGUCUACCAGAUUCGUACAAUCAACUUAUCAUCAAUCUGACGAACUACAACAAAGCAAAAAGUCUAGUCUUCGAUGUCGAAGCCUCUGUAUUAAAUGAAGAGAGCAGGAAAAAAAAGACAAGCUGGCGAGUUCGUAGCAAAUGGAAGCGCUAUCGAUAACUAGAGGGAGAUAAAUAGAGCGUGGCCCUAAUGAGAUUUACAAUAAUGGUAGAUCAAAAUCAAGAAGUAAGAAGUAUGUCAAAUGCUACAAUAGUGGGCAGAACAGACAAAACUACCUGUUAUGUAGUAAAUCAAUCGCCAUCCAAAGUAAUUAGUUUGAAGACUCCGAUGGAGAUGUAGACUGGAAAUUCAGCUGAUUACUCUGAUCUACAUUCAUUUGGAUGACAUGUGUAUGUGAUGUACAAUACCCAAGAAAGAACAAAGCUAGAUCUAAAAUCCAAGAUAUGUAUUUUCUUAGGGUAUGCUCAUGGAGUGAAGGGGUAUUGUUUGUGGGAUCCCACUACCCACAAGAUUGUCAUCAGCAAAGAUGUUAUCUUUGUAGAAGUGCAAUUACAAUGGAAAAAAAAAGAAAAUGAUAGUACCGUGAAGAAAAACCCUUAGAUAAAACAAACUCAAUUUAGACCAUUGUUGAUAUUAUAAGAGAUUUGAAGAUAAUGAUUUCAUCAUUUUACUAUUAUAUGUGGAUGACAUUUUGGUAGAGACCCUAACAAAGAUCAAAUCCAAGAAUUGAAGGCUCAGUUGGCCAGGGAGUUUGAAAUAAAGCAAACAAGAUUAUAGGGAUGCAAAUUUACCGAGACAGAAAUAACAUGAAGAUUUAGCUUUCUCAUAAUAAUUACUUGAAGAAAAUCCUGCGACACUUCAACAUGCAAGAUUGUAAGCCAAUUUCUACUCCAUUUCCUGUUAAUUUCAAGUUAUCCUCAAGUAUGUGUCUUAGCAAUGAACCAGAGAGGAAAGAGAUGCCUUCAGCACCGUAUGCAUCAACAGUGGGAGCAGUUAGUUGAUACAUGGCGAAUCCUGGUGGAGAGCAUUGGAAAACUGUGAAGAUGAUUCUGAGAUACAUUAGAGGAACCUCAGAUGUUGCAUUAUGUUACUGAGGAUUAAAGUUUACUGUCAGGGGCUAUAAGGAUUCAUAUUUUGCAGGAGACCUUAAUAAAAGUAAAUCCACUACUAGCUAUAUAUUUACACUUGCAGGUGGAGCUGUAAGUUGGGUUUCAAAACUGCAAAUUGUUUUGGCUUUAUCCACAACGGAAGCAAAAUACAUAGCAGCUAUAUAAGCUUGCAAGGAAGUUGUUUGGAUGCAAAGGUUAUUGGAGGAGCUUAGGCACAAAUAAGAGAAUUUUUUUGUAUUUUGUUACAGUCAGAGUUCCUUACACAUUGCAAGGAAUCCAGUCUUUCAUUCCCAGACGAAGCACACAGGAGUUCAAUAUCAUUUUGCUCAAGAAGUAAUUGAAGAUAGAAAUGUAGAUUUAUAGAAGAUCCAUACCAAGGAGAAACUAGCAGAUGCUUUGACCAAACCAAUCAAUACUAUCAAGUUUGUAUGGAAUUGAUUCUCUUAUGGCCUAGCAGAAACGUAAAUAAUAUGACAAUGGCGAAGCAGAAAGGAUGGUGUGGAGAUUGAUUAGUUCUCAAUCUAAUCUCCAAGUAGGAGAAUGUCAAAAGUGGCAUGCGACCACCACUCUUCUAGAAGGCAGUGCCCGUCAUUGUGGAAGUAGGAGGUGUUGCCUCCUUUGAAUAUAAAAGAAGACAAAGCAAAAGAAGAAGAAGCCACAGAAUGAACAAUGAUGAACAAUAGCCACUCCAUGGCUCUAAAUAGAGAGGUUCAAACCCUCAUUUGAUACAUCCCCAAAUUCCUCUUUAAUUUUUAGGGAGAAGUAGAGAAUUGUGUGGGAGUUUCACAGUUUUAAUACUCUUGUGUGAUUAGUGAUUUUAGAGAUUAGGUGCAUUGGAUUUCUGGGUAGUGAGCCAAUAAUAUUACAAUACUUAUAAUCAUCAUUUCACCAGUAAAGUUUUAUCCUUGACGUAGGCUAAAAACCGAACCACAUAAACUCUUGUGUUCUAUGUGUGCUCUUAUUCUUUAUUUUCUUCCAAUUUCAUUUUAGUUGUGACCGUACUUCGCACAUCAAUUUCCUAACAUAAUAAACACGAUACAAACUAGAAUAUUUAAGGUUAUUAUAAUGAUAAUAUUCUAGUGUAAAAAGAAUCUCUUUGCAACUUCUAUGUGGUGCUAUAACGCUGCCUUAGUUCUUCUUAAAAUUUUCUGCGUAGCAAACUCACUUCCCUGUAUUUUUAUUUGAUUUGUGUAAGGUCCAUAGAUGAGAAAGAAAAUAUGAUAACAGAAGCACCAAUUAUGUUGACAUUUGUUGAGUUCGUAUGAUGUGCAUUCGUUUUGAUUAUUAUUAUAUUGUGAAAUACUCAUUUCAAUCGUGAGAAAAAAAAAGAAAUAAAUCAAGAGCCCUAAUAUGGAUAAGACAACGAAUUAGGAUUUUAUGUUGGAUGACUUUCUUAAGUGAGUGUCAGGAGAAUUAUUAUUAUAUUUUUUGCUCAACAGUAAUUUUCUUUAAUGAUUAUUUAGGAAUAUAAUUUUUAUUAAAAUAAUGCAUGUAAAAAGCAUCUUUAUGGUAUUAUCAAAUUACCUCUCCGUAAGAAAACUACAAAAGACAUGGAGGUCAUUCUCUAUACAAUUAUUCUCCAAGAAAGAAACUCUAAACUAAGGAUAAUAACAAAUUAGAAGUAGCUGAUUACUAAUUUGAAAAUUUUAAGCAAGGAUGCGAAAUUAGUUGAUAAGUUUUGAGAAGUUGUUGAAACGAUUGUGAAAUAAAUUUCCAAUGAUUAAUGAUUACGUUUUCAGAAUAAGAUGAUUAAGAAUUGCAGAACUAGCUGAUUACUAAUUUGAAAACUUUAGGCAAGGAUGCGAAAUUAGUUUAUAAGUUUUGAGAAGUUGUUGAAACGAUUGUGAAAUAAAUUUCCAAUGAUUAAUGAUUACGUUUUCAGAAUAAGAUGAUUAAGAAUGGCAGAAUUGGGCAACUACAUAUGACAAUACCGGCAUAAGCCUAGAUCAAAAUUCGAUAAUUGAUUAAUUUGCAUCCCAUUAUUGAUUACACAGUGUAAAUUUAUAAUUUUAAAGUUUAGUCGGCUUAGGCUUAUCAACAUGAUCUUCAGCCAUCAUCACUGUUUGUUAACUAUUUUGUUAAAUAAUGGGAAGUUAAAAAUUGUCUCUGAAUGCGGAGUUAAAACCUCGCAUUAUAUAUAUGGUCCCUCAUCUGAACAUUAUUUGUUAAUAAUUAUGUAGAUGAUCUAUUAAUUAAUGGAUUGAAACGUUAAAUAACUUCAAUUUAAAAAUAAAAACUUCAAUUUUAAACUGUUUUGCAAAUUAAAGGAAUAUAUUUAUUGAGUCGUAGAUCAUAUAUCAUCAAUUUUGUUUUAAUUUACAAAUAAUUGUAGGCAUUGAAAAACGUUUCAGAAAAAUACCAAAAUUUCCAAAUUAAAAUAAUAAUAUUUUGAAAGCAAAGAGUCUAUUUUUGAUAGAUUAUUGUAAAUAUUUUAUUUUUCCAUGCUAAAGAUUUUUUUUUGAUAAAAUCCAUGCAAAUAAAAACUCAAAGCGGUACUAAUAAUAAAUGACAAUUCUCAUUAAAAUUUCUUUUCACAUUUACAAAAAGUUACAUAUGAGGUUUAAAUCAAAAUCAAUUUCAAGAAGAAUCAAGCAACACUGAGAACCUAUUUUUUGAAAACCACCUAGACAUUUUAUAUGGAUUUAGAUUCAAAUCAGACAAUUAUUAAUUCAUAUAAUAUGUGGAUCCUUAUUGGAAAAUAUGAAUCUUUUAAAAAAAAUUAUUAUCUUAUAAAUUUCUCGAAUUUUUAAUUUAGCACGUUGCUUCUAAGUCGAGACACAAAAAUUGUUAUUUAAUCGAGAUUACCAAUUUUAUUAAGAUUCUACUCUAUAUAUUUCACCCGACUAACUGGGCUUUCGCUUAGAGAUAUCUAAACUAUUUUGGUUAAUUUUAAAAUGUAAUGAAAAUAACUUUAACCAAUUAUUUUUUUUAAAUAUAAAAUAAUGAAAAAAAAUAUCAAUUAAAUCCCUUAAAAGUUUUCAAAUUAUUAUUUUAUAUUUAAGAAAAAUAAGAUGUGAAAUUAGUUAAUAAGUUUUGAGAAGUUGUUGAAACGAUUGUGAAAUAAAUUUCCAUUGAUUAAUGAUUACGCUAUUAGAAUAAGAUGAUUAAGAAUUGCAGAAUUGGAAAACUACAUAUGACAAUACCGGCAAAAGCCUAGAUCAAAAUUCAAUAAUUGAUUAAUUUGCAUCACAUUGUUGAUUACACAAUGUAAAUUUAUAAUUUUAAAGUUUAGUCGGCUUAAGCUUAUCAACGUGAUCUUCAGCUAUCAUCACUGUUUGUUAAUUAUUUUGUUAUAUAAUGCGAAGUUAGAAAAUUACUAAUUCAUUUAUAUAGGAUAACUUCCUUUCCCCUAAAUGUAAUUGUUUUAAUGGAUAAUUUGGUAAUUCAAAUUUUUAUAAAAUAAUGUGCGUCAAGAGUAUUUUGAUGUAUUCAAAUACCCACUUGCUUGAUUGUUCAAAAUUUCACUUAUGCAUUCUCUAUCUAUGCUUGAUAAACGCUUUCAUAAUUUGUAGAAUUUUUUUCACUAGUUAAAUUCCUUUUAAAGUUUUUAUUACCCUUUACGAUGUUAAAAUUUUAAUGACACAUUUUUAAAAUUAAAUGAGACAUCUACAUACAAAUGUACUAAUUAUAAUUUAGACACUUGUCAAAAUUUUAGCCGAUGACAAUUGCUACAUUUAUUUGUCAAUUUCAAUUAACAUCUUAAACCAAGGGGUGGGAUUAUUUGAUCUCAUAAUUUUUCUUUUAACACUCAUUUUUUUAAGAAACCCAUUACUAAAAUUUAAAACUCGAGUUUUUACUCUAGACACCCUCCGUACUUAAAAAAUGACCUUAAUUGAUGACAGACGCUUCAGUUACCUUUUUCCUUCUUGCAAAUUUUUUCCACAUUGCAACCACUUUUACUGUUGUUCUCACUUUUUUUUUUCAUCUCAAUAGCAUAUUUAAGUUGUUCUCUUUCCAAACCUCCACGUUAUCACGUAUUAAUAAGGAGAAUAAGACAUAAAUUUUAAUAUGUCAAAAAAUGGCAUGCGGGCACCGCCUUCUAGAAGGCAGUGCCCGCUUGCCAUUGUUAAAGUAGGAGGUGUUGCCUUUUUCUUUGAUUAAAAAAAAGAAGCCACAAAAUAAACAGUAACGAACAAUAGCCAUUUGGUGGGUAUAAAUAGAGAGGUUCAUCCCAUAUUUGAUUCAUCCCCAAAUUCCUCUUUAAUUAUUACAGAGAAAUAGAGAAUUGUGUGGGAGUUUGAGAGUUUUAAUAUUCUUAUGUGAUUAGUGAUUUGAGAGAUUGGGUGUAUUGGGGUUCUGGAUAGUGAGCAAAAAAUAUUACAACACUUGUUAUCCUUAUUUCACUAAUAAAGUUUUAUCCUUCUGUCUUUGCCAGUGGACGUGGGAUAAAAGCCGAACCACGUAAACUCUUAUGUUUUCUAUGUGUGCUUAUUCUUCAUUUUCUUCCAAUUUCAUUUUAACUGUGACCCUAAUUCACACAUAAAUUUCCUAACAGUGAUAUCAUAAGUUCAGGUUGUAUUUUUAGGUUGGGGUACUAUUCACACAUACGACACUGUUCACGCAUACAAUAUUAUUCACAUAUAUGGUUAUUGUUCACAUGAAACGGUGGGAGCCACACCUCGUGGUAAGAAGCUGACACGUCUUAAAAGUGAUUUCUAGUUCUCAAGUAUAAGAGUGUCUUGUUAUAUUAUAACUGGGUUAGUCUGAGGUCGAUCCACAAAGAAAGGAUUUAAUUUGUUUAUUUAAGUUUAUAAAAAAAUUAAAAUUAAAAUUAAAAAUAUGCAAUUUAAUUUAGGAAAAAACUAUGAAAUUGAAUUAGUUAGGGUUAUGGAUCCACUCCUAGUAAUAAAUACAAUUGAUCAAAUUCUUUAUAUUUUUAUUUUAUAUCCCAAAAGAUUAAUUGUAUAAAUUACAAUUAUUUUCCCAUUAAUUUUUAUUAUGGAUUAAGAACUUAAUGUGCCAAAACUUAGCUUGUCCACAAUAAGGCAAAAUACCAUUUUUCCAUACUUUAUACUAAGAUAUUAAGAAUUCAUUGUGCCAAAAUCUCAUGUUUGUCUACAAUGAAUCAAAAUUUCAAAAUAUAAAAUAUGGAUAAAAUUAAAUAGAAAAUAAUUUAUUUUAUAUAAUUAAAAAUAGAAUUUGAUUAAAUCAUAUUUAUUUCAAAGAGCUUCACCUUCCCCAAAUUAUUAGUAUUUAGCUAAACAUAAUUGAAAUAAAGGAAUUUAUUAAAAAUUGAAAAACACAUAAAAAAUGAUAUUUGAAAAUUGAAAUAAAACUAAUUUUCACUACAAGAAAACAAACAAUAGAUGACAGACAAUUUAUGACAGAUUCAACUUAUAUCAUAAUAGUAUGACAGACUCGUGAUAGAAUUUUCAAUCUAUCAUGAAUUAAUGAUGAUUUUGUGACAAUAUGAUUUUCUAUCACAAAUUUAUGAUGGUUUUGUGAUAUAAUUAUUGUUUAUCACAAAUUUAUGAUAGAAUCGUGAUAAAAAAUUUCUCUGUUAAGAAAUUAUGAUAAAAAAAAUUCUUUGACUAUGUUUGACCUAAAGUUUAAUAUAUUAUUUUAUUUUAAAAAACAAAAGGGUGCAUUUUAAUAAUUCAAAAAAGAAAAAAAGAGAAAAGAAAAACACUACUGUCUUGACCCACCAAGCCCCAAAAUCACUAACACUCACACCCAAACACUCAUCACUCUCUCACGACCAAACCCUAGAAAUCAACCUUGCACUCAAUCGAUCGAGCAAAACACCAUCCUUUCGCCGCCAUUCAAGUAUAUUGUAACUAUGCCGGCAAUGUUGUUUAAAAAUUGUAGCUCGUUGCUGUCGGCACCAUUUUGCUAGUAGUAUUAAAAUGUUGGGUUUGUUGCUGUUGUGUCGCACAGGGUUCGAGUGGCUGCUUCUAAGUCGCGUUGCUGCUACGUUGCGCUGCUGAUGCUGUUGGGUCGCUACUGCAUCGCGUGCUGCUGGGUUGUUGAUGGGUGAUGGCUAUAAUUGUUGUUUGGGUGUGUGAGGUAGUGAAGGUGUGGCUGUCGGCUGUUGUUUGUUGUUGCUUCACGGAUGGUAGGGUGAGUGAUUUUGGGGAUUUAGGAUUUUGGCUGUUGCUUCGUGUGAGAGAGAGGGCGGCUGAGGGAGGCAAUUUGGUUAUUUGGGGAUUUAGGUUUUUGGUUGUUUUAUUUUGCUUUUUUUUUAUUUUCUAGUUUUUUUCUAUUUCAAUUUUUUUAUAUAUAUUAUAAAGCCUCUUUGUAAAAAAAAAAACCAAUAAUAUAUGUCAUCAACUGCAGUGGUAUUCUUCUACACCAUUUUUUUGACAAUCAAAUUCCUCUUUUCAUCUUGGCUUCCACUUGUGAAUUUCUAUCUGGUUCAUGCUUUUCCUGUUACCUGUGCUAGGUGGUGAAAUUUUUGGUAGAACAGAACAACAAUAAUGCUCUUCAUGGUCAAGUUACAAUUGGAACACUUAUUUUACAGGUACUGUUUAAAAAUAUAUUAAUGAUAUUCGCUUACAAUUUAUGGACGUGGACUAGUAAGAUUCAGGUUUUGAAGCAUAUUUAGCCGUUUCUUGACCUUGGGUUAUUUCAGGAUUGUAAAUAGUUCAGUUAAUCAAUUUCUUGGAGUAGAAUGUAUAUUUUGUAGUUUAUGCAUUGGCACCCUGAUUAUUUCUUCUUCUAGCUAUAGUUAUUCUAGUUACUGCUAAAGAAAAUAAACAAAUAAAUAAUGGCCAGUUGGUAAUGUGUAUGGGGACACUUAGUUCAUAGGCUAUUUUGACAGGAUUUUCUUGGAAGUAGUUGGAUGAAUAUAAAAGGAUGCAUAAAGGUGAUAUAAUGUUGAGUGAGUAAAUUAAUUCGAGAAUGGUUGUGGUACUGCUUUAGUUCUGAUUUGAUAAAACCUAUGGUAAUCGGUCCCAUAAUACUUCACUGUAAAAUUUAGUUUUUUGUUGUGAAAGCUGAGAACUUUCACAUCAAGAGAUUUUGAAGAAAAUCUGGCCUAAAAAAAAAGUAUGUUCCUCUUUAACUUUUCCAGUUUUUUAACUAUCAAUCCCUCAUUAUGAUAUUAACUUUCUGAUGAAAAGUUUUUCAUUUAGCUCAUUAAGCCUAGGUGAAUUGGUAGAUAUUCAGUAAACUACUAUUAGUUAUUAUCUGGUAGAGAUUCUUGUGGUGUAUUUGUUCUUCUGUUUAUUUUGCGAUCAUUAUUCCAGGUAACAAGUUCCUUUUUGUUUCAUUCAUCACAGGUUGAAACUUUUGCACAAUUUGGUGUUGUCUUCCUUCUUUUUGCUUUGGGGCUAGAGUUUUCUUUGACAAAGGUACAUCAUUAUGUGCUUGGAAAGUGUAUGAUAAUUAUUGAUAACAUUUUCCAUCUUUGUUCAUAAAAUCUAUUCCAAUUCCAUAAUUCAUCAUCAAUGCAGUUAAAAGCAGUGGGACAUGUCGCUGUUCUUGGAGGGCUACUACAAAUUGCAAUAUUUAUGUUCUUGUGUGGCAUAACGGCUGCAGUAUGUUGCUUAGCCUCUGAUUUGGUUUUUGUUACAAUUUCUGUUUGUUGUAUUUCUUGUCAAAAUUGAUGUUAAACUUGGACUAUUUGCUUAUGCUGCAGUUAUGUGGAGCCAAAUUGUCAGAGGGAGUAUUUGUUGGUUCCUUCUUAUCAAUGUCAUCAACUGCAGUGGUAUUCUUCUACACCAUUUUUUGACCAUGGGUUAUUUUAGGAUUGUGCUGUUGGGUUACUAUUUGCUCUACUCCCAGUCUUGGGUGGUAACAGUGGCCUUUUGCAAGGAAUGGUUUCAAUGGGGAAGUUGUAAGUUCAUUUGAGCUCUUUAAAUUUAGAUUUUAAUGUGAUUGCUCUUGUUGUUCUCCUUUUCUUUUUUAACAAUGUUUCCUUGUUGUUGUUGACCGGUGCCCUUGUGCAAACAUUAUUUGUUGAAUGGUGACAUUUUUCUUUUAUUAACUUCAGGCUGCUAGUUUUGUCCAUUUAUCUCACUGUUACAUCUAUUUUAUCCUGGUCUUUUGUUCCCUACUUUCUAAAGCUCAUGAUACAGCUGUCAUCUCAAGUGAGUUUUGUACAUAUAUUUUGUUUUUGUGCCUUGAUUUUGAUAAAUUUAUUGUCCUUUAUUAGCUCAUUUUGAUUUCUUUUCACCUGUCUAGACAAAUGAGCUUUAUCAGCUUGAUGCUGUAGCUUUUUGCUUAUAAUCUGCUUGGGUAAGUGCAAUAUGUAAUUACCUAUUUUGUCAAGGUUAAUACAUCUUGCUGGUAAUCGAUUAAUGGGUUCUAUUUUCUGCUUUGUUAAUUUACUGUUUAUGCACUGGAUGAUAUGCUUUUAUGCUGUUAAGUGAUCAUCUGCUUGGACAAUGUAAUACCUUUGGAGUUUCUUUUCAGUGCAGUGAUAAGCUGGGCCUCAAUCUUGAGCUGGGUUCAUUCAUAGCUGGAGUGAUGAUAUCUAGCGCUGACUUUGCUAAACAUACUUUAGAUCAGGUACUUUUUUGUGCUAGUGAUAAUUCCUCCACUUAGAUUUUAUUUUUAUUUUGUCGAUGAAGAAUGUCAUUUUAUUAAAAAUCCUGACAUAUAUAUAGUCGUUUCCAUUUUCCAGAAAAAGGGUUGUUAUGCUAUUUUAAAUACGAGGCAAGUUACAGGCCUAUAAUUGGUGCUGUUGGUUAAGAUAAGCUUGUCAAAGUUGGUUGUUUGGUUUUCGUUUCAUUGGUUGAUCAGUUCAGUUGGAUCUGGAUGCCAUUGCUUUUUUAUGACUUUAUGAUUUAUUUUUGUCUCCUCACACUGGUCUAUUGUUGUGGCUUCCUUUGGAUUUUUAGCUACCUUGCUGAUUUUGAUGAAUUCCUGUUCACCAAAAGUAAUUUUAAUCCAUUGAGUUUGUACAUUUUGCUCAUUCCAUAAAAGUGAAGAUUGCAGCCUCUUAAUUUUCCUUAUUCUAUGAUGCCCACAUGUAUUGCAGCCUCUUAAUUUUCCUUAUUCUACUUGGUGUUUGAAUCAAUUUUGUUCACAGGAAGCUUGCAGGUCGCUAGUUUUGUUGGGUAACUUGGCUUGGUGGCCGGAAUUCUUAUUGCUUUUCUUAGAGUUUGAUUGGAAUUUGACUGCAAUUUUAUACUUUGGGAUGGCUUUUUCAAUUUGGGAUGUUUUAUUAUGUAUUAGUGGAGAUUACAUUGGAUAUUAGAUGUAUUUCAAUUUUGGAUUGAAUGAAUGUUAAUUGAUAUUAAUUUUUUUAUGAUAUUUGUUUUAUUAAUUAAUUAAAUUUGUAAACAGGAAUUCAUCAAUAAAUUAUAAUUAUAAUAUAAUUUUAGAAAAAAAAUCAAAACUUUAUGAUGGAAAAGCCAUCAUAUAUUCUAUCAUAAAUAAUUUCCCGCCAAAAUUGAAUAAUAAAUUUUCAAAUAAUAAUUGAAUUUCUCACUAAAAAAUUAAAAAAAAUGGCGCAAAAAUUUAAAUAAAUUUAAUUUUUAAUUUAAUUAUUUUUUACAUUAAAAUAUUAUGUGACAGAUAUAUGACUAUGAAAUGCUAUCAUAAAUUCAUGACGGAAAAUAUUUUGUCAUAAAUUAAUGACAGUGACAUAGAUGACGGAUGAACUGUCUGUCAUACACCCCAUUUUAUGACAGUUAUUUCCCGUCAUCUAUUGCAUGUUUUCUUGUAGUGUUUAUUUAUUAAAAAUAUAUUACAAAGAGAGAUGAGAAGAAGAAUUUGGGGGGAAAAAAGAGAAGAAAAGGUGUGAAGAGGUGUGUUUCUAGUCCCCUCUCUAUUUAUACUAUUAUAUCGUAAAUCUAUACCACACAAAUAAAUAAAUCUAAUUACAUCUUAGCCUUACAUUUGUCCCACUAAUAAAACAUAAACCUAACUUAAUCCACUCAAGCAUAUCCAACACAUUCCACUAACAAUUACCAUACCUAACAUGAUAAAAACUUAUAAUUUUAUAAUUACCAAAUUUACCGUGGUAAAAACUUAAAAAUUUACAACAAAAGUCUCGGAUCCUCCUCGACAAUGACAUAAUUUCUCGGACUUCCGAAAUUCAAAUUUGACAUCCGUACAUUUGUUUGGAGCCUCAAAUUGCAUAAAAUUAUUAUUUUUUCUAAUAAACACACAAAAUCAAAUAUUCAGAAAAAUAAUUAGAAAUUCACAACAUGUUACACAAUUACAAAUAUAAAUCACAUUAAUUGCACAAAAUAACAUUUUACCCCUUAAUAAACAUACAAUUUUUAACACUAAUCAGAAGCAAUGACAAAAAAAAAAGAAAUUGAGAAGUCCAAUGGAAAUAAUUUCCCGUUGCAGAAAAUGAAAAUAAAGGCUAUUUUAAGGAAAAAACAAUUAAUGACAGUGACAUAGAUGACGGAUGAACUGUCUGUCAUACACCCCAUUUUAUGACAGUUAUUUCCCGUCAUCUAUUGCAUGUUUUCUUGUAGUGUUUAUUUAUUAAAAAUAUAUUACAAAGAGAGAUGAGAAGAAGAAUUUGGGGGGAAAAAAGAGAAGAAAAGGUGUGAAGAGGUGUGUUUCUAGUCCCCUCUCUAUUUAUACUAUUAUAUCGUAAAUCUAUACCACACAAAUAAAUAAAUCUAAUUACAUCUUAGCCUUACAUUUGUCCCACUAAUAAAACAUAAACCUAACUUAAUCCACUCAAGCAUAUCCAACACAUUCCACUAACAAUUACCAUACCUAACAUGAUAAAAACUUAUAAUUUUAUAAUUACCAAAUUUACCGUGGUAAAAACUUAAAAAUUUACAACAAAAGUCUCGGAUCCUCCUCGACAAUGACAUAAUUUCUCGGACUUCCGAAAUUCAAAUUUGACAUCCGUACAUUUGUUUGGAGCCUCAAAUUGCAUAAAAUUAUUAUUUUUUCUAAUAAACACACAAAAUCAAAUAUUCAGAAAAAUAAUUAGAAAUUCACAACAUGUUACACAAUUACAAAUAUAAAUCACAUUAAUUGCACAAAAUAACAUUUUACCCCUUAAUAAACAUACAAUUUUUAACACUAAUCAGAAGCAAUGACAAAAAAAAAAGAAAUUGAGAAGUCCAAUGGAAAUAAUUUCCCGUUGCAGAAAAUGAAAAUAAAGGCUAUUUUAAGGAAAAAACAAUUACUUGGAAACAAUUGAAGAAAGGCGCACAGAGAAAAUUGAUGCUGCCAGGUGUAAUGAGAUGAAUGGUAUUGUAAUUGUCGAUCUACAUUUAGCACUAGCUGAUGAAGUGUUAUCUAGUGUGGAGGAGAGAAAGAGAGCAAAGAAAAAAUAUGGGAUACUCUUAUAAGACUGUACGAGGCCAAAUCACUACACAAUAAGAUUUUCUUGAAGAAAAGACUUUAUACUCUUCGAAUGGUGGAAACCACAUAAGUGACUGACCAUAUCAACAUUCUCAGAACUCUAUUUUCAUAACUUACAAUGUUGGGUUAUAAAAUAGAAGAAAAUAAACGUGCAGAGCUUUUACUUCAAAGUCUAUCAGACUUAUAUGAUCAACUUAUCAUCAAUCUGACAAACUACAACCAAGCAGAAAGUCUAGUCUUCGUCGAUGUCACAGCCUCUAUAUUAAAUGAAGAGAACAGGCAAAAAAAAAAAAAAGGAAGACAAGUGGGCGAGUUCGCAAGCGGAAGCGCUAUCGCUGACUAGAGUGAGAUCAUGUGAGCGUGGCCCUAACAGGAGUUACAAUUAUAGUAGAUCAAAAUCAAGAUGUAAGAUGAAUGUCAAAUGCUACAACUGUGGCAAGAAAUGGCAUGUCAAGAAAGAGUAUUGGAACACCAAAAGAGAAGAGAAUGUAAAGAUCUUGAGUCAUCAAAUGCCCAUGAUUGUGUAGCGAGUACCUCAAAUGAUGGUGACGUUUUACACAGUGAGUCAGCAAUGGUUUCAAAAGGCAAAAAAUGGAUAUAUGAAGUCUGGCUCAUAGAUUCAAGAGCUACCAAUGACCUCUUGGAGAGAAUGGUUCCGUAAAUAUUAACCUAUCUCAGGAGGAUCGGUAUAUAUGGGUAAUGAUCAUGCCUUAGAGAUUAUUAGUAUUAGUACUAUCAAAAUAAAAUGGUUUAAUGGCACAAUUUGUAAAAUUGAGGAGGCACGACAUGUCAAAGGUUUGAAGAAAAAUCUAUUAUCUUUGGGACAAAUAGAUAGUCUCGGCUGCAAAGUUCAUGCAAAAAAUAAGAUCAUGAAGAUUGCUAGACGCGUGCUUGUAUUGUUGAAGGCGGAAAAAAAUUGGUGCUAAUCUAUUCAUACUUAAGGAGGAAAUAAUAUAAGAAGCUGAUUCACGUGUCACGUCAAAUGGAGAAGAGUCAGCAAUGUUAUGGUAUCUCAAGCUUAGCCACAUGUCAGAACAAGAUUUGAAGAUUCUCUCCGAGCAAAAGUUGAUUCCAAGGCUUAAAACGGUGAACUUACUAUUUUGUACGCAUUGUGUUAUAAGUAAACAAUAUAGAUUGAGCCCCACCAUUUGUUUAUUAUUAUAUUAUGAAAUACUCAAUUCAAUCAUGAGAAAAAAAAAAAAAACAAGAGCCCUAAUAUGGAUAGGAAAAGAAACAAGGUUUAAUGUUGGAUGACUUCCUUAUGUGAGUGUAAGGAGAAUUAUUUUUUUUUCCAACAGUAAUUUUCUUUAAGGAUAAUAUAGGAAUAUAAUUUUUAUUAAAAUAUAUGGAAGUAAAAAGUAUUUUUAUGGUAUUAUCAAAUAACCUCUCGCUAAGAAAUCUACAAAAGAGAUGGAGGUUAUUCUCUAUAUAAUUAUUCUCCAAGAUAAGGAUGAUAACAAAUUAGAACUAGCUGAUUACUAAUUUGAAAACUUUAAGCAAGGAUGUGAAAUUAGUUGAUAAGUUUUGAGUUGUUGAAACUAUUGUGAAAUAAAUUUCCAUUGAUUAAUUAUUACGCUAUCAGAAUAAGGAAAACUACAUAUGACAAUACCGGCAUAAGCGGUAAGCCUAGAUCAAAAUUCAAUAAUUGAUUAACUUGCAUCACAUUGUUGAUUACACAAUGUAAAUUUAUAAUUUUAAAGUUUAGUCGGCUUAGGCUUAUCAACAUGAUCUUCAGCUAUCAUCACUGUUUGUUAAUUAUUUUGUUAAAUAAUGGGAAGUUACAAAAUUUGUAAUUCACUUCUAUAGGAUAAUUUCCUUUCCCCUAAAUGUAAUUGUUUUAAUGGAUACUUUGGUAAUUCAAAUUUUUAUAAAAUAAUGGGCAUCAAGAGUAUUUUGAUGUAUUCAAAUACCCCCUUGCUUGAUUGUUCAAAAUUUUACUUAUGCGUUCUCUAUCUAUACUUGAUAAACGCUUUCAUAAUUUGUAGAAAUUUUUUCACUAGUUAAAUUCCUUUUAAAGUUUUUAUUAUCCUUUACGAUGUUAAAAUUUUAAUGACACAUUUUUAAAAUUAAACGAGACAUCUACAUACAAAUGUACUAAUUAUAAUUUAGACACCUGUCAAAAUUUUUGCCACAUUUAUUUUUCAAUUUCAAAUAACAUCUUAAAACAAGAGAAAAUUAGAUAAAACAAACGUUUAUGAGAGAUCCACAGGGCUAAAAAAAAGGGAUGGGACUAUUUGAUCCAUAUUUUUUCUUUUAACACUCAUUUUCUUAAGAAACCAUUAUUAAACUUUAAAAAUCCGGUUUUUACUGUACACAACCUCUAUAUUUCAAAAAAAUGACUUCAAUUAAGGAUUUACAGUUCUUUUAUUUUUUUUUCCUUCCUGCAAAUUGUUUCUACAUCGCAACCACUCCUCAUCACUUUUACUAUUGUUCACACUUUUUUUUUUUCAUCUCAACAAUAUAAUUAAGUUGUUCUCUUUUCAACAUACACGAGACCACGGAUAUUAAUAAGAAGAAUGAGACUUAAAUUUUAAUAAACAUGAUACAAACUAGAAUAUUUAAGAUUACUAUAAUGAUACUAUUCUAGUGUAAAAGAAUCUCUUUUCAGCUUCUAUGUGCUGCUAUAACGCUGCCUUAGUACUUAAAAAUUUUUGGGUAGCAAACUCACUUGCAUCUGUUUUUAUUUGAUUUGUGUGAGGUUAUUGGAAAGAAAAUUUGAUAUCUGAAGCACCAAUUUCUAUUAUAUUGACACUUGUUGGGUUCGUAUCAUGUGCAUUCGUUUUGUUUAUUAUUAUAUUGUGAAAUACUCAUUUCAAUCAUGGAAAAAAAAUAAAGGUUUUAAAUCAAAAGCCCUAAUAUGGAUAAAAAAGCGAAUUAGGGUUUAGUGUUGGAUGACUUCCUUAAGCGAGUGUAAGGGAAUUAUUAUUUUAUUUUUUUGUCAACAGUAAUUUCCUUUAAGGAUAAUUUAGGAAUAUAAUUUUUAUUAAAAUAAUGGAUAUAAAAGUAUUUUUAUGGUAUUAUCAAAUAACCUCUCGCCAAAAAAAAAAACUACAAAAAACAUAGAGGUCAUUCUCUAUAUAAUUAUUCUCCAAGAAAGAAACUCUAAAAUAAGGAUAAUAACAAAUUACAGCCAAUUGAUUACUAAUUUGAAAACUUUAAGCAAGGAUGUGGAAUUAGUUGAUAAGUUUUGAUAAGUUGUUGAAACGAUUGUCAAAGAAAUUUCCAUUGAUUAAUGAUUACAUUAUCAGAGUAAGAUGAUUAAGAAUCAGAAUUAGGCAACCACAUUUGACAAUACCGACAUAAGCCAAAAUCAAAAUUCAAUAAUUGAUUAAUUUGUAUCACAUUAUUGAUUGCACAAUGUAAAUUUAUAAUUUCAACCUUUGAAAUAGUCAUGCUGUUUAGUAGGCUUAGGCUUAUCAACAUGAUCUUCAGCCAUAAUCAUUAUUAAUUUGUUAAUUAUUUUGCUAAUAAUGCGAAGUUAUCUGAAUGCGGAGCUAAAAACCUCUCAUCAAUAUGGUCCCGUCUUCUGAACAUUUUUUUGUUAAUAAUUAUGUAGAAGAUCUAUUAAUUAAUGGAUUGAAACAAUAAUAACUUUAAUUUAAAAUUAAAAACUUUAAUUUUAAACUAUUAUUGCCCAAAAUUAAAGGAAUAUAUUUAUUGAGUCAAAGAUUAUAUAUCUUCAAUUUUCUUUUAAUUUACAAAUUAUUGUAGGCAUUGAAAAAUGUUUCAGAAAAAUGCCAAUUUUCCAAAUUAAAAUAAUGAUAUUUUGAAAGAAAAGACUCUAUUUUUGCUGACCUAGGAUUUCCAUGUAUCCAACCCAAAAGACUAGCCUAUUGGGUGGAGUCACCUACUCCAACUUAUAAACUCAAGUGUCUCCUCUUUACUGGCAAAUAUGGGACACAACUCAAGAAUCUCCCCGCCCCGUCCCCAGACAAAACCACCUUUCGACCCCAAUCCUUUCGUUCGACACACCUGAGUUGUUCUAUCACUACAUUCAAGCUACUAGGGUCUAACUUUAAUACCAAUUGUUGGGGGCUUGGUCUAGGAUUUCUAGGGUAUCCAAUCCAAGAGACUAGUCUAUUGGAUGGAGUGACCUAAUCCUACUUAUAAACUCAAGUAUCGUCAUUUUACUAUCCAAUAUAGGACACAACUUAAUAGAUUUAUUUUUCCACAUUAAAGAUAAUUCUACGAUAAAGUCUGUGCAAACAAAUACUCAAAGUGGUACUAAUAAUAAAUGACGAUACUCAUUAAAAUUUCUUUUCUUUCAGAUUACAAAAAGUUACAUAUUAGAUCUAAAUCAAAAUCAAUUUCAAGAAGAAACAAGCAACACCGAGAAUGUACUUUUUGAAAACUACAUAGACAUUUUAUAUGAAUUUAGAUCCUCAGACAAUUAUUUAUUCAUCUAGUAUAUGGGUCGUUAUUGGCAAAUAUGAAUUUUUUAUAAAAAAUAAGCAUGUUGAUUCUAAGCCAAGACACAAAAAUUGUUAUUUAAUUGAGAUUACUAAUUUAUUAAGGCUCUAAUCUAUAUGUUUCAUCCGACCGAUUGGGCUAUCCCUCAGAGAUAUCUAGACUGUUUUGGUUAAUUUUAAAAUUUAAUGAAAAUAAAUUUAACCAAUUAUUUUUCUUAAAUAUAAAAUAAUGUGAAAAUUAUCAAUCAAGUCCCUCAAAAUUUUCAAGGUUACUUUGUCUUUUAGAGAUUGGAUAGAGAUAUGUCCACCUUAAUAUUUGCACAAUGCCAAUGUUAAACUCAGAAUAACAGUUCCUGAAAGAACAAUCAUUAUUCAAUAUAUAUAUAUUCUGGAGUUUAGAGUCUUAAAACACUUAAUUACUUGUACUGAUAGCUGAACGUUAAGAAUACACUACCAAGACAGAAAUGAGGUUACUGCUGAUACUACAGUAUCACUAUAGCACACAAAACGAUAGCAUUGUUCAUGCUAACUGCAAGAAUUAGAUAACUAAUCCGUGGAGUUUAUUUUAGGUAAAUAUUCAAGAAGAAAGAGCAUAAUUAAGCUGACAUGGUAAACUAACUUAUUCAAUGUUAACACUUUGACACACACUAAUUUUUAUUUAUUUACUUAUUUCCUUUUCAGGAAAAUAUGGUACACGUAGAUAUCAAAGAAAAUCUCUUAUAUAUCUCAAGAGAUCUUCUCACCCUUACAAAUUUUGAAAGUAAUAAUAUACCCAUCUUGUUAUUUAAUUAGAUAUAAUGCAAAAGAGUUACACUGCAUUUACCAAUGUGGUUGGGAUUUCUAAUAUAUUUAUGGACAACAAGAAGAUCAAGAUUGUCAUUCGCAAUGUCAUCAUCAAUUGUUUUUGAGUAAACAAAUAAAUAAUAUAACAAGCCCCUUCGACCAAUCAUUAUUACUUGAAAAAUCAUAUUAGAAAAUUUAAUCAUAUGUAAAUGUAUCAAAAUAAGAGUUACAAAUGAUUUUCAACAGAAAUUGAUUGCCUAAAACCUGCGAAGAUAGUUUCCAUAUUCUUUCAGUUAGAUAUAUCUCUGCCUCUGGAAUCAAAACUCAAAAAGUAAUCAUGUUGCUUUGGCGAGAUUUUGAUAGUUUUUGGUUUGGUAUAAUACAUCAAUAUAUUGUGUGCAGAACUGGCAAAAUUUGACACGAUCUAAUUACCCAACUCUAAUAUGAUACGAAUAAAUAUAUACAGUCGUUAAAUUUGACACGAUUAUUAACGAUUUUUUCCUGUGUUAAGUUAAAGUUAAAGUUCUUGACCCAUUAACCUUAUUAAAGACACAAUUAUAUUUUUUAUUUUAAAUUAAUUUGUUUGUUCUUGUAAUCAAAACUUAAAUAUUGAAGAUGAUUCUCUCCUUUUAUAUUUUUUUUGGAAGGAUAAAAAUAUACAGUGUUUCAUUUAUAAUAUUAUAUAUAUAUAUAUAUAUUUAGAACUUCAAUAGUAUAAAUGUAUAAAAUAUUGUGGUAGGGCUUGGGGCAAAACUAGGGCCAAUUUUUAUUAAUUGAAUUAAAAGAAAAAAUAAUCCUGACCUACAAUUUGAGAGGUAGGUCAAUCUCUUCUAAACUCGUAAUUACUCUUAAUACUUGUCAAAACUCAGUAUAAACCCUAAAUGACUCCUUAAUCUCUUAUUUAUACCGGAUCCUUAAUUAGAGAAUAAGUAAAAUUACUAAACUCUAAUUGCCCUUUUAUAUUUGCGUGUAACAUUAGCUUUCAUCAGGUUUAACAUUACUCCCCUCCCAAAAGACACUUUGUGCUUAAGGUGGAAUCUAGGAAACUAUUGUUGUAUCAACUCAUAUGGCUCAUACGUCGCCUCCUAGUCUAGCAAGUCCUUCCAUGUAAUCAACACUUUUUUAUUAGCUGGUUGUCCUAUCGUCCCUUAGCAUACUCCCUUGAGAGCAGUCAGUUCUAGCACUGUCUUCAUGUCCUUAGUCAAGGUCGGUGAAAGCAAAGAAAAGGGUAUAUGUUCUCUAAAAGCUUGUCUCAACUGAGACACAUGAAACACCGAGUGAAUGACUGAUGUUGGUGGCAAUUUCAAUCAGUAAGCCACCUCUCUAAUCCUUUACACAAUCUCAUAGAGCCUAAAAUAUCGAGGGGAGAGCUUCUCAAUCCUCCAUCGCACCAGAGACUUUUGUCAAUAUGGCCGUAACUUAAGAUAAACCCAUUCCCUACCUCAAACUAUAUGUCCCUCCUAUGACCAUCAGCUUGCUUUCUUAUUAUCUGCUGUACCUUAGACAGAUGCCUUUCAACUCUUCGAGUAUGCAAUCUUGUUCCUCUAAAUACUGAUCUACAUGUGAUGCAGGCGUCGAACUCUAUCCAUAGUACACCAAAUACUGAUCCACCUGUGAUAAGAAGUAUUGUACCAACACUCUGCCAAUGCUAAUCACCUCGCCCACUGCAUUGGCAUGUCCGACAUAAAAACACCGCAGAUAAGUCUCUACACUCCGGUUUACUACCUCAGUCUAUCCGUCAGUUGAUGGGUGGUAAGUAGUGCUCCUCUUUAAAACUAUACCUUGCAUCCUAAAUAACUCCCUCCAAAAGUGGCUUAGAAAAACCUUACCAAGUCCAUUACUAUCGACUCUAGAAUUCUAUACAAAUGUACCAUCUCUUGCAUAAAAGCUAGUGCAAUGGUCACAGCAGUAUAAGGGUGUCAUCGGGGUAUGAAAUUAGUAUACUUGCUUAGUUGAUCAACCACGCCCAAGAUCACCAUGUACCCGUCUGAUGUGGCAAUCGCUUAAUAAAAUCCAUUGUCACCUCCUCCCAAACCUUAUCGAGUAGUGAUAAUGGCUAUAAUAACCCUCCUAGUGCCAUUGCUAUGUAUUUAUGGCGUGAUGACAUACAUCACACCUCGCUACCAUCUCCUCGACAUCCUUCUUCAUCCUCGCCCAAUAUAGCUCUAUUACCAAACACCGAUGAAUUUUUAGAACAUCAGAAUUUCCCCUAAUAGCACGCCCAUAAAACUCGUGCAACAACAUCAUUAUAUUGGGUGAUGUCCUCGGCAGUACAAGACUUCUUUGAUAUAACAGUCGUUGUCCAUUCAUAGAAUAGCCUAGAUAUCCUAUCUCCCUAUAUAAUAAUAUAGCCUAGAUCUUCACAAACUCCUUAUAUGCCUCAAUCUUUUGUGAUAAUGUGUCUUAAUUUAUCACCAAAGGCACCGAUAAAGCUACCAACAGAGGUUCCUCAUCCCGUCGCAAUAAGACAUCUACCGCAUUAUUCUUUAACCUGGCCGAUACUAUAUCUCAAAAUUAUAGCCUAGUAACUUCGACAAUCAGUAUUAGUGUUCCUUAGUCACCAUCCAUUUUUUCAAUGGGAACUUAAGAAUCCGUUGAUCCGUUCAAAUGAUGAAAUGUAGCCCCAAGAGGUAUGGCCUCAAUUUCUAAGUUGCUAACACAAUCGCCAUGAGUUUGCACUCAUAAAUAGACUUGAGUCACAACCUAGCUGUUAAGAUUUGGUUGAAGUAGGCAAUCAGAAGCUGAUUUUGAGUGAGAACUACUCAUAAUGCAUACCCCAAGGCGUUUGUCUCUUUAAUAAAUGAUUGGCUAAAAUCUGGUAAUGUUAGCAUUGAAACACUAGUCAUGGCCCUUUUCAAUUUCUUGCAAGUUUGCGUCGUUAUGUCCCCAUAUAGAAAACUAUCCUCCUUCAACUACUCUGUUAAAAGUCGUGCUAUGGUGCUAUAACCCUUUACAAAAUUCUGGCAGUAUUCAGUGAAGCCUCAAAAAAACCCUAAACUCUUUCUUUAUUUUAGGUAGAAGCCACUGCAGCACCGUCAUUAUCUUAGACUGAUCUGCUGAAAUCCUCUUAGCCGACACCACAUGCCUUAAAUACUCUGUUAACAUACAUAUUUUCAUAACAUUGAUUUUAAUGAUAACAAACAAGGUUAAAAUGUUGGAGAUAGUAAAAUUGGUUAAGUUCUUAAAGCCGUAUAAUGUUUUUUUGGGCAAGUUUAAGAAUCUGAACAAAAACGGAUAACCGUUAAUCUUGAAACGGAAAAUCGAUAUUAUAAGGAAAAACAUGUAGUUCCAGUUCUGAAAGAUAACAAUUAACCAUUUAUUAGAAAAUGAUUAAUCGACAAUUCACCACCUUCUUAGGUUGCAUAACUAGUAUUUCAUACUCCACUAUUGUCUACACAAACAAGCACUUUUUCCGAUUAGCAUACUACUGAUGAUUCUGUAACUCUAUCAACAUUAACUCCACGUGACCCACAUGAUCCUCUAAAGUGCAGCUAUAGAACAAAAUGUCAUAAAAGAAAAUAAGGGCAUUUGUCAAGCCAAACGACAUGACCAUAAAUUUAUAAUGUCCCUCGUGAGUCCAAAAUGCAAUCUUAUGCGCAUCCUAUAGUCGCAUCUGAAUAUGGUGAUUUCCCAACUUCAAAUAUAACUUUGUUAACACCGUCGCCACGUGCAACUCAUCUAACAACUCAUCGAUCACUGGAAUAGGAAACUCACAAGCACCGUUUCCUUGUUCAGGGCUUGGUAGUCAAUAAAAGAUCUUCAACUCCCAUCUUUUUUCUUCAAUAACAAGAUCAAACUCGAAAACAGACUCACGCUCGAUUGUAUUAUCCCAACCUUCAACAGUUCCAUAACUAUCCUCGCAAUCUCAUCCUUUUGUAUCUAGGGAUACUGAUAUGGCCGAACACUAAUAGGGGAGGCCCCUUACUUCAACAUUAUUGCAUGCUCAUGUUCCCAUUGUGGAGGUACACUUUUGGCCAUCUGGAAAACCUCCUUAAAUUGCUCCAACAGCUGUUGAAAUUGGUCCCGUAAUCACUGUUGAUGUCUUUAUUCGUGCCCUUUUCCAGGCUAUGCAACUCCGCCAAGAAUCCCUGCCCGCAUCUUAAAUCGUCUUUACCAUGGUUUUAAGUGAAAAAGGUUUUGCAUAAACUCGAAUUACCCCAUAGCAUUACCCCUCAACCGCCCACCCGAAACUCCAUUGUUUAUAAUUUCCGAAUAGCUUACAAUACUCCUCUUAGCAUGUUCCCAUACAAAAUUGUUUAUGGGAAAGCUUGUCAUUUACCCUUAGAGCUGGAGUACAAGGCAUAUUGGGUAAUAAAACAACUGAACAUGGAGAUGACUGCUGUAGCAGAACAGAGGAAGCUACAGCUCUGUGAGCUAGAAGAGUUGAGGUUAUUCUCCUAUGAAAAUGCAAUAAUCUAAAGGAAAGGACCAAGCAAUGGCAUGGAAAACAAAUCCAGUAAAGGGAGCUCAUUCCAGGCCAACAUGUUCUGUUAUAAUAUUCACGACUAAAGCUUUUCCCUAGAAAAUUAAAGUCUAGGUGGUUAAGUCCUUUUAAACUUAUCAAAGUUUAUCCUCAUAAGGCCGUAGAGCUUCAAGAUGAAAUGACAGACUAAAAAUUCAAGGUGAAUGGACAAAGAGUAAAGCAUUACAUUGGAGCUUCUGUGAACAAUACUAUGGAGGAUUUGUUCCUCAAGCAUCCAUCUUGAGAAAUCAUGGAUGGUCAGGCUAAAGGACAUAAAAUCAAGCGCUGAUUGGGAGGCAACCCCAUAAGGAAAGUUGUUUAAAAUUUUUAAAGAAUUAAAUUUAGUCUUAAUUAUUUAAUUUUUCUUUCUAUUAUUUUUAAUUGUGCAUCUAAUUUCCUUUUAUUCCAUUGUAUUAAUUUUUAGCAAGUAGAAGUAAAAAAAAAAUGUUUGGGCAAAUAGGCUGACAAGAAUUACUGCAACAUCACGUAUAGCAUGGCAGUUAGAAGGCAAUUCUCAACCAACGAGGGAAUUUUUCACAAUUGCUGGGGCAACGGUUUUUUACCGUUGCACUUACAACUUUGGAUUUUUACUUUUGAAGGGACGGACACGCUUAUGUCAACUUAUCAGACUUGGUGAUAAGGAUAAUUCAGAAAUCGCUGAUUUGCCGUGACACAUAUACUUUCUUUUCCUUUUAAAGUGUUUUGAAAAUUCAAAAAUAUAUUUCCAAGAUUACCAUAUUAAUUACCUUCCUCUUUUUACUUUCCCUUUUGGCUAUAAAUUAGGGAUUUACUUUAACUUUUUUCAAUUUCACUACAACUCUUUCUUUCCCUAUCUGUAACUCUCAACAAUCUUUACAAUUCCUUUUCAUGUUGUACUUUUCUUUUUAGCGAAAUAAAGCUUUGGUCAAACUACUACAGCAAUGCCGAAAAUUAAAACACGUGCUGUUAGAUUGAAGGACCCUGCACGCUUUUAUAGUUACAAAGCUGAGGAAAAUUUUGACGACAUUAUCGAGCCUCGUUAGAUAUUGGAAUGAUGAACAACACAUAUAAUGUUGUAGCACGAAGAGGAUGGAUGAAAUUUUGUGCUUACCCCCAAGACCCUGUUGUUCCUGUCGUUAAGGAAUUUUAUGCCAACAUGUUACGGUAGGAACAACGUAACAUCAUUAUGAGGAAUUUGUGCAACCUCUGGGGUGAAAUUUGAGGCCAAGGAUCAAAGAGUGAAAAAUGAGGGCGACAUCACAACCAAGACCGUUAAAAAAGAUUGCUGUGGAAUUUACUACUACAACAACCCUAGAACACCAUAUUGCAGCUAAAGCAGAGCAAGCCACAUGGAUUGAGGAUAUGCUGCAGGAGCUCAGUGACAACAAAAAUGCAUGUGUCCAAGCACAAAAAGAAGAAAAUCGGAGGUUUUGGACAUAUUUAUGCAUCUGGAAGCUCAUAAGCAUCAAUUUGCCAAAUAUAUGAAGAAUAAGCAUGCAGAUUUUCCAGUUUCUGCUCUAGCAGCAGAAAGUGAAGAAAUAAAGAGUGAAGGAGAGUUUGAAUAAGAGCGGUGUUAUUUUAACUCAUUUGCUAUUGGUGUCAAUACGCAAGUGUACACACCAAGUAAUAUAAUGAUGAGUAUCCAAGAUCGUCUCCGCAGAGAUUGAUGCUAUCAGACUUGCUACAACAAUUUCACAAUGCAAUAUAUAUUCGAAUGUAAAACAAGGCAACUAAUGAACUAAAAGACUAAGUAAAAAAAAUAAAAACACAAUAAUAAAAAAAUGCAUUGAAUAAAAUUUGCAUGUUAAACAUGAAGGUAAAAUCAAUAGGAAUAUAGUAGUUGAGUGAUUAAACUCUCUUGAUGAUGUUGACUGUUUUAUUCAUGCUAAGUUCAGUUGCUACAGCAUCUGCUACAACACUGGGCAAAAACCAUCUUUAUCCUCAGCACUAGGAUGUUGGAUGUCUUUUAUCUUUAUUCAACCUAAUAAUGACCAGUUGCUAUGUCAACAUAAGAUAUAACAUUACAUGUUUAUGUUCUCUUUACCCUACAAGGUGAAUCCCUAUAACUAGUGCAUCACUAAUCUUAGAUUAAGCGUGACCCUUUUUGGACUCAAGUUAAACUCAAUCCACGAAACUCAAUCUAAGACCAAGUAUUACUCUAAUAUAUUCCACUAAGAUAGGCCAUUUUGCGGCUCUUUCUUAACUUGUAUCAUUAAAUGGAUGGUUAAUCGAAAUAAUGAAUGUAAAUAAUUGUUUUUAAAACAACAUGCUAUAGCAAACAUGCAACAACACCUAUAUUCAGUAAAUUAACCAUCUAGAUAGUUUAAUACUCAACCACAAAUAAAUUUAGUUCUUAAUUUCUGAAAGGAAAUUAAACAACCAAGUUCCAGCUAUCGAAUACAUCUUCAUGAUCAAUGAAUAACAAGUAAACAAGAAAAAGAAUGAGAAAGAGCGAAUUCCAAUUGAUUCUGCAAAUUUCGUCUACUAGUGCGGCCUUGAAUUCUGCUCGGGAAUUCUAUUUCUUCGUUGUUUCUUUUCUGUUUAGACUGUAAUAUUGUAAAUAUCUCGCCCAGAUUUUUCUCUGUCAAUGCUCUAGGAUUGUUACAGCAAUGGUUGCUACAACAAUGGCUGCAACAUCUUUUCUGUUUCUGACUUGCUCCAAUUCUUCUAUAGCCAUGCUUGUUUGUCCUCUUUAUAAGUCCAUUGCAAUAGCAUCUUUCCCAUAAAAUUCAAGUUUCCAUUUACCUACAGUUAAACAUAUGUUUUAGGCAUACAAUUAUUCAAAAAUCACACAAACUUUAUUAAACUUAAACUAAAAUGAAUGUAAUGCAAACUAUCAUUAAAAUGCACUAAAACACAUCAAUUACUCUCUAAGUAGUCUUAAUUUAAGCCUAAAAAUACCAUGAUAACUCUAAUUUCAUAGAGUGAUCACACCCCCAAACUUAAACCAUUACUUGUCCUCAAGUAAUGAAAACAACACUAACACUACAAUCACACAAUCAUGCAAUAAGUAACCUAGCCCUAUCAUCAAAUUUGCAAGGAUUCUUCAACCCUCAGAUCACAUUCUUAAUCAUGCAAAAUUUUCCAUACCAGUUCAAGUUCUAGACCUAGGCCUCAUUUUGUCUAGAGUGUGUGUGCGCCACUUUGAUCAAAUUCUGAAGGUGCUAUAGCAUUAAACAGACAUUGCAUAAAAUUCAGAGGUAGAAAACAAAUAUAUUUACAUCUAGGGGGACAAAAGUUACAAUUCAACUCAAACUAUACUAUAUAUUUACAUCUGUCAAGAAACUCUCUUCAAUAUAUCAUUGAUUACAGAAUUUUGUCAAAGCAUGGAAAACCUUUUGGAUAUUAAGUAAUAAUUACGCUUCUAAGAGUAAAUGAUGAAAACGACACAAGGGUAGUCCAGCCCAUAAUACGAAUAAGAAAAUUGAAGGAUGUACUUUCAGUUGUUUGAUGAGAACCUUUCAUUAUGUUGCACAAGAAUAAUAUAAUAAAUCUCAAUUGAUAAUCACUUUUUCUCGUAAGGGAGAAUGAAGGAACAAAAGGGGAAGAAAUGCUUUGAUGUUAUGGUUCAAUUUCUGGACUCGACUAGCUUACAGAAUCUGUAAGGUACAGACUGCAGCAUCAGCCUCAAUUUCUUGGUGGCGGUAGGUGGAUAGAACAAUAUGAUUACGACGUUGUUUGGGUUCCCAAAUCCUUACGAGAUCGAUCCUACCGAUCUGGUCUUCAAUAUAUUUUUCAUAUGAAUGUCAAUCACUUGUAAUAAUGAUACCCAAUUACUUUACCAGUGCACAAAUUAGAGUUGUUGCAGCAAUGUUUACAAAAUAGUCAUAUCUAUAGACAUCUUUUAGAUCAAGGCUAAACAUGGGGCUCAUGAAUAGACCUGGCUAUUUCAAUACCUUAGACAAAGGACUUUCUCCAGAGGGAUUUUUUAUUUUUAUUUUUUGAUGCUAUAGCAAUGCUCAUAGCUCUUAUUUCUUUUGGACUCAAGUCUGUAUAUGGAGUACAUACUUAGCCCUAGUUACUCAAAAACUUUAAGCCAUUGGAGCAACUAUUAUUUAACAACAAGCACAUAUUAAAAAUAUUUUCCCCCCAAACUUGAGAUUUUUCUACCCUUUUUUGUGUUCUCUUUUUUUGCUACUGCAUUCUAAUAGGACUUACUCAAAGCUUAUGUGUAAUGACAAAAUUUAGCCUUUGUCCAUGAACUGUUCUAGUUGGUACUUUAAAAUUAACAUUCAAGUUAUCCUCAUUGGUUUUUUAUUAGAUCCACUCACAAUUAGAUAACAAAGUUGCAUACCACACUAAACACACAAUGCAAACAUACACUCUAAACACAAUAAUAUAAGUUAGCACAACUCCCCCCAAACUUAAGAGGUGUUGUGUCCUCACAUGAACGCCAAAAAUAAUCAAACUACACAUUCAGAUGGUGGUAAAAAGCAUUAAAACUAAAAGAAAAGUUUUGGAAAGGAAAGAAAGUAAAUUGAGCUAGUAAGGGGGACUCCCUUGGUGUGGCUUAUUUUGCUGCAGCACAGAUUCACGUCUUUUUUCAUAGCGUUCCUCAAACGGUCUUUAGGGAAAGCUUGGGGUGUGGCUGCAGACUUCUAUUUCUUCGGGCGGGGUGUUGGACUGGUUGAGGAGUACCAGCAGUGGUGGGAGGUGUAGGCUGAGUGGUUCUUGUGCGUUUUUGCUUUGGUUCUUUUGGUGUUGUACCACCUCCAGAGGUGGCCCCUCUGCGUUUGCUGGUUAUAUUGGUGGUGGUUGAAGAAGAUUUAGCUAGAGGUUGGAGAGAUGUAGCUGAGGCAGAUUUUACUGCAGUAACAUCCUCAGUAGUUAUUUCAGCAAUGAUGUCCAAAAGGCACUUCUUUGCUACAGGUGCCUGAGUAACCCUUUCAGCAGUUGCUCUAAAUCUGCAUCGAUAUCUAUUGAAACAUCCUCAGAGUCAUCUUCACUUUCAACUUUUUCUUUGGCCUUAUGAGAUUGGACUGGGACUGGUGCUUCCUCCUCGACCUCACAUCAUCAUCAUGUCCAAUGGUGUGUUUUCCUCUUUUCCUGGGGGGUAGGAUCUUUGAUGGCUCAACCUUUCAUCCCCGAAUCCCCCUCUUCCUCCUUUUUUGUGGAGCUGUGGGCUUCUAACUCAGGACACUCUGCUUCUGUUAGCGUUGGCUGGUCUUUCUGUUCUGGCUCAGCUUCACUAUGUGGUUCUGUUGCAGCUUCCUCGCUCUUUGCUGCUAGCUCUCCAAAGUUGAAUUACCGCAACAGAGAGUCUGAAAAAUCCAGGUGUUGGUUUUUUAUGAACACAGCAAACUGAUGCAGAUGGUUCUCUAAAUGUAUUAAGUAUGCCCAGAAUAUGUUAUUCUCUCUUUGUUGUGCAGCAACACACUAGGUAAUGCUGUCACUCAGUUCUUGCAGUCUUCUCUCUACCCCAAUAGCUCUUCAUGUACUUGUUACAACAACUAGUUAUGGUUAUGCUGCAGCAGUGUCUCCAGCAAUUCUCUCAACUGUUCGAGCAUUCACAGCUCCUGCAUUCUUAAUUUGCUCAUCUCGAACAGCGGAUUGUACCCUAGAUACUAGACAUAGGCUAGUAAUAAGAGAUGGAAACAAGAGGGCUGUUGUUUUAUGUUGUUUCAUGGCACAUUCUCUAAUUUACCUUUCAAUAAUGGCUCUCACAUCAAUUGGUAACCUCCAAACAAUGACAUAUAAAAGCACCAAUCAUUCUUGUGAUACAGUGGUAGUGUGUGUAGUGGGCAUCAAUCUAGAUUUUAAAAAUUUGAUCCACACUUUAGCAAUAGGUUUAAGGUCGAUUCUAUUGAUCACUCAACCUUCCUCAUUAGCCCAUGAUGUCCCUUCUACAGUAAGGGUUUUUAAUACUUGAUUCAAUGUUUUAUUAGUCAUGUUUGCAAUAAGCUUAGAAUAUUCACAGUCCACGUUAGAGGGCAAGUUGUAAAAAGUGUUAACAACUCGUGGGUCUAAAGGGACGAGGGGGUUUCUUACCCAAAUUAUUUUUUGAUUCUGUCCCAGCAGGUUGGCAUAGAAUUCCUUUACUAUUGCUAGCACAGGGUCACUUAGAUGUUGGCAAAAGUCCAACCAUCCCCGUUUUGCUACAGUAACCUGAAUAGUCUGAACGAUUACCGAGGGCUGUGGUGGAAAUUGGAAGCCUUUUUCUUCUAAGAUUUUCCUAGGCUCGAUAAAUUCUUUAAAAUUUUCUUCUGCCUUAUAGGCCUGGAAGCGGGAGGGGUCUUUAAGACGUUGUGCUCUGAUCUUGAUCUUGUAUUUAAGCAUUGUUAGAGCAAGUUGAAGAUACUUGCAAAAUAAUGAAGGUGCAGUUGCUAUAGGGAGUCGUAAGAAUGUCAAAUUGGUUCCUAGAAAAGAAAGAUAAAAUAGAAUUAGGGUGUCUCUUUCUGCACAGUAAAACCCAUAUUUAUACAUGUUGUAAAAAAAUUAAAUUAGGAUGGAAAUCAAUUCUAAUAAGAUAAACUUGGAAAUAAGAAUUUUAAAUUUAAAACAAUUCUAAUAUGGAAUGGAGAGGGAUUGUGAUGCGGUAAUUUAGGGAUUGUAAUCCUUUCAAAUCGUGAUCCAUAUUAACCACGGCAGCUAUCAACAUUUUGUAGCCUCAAUGGUAGAAAGAAAUUUCCCUCAGUGUGUCUUUGAAACGGUAGUCUUUAUGCUGCAGUAAUCAAUAUGCGCGCUGUAAUAGGUUGUUGUAAAGCUGCAUCUGUCUGGCCUGUUAAGCGCUAUGCUGUAGCAAUAAGCAUUGGAGUCCAUAUCCUUUUUCCACUAUGCUCUCUCUUUUUUGUUUUUUUUUCAAAAGGUAGGCAUGAAAGGAAAUUGGUUAAUAGAAUACAGAAAUUGAUGAAAAUUAUAAAGAAAAAGAAAAAUCAAGAUAACUUCCCUAAUUGUUGGGUUGCCUCCCAAUCAGCGCUUGAUUUUCGGGCCUUCAGUCUAACCUUUCUUAAUUUCUCACAAUAUUGGAUUUUUGAGGAGCAAGUCUUCCUUUGAGUGGUCCACAGCAGCAUCCAUGUAAUGUUUUACUCGGUGCCCAUUAACCUUAAAUUCCUAACCUAUUUUUUCAUCUAAAAGGUCCGCAGUCCCAUAAUGAUAGCUUCUGAUUAGCUUGAAAGGUCCUGACCACCUAGAUUUCAGUUUUCCCGGAAAUAACUUUAAUCUUGAGUUAAAGAGCAAAACUAGUUGGCUAGGAAUUAAACUUCUUUACUGGAUGUGCUGGUCAUUCCAUUUUUUUUGUUUUCUCCUUAAAAAUCCUUGCAUUCUCAUAGGAGAACAACCUUAGCUCUUCAAGCUCACAAUGUUGAAGUUUUCAAUGUUCUGCUGCAGCUUGUAAGUUCAUGUUUAGUUACUUUAAUGCCGAAUAUACUUUAUGUUAUGGCUCAAGAGAUAGGCGACAAGCUUUUCCAUAGAUGAUUAUAUAUGGAGACAUGCCAAGUGGUGUCUUAUAUGUUGUUCUGUAAGCCUAUAAAGAGUCAUGAAAACAUAGGGACUAGUCCGUUCUAAUGGGGUUCACCACUUUCUCUAAAAUCUUUUUAAUUUGUUUGUUAGGCACUUCGACUUGACUAUUGGAUUGUGGGUGAUAUGCUAUAGCAAUCUUAUGCUUAACUUCAUACUUAGCCAACGCUGCAGCAAAGAGCUUAUUGUAAAAGUGAAUACCUUCAUCACUAAUGAUUGCUCUUGGAGUUUUAAAUCUUGAGAAGAUAUUUUUCUGAAAAAAGUUCACCACUGCUUUGGCAUCAUUUAUUGGCAAUGCGGCAACCUCUACCCAUUUAGACACAUAGUCUACAGCAACUAGAAUAUAUAAGUUCCCAAAAGAUUGUGGGAAUGGGCCCAUGAAGUCUAUCCCCCAUGCAUCAAAGAUCUCUACCUCCAAAAUGUUUGUUAAUGGCAUUUUAUGUCUUUGAGAUAUGUUUCUUGUUCUUUGGCACCUGUCACAACAUUCAGUAAACUCAUAAGCAUCUUUAAAAAUAAAAGGCAAGUAAUAACCUGAUUGUAGAACUUUGGCAGUUGUUUUGUGGCCUCCUAAAUGUCUUCCACAUGCUGCAGCAUGGCAUGACUGUAGGAUGUGUGGAAUUUCUUCAUCAGGUACACAUCUUCGGAUCAUAUGGUCUGAGCAUAGCUUGUAUAAAUAUGGAUCAUCCUACUGGUAGCUUCUAACAUCAUGAAAAAAUUUCUUCUUCUGCUGAUAAUUCAAAUCAGGUGGUAACAACCCACUCACCAAGUAACUAGCAAAAUCUACCUACCAUGGCAAUCCAGCUUGCUGCAGCAUCUACGCACGCUGUAGCAUUAACAGUUGCUCAUUAGGGAAUGUUUCAGUGAUGUCUUGUUUAGUCAAUGUGCUGGCAUCUGCUUCUAGCCUUGAGAGAUGAUCUGCUACUUGAUUUCCAGUCCAUUUUCUAUCAUUGAUCUCCAAAUCAAACUCUUGUAACAAUAGGAUCCAUCUUAUCAAUCUUGGUUUGGCAUCCUUUUUUUAAAUCAGAUAUUUUAUUGCUGCAUGAUUUGUGUAAACUAUCACUUUGGUACCCACCAAGUAGGCUCUGAAUUUAUCAAAGGCAAACACCACAACUAGCAACUUUUUUUAGUAGUGGUGUAGUUGAUCUAAGCAUUGACAAAGGUUUUGUUGGCAUAGUAAAUGGAGUGAAAAUUCUUGUUCUUUCUCUAUCCCAACACUGCUCCAACAGAAUGGUCACUAGCAUCACACAUCGGUUCAAAAGGUAGACUCUAAUCUAGUGCUAUAACAAUCGGUGUUGUUACUAGAGCUUUAUUUAACUCAUUAAAGGCUUUAAAACAAUCUUUAUCAAAAUUAAAAGGCCUGUCAUGCUCCAGCAACAUACAUAAAGGUUUAGCUAUUUUGCAAAACUCUUUAAUGAACCUUCUAUAGAACCCAGCAUGUCUCAUAAAACUUCUAAUACCCUUAACUGAAGUUGGAGGUGGCAGUUUAUCUAGCACAUCUAUCUUUGCCUUAUCCACCUCUAUCUCAUUCUUGGAUGCUCUAUGACCCAAUAUUAUACCUUCUUGUACCACAAAGUGGCAUUUUUCCCAAUUGAGUACCAAGUUGGUCUCCUCACACCUCUUAAGCACAUCUUCCAAGUUGUGCAAACAAUCAUCAUAUGUCUAUGAAAUACAAGUGUGCAACCCAAGAGGGGGGUGAAUUGGUAUUUUAAAAAUUAUCCUAACAAAGCCACACAACAAUCCAAUCUAAUGCCUUAAUAAAUUCGAAAGCAAUAAGUUCAAUAAAAGCACAAUAACAAAUGAGUAAGAGAGAAGAGAAACAAACACACGAAUUUUUACGUGGUUCGGCAAUCCCCGCCUAAGUCCACGCCUCCAAGUGAUCCAAGCUUGAGGAUUUCACUAUCCAAGCCUUCCAAGGCUUCAAAUGUUUACAAUUGACUUCAAGGUGUCAAUGAACCUUUACAAUAAAGAGAUUAUCUCCCAAUCUCUUCACUCAAGUGUCUCACACACUCAAAUACUCACAAUUAAGAUGAGGAAUUGAAGAUUACAAUAAAAACUCUCUUAAAGAAUAGAUAUACAAAUUGAAGAACAAAAGAUGAUUCAAGGUUUUAUGAUUUGCGAAAUGAGAGCUCAAUGAACGUUGUGUGCUUUUUGAUUUUGCUUGCUAGAGAGCUUUAAAAUGAAUUGGAUUUGAGUUUAUAUAGUUUGAGCUCAAAAACUAGCCGUUAUGCACAUUUUGGUGAUAACCGGCUUACCAUUUAUGGAAUCCGGUUUGCCGCUUGUAUGUUACCGUUAAGGCAAAAAUUUGAAUUUUAGAACAUCUCGCAUGCCGCUUACGAUAUCCGGAUAGCCGUUUAUGCUCCAGAAGCUUACUGCCUAAAAUUUGGAUAGCUGCUUAUCAUAUCCGAUUAAUCGGUUGCUACAGUAACUGCUACAGUAAAAUAUUUUUUGAAAUUAUUGUUUAACCCCAAAACUUUAUAAAACUAUAUUAUGGCCCAAAACGUUAUGAACGUUUUAAAAUAAGUCCAAUUCUAGAAUUCCUAAAUAAUAUUUUGUCAAUCCCAAAACUUUAUGAAAUUAUGAUAUCACCCAAACUAUGUGAAAUUAGCUCCAAAACGCAUCCGGCUUUCCGGUUUUGCUCUGCUGUACCGUACAUCCGCCUUGGCCGUACAGCAGCAAUUCAUAAAUCUUUGUUUAACUAACACAUGUGGUUUGUUAUCAUCAAAAUUAAUAUUUAUAGUCAGAUAGACUAACAAUCUCCCCAUUUUUUAUGAUGAUAAAACACAUUAUAAAAAUUUAAUUUAGUUAUGAAAAACUCCCCCUUAAUUAAUGUAAGGUUAAAAAAAAAUGAUUCGAAAAUUAUUUAAAAGGCUCCCUCUGCAUACAUGCAUAUUUUUAUAUCACAUAUUAUAUUAUUCUCCCCCUUCAUCAUAAAAAAGAAUAAAAGCUCCCCCUAUCAAUCAUCAAAAACUCAAUGCAAGCAUAUUAGUUCAAAAAUAUCCAAAUCAUAAGAAAUUAUAAGAAAUCAUAACAAACAAUCAAAACAGAUCCAUAUCAUCCAAAACAAAUGCAUAAUCCAACAACAUAACAACCAUCCAUAAAAUCGGAAAUAAAAGUACAUAAAGCAGUAAAUGAAAUGUAGGUGUGUCCAAAUACAAGCAUAAGAGACUACUGAGGUGGUGAUGGAGGAGGAUACGGAUACAGAAUGCCGAAGUGCUCAAAGAGGAGGCACUAUCCAUGAAUGAGUUGCUGCUGCUGAAACUCAGUCUACCGCACAGAGAGUGUCCGCACCUCAUCCAUAAGUUGCUGAAGAGUAACCUCUUCAGAGGUAGGAGGCUGUGGAGGUGAUGAAGCGGAUGCAAAGGCACCAGGAGCUGAAGCAAUCACGAGAGGAUCUGGGCGUCUAUGCUGGCCCCGAAAUGAGAGUGAGAAAAUAGGAAGUUGAUCAGCAAGAACCACAACGUUGAGUGGCCGAUCAUCACUCAGAGCAAGAAAAGUAAACUUGUUUUCAGUUAAUUUUACCCUAGUGUCAUUACUCAACUCAAAACCUAAGCCAAAUACAGCAUCAUCCCCUAUACCCUUAGACGGUUUACACGAUGGUUCUUGAAGCGGUACAUCAAAAUAUUUAAGGAUUCAGGUAAUGAAGUGACCAUAUGGAAAGGAGCGGGUAAUCAAGGCAGGUAUGGUCAACAUAGUUCGGAUGAUGGUAUAUCCCAAGUUAACCGAACGACGUCUAAGAAUACAAUCAAUCAAAGCAACGUCCAUGUGGGAAACCUAGUCCAAAUGCCCUGAUCUAGGAAGAACAAUGGAUUGAAUAAAGCGAAGCAAAAUGCAAGUUUGAAGACAAAGACACUGAGUACGGAAAUGAAUGGUGCAAUCUUCACAGAAAGAUCAUUACGCCGACAAUUAUUACGAACGGCGUCAACAUGAACAUAACUAUCAAGUUUGGGAGAUUUCCUAGGCGAAAAAAUUUAUAGGCCAAAAUCGGAUGAUCUUAGGAUAGAGUUUAACAAGGAAAAAUCAAUAUCAAUCAUAACUCCUCCAACAUUGGUGAUUACUCGAGUCUUGUUCUCCGUGGAAAUGUUCAUAUUCGAGUAAAACACUUUCACCAAGUCGGGAUAAACAUUCUCCUCAAUCAUAAGUGCUUUAAUCCAACCAAUAUUUCCCAACAAUUGAAAUAAGUUUCUAUGGCUAAUAUUGAGAGUAUUAAUCCAAUUCGGUAAAACAUAAAACGUAUUGAGUACCUCACGAGUCCUGAAGCUUUGGUGAAAUCGUUUGGCUAAAUGUUUGUUGUUCUAAAAGUGUGAAGACUCAAAAUUGGAUUGAUUGGAGAUGUCCCCUGCUUGCCGUGACCGGUUGGUUUGUUGAACCGGUUCUUUGCCUUUUCUUCAAACCGGCCAUGAGCUUGACAUGGUGAUUUUGAUUGAUUUGAAGUUAAAAAAAGCAAUGAGAAGGAAGAUAACGAGGAUUGAAAGAGAGUUUGGGAGGUAAUUUGGAUAAAAAACGGCUUAAAAGGAAGAAAUUUAGAGAGAGAAGAAUUCGGUAAAACCCUAGAUUUGAGUUCGGAUCUAGUGAGUUUGAGAUUGAAAAUGCAUUUGAAAGAUGUUUUUAGGCAUAAGAACGGAUAGGAAACAAGUUUAAUGGUUCGAUUUGCAUUAAAAAUGAGUAGAAAUGAUGGAUUUUGGAGUGAAAAAGAGAGAGAAAGAAACGGCUUUAGAGAGAGAAAGCUUAUCCGGUUGACCGAAAGAUAGAAGAGGAAUAACUGUUCUAAAAAACUGCAAAUCCGGCUAACCGGUUAGCCGAUUAGUGGAUAGAAUGAGUAAAGCCGUAACUGGCUUACCGGGUUUGCUAACCGGCUGUCCAGUUUAAUUCCAGAAUGUGUCCAUACAGUAACUGGCUUGCCGGUUUGAAGAACCGGCUGUCCGGUUUUUAGGCAGAGAAUGAGCUUUGCAAAUUCAAUUUUUCGGAUUUCAUAACCGGAUGACCGGUUUUCGUCCAGUAAGCUCCAAAACGCAUCCGGCUUUCCGGUUUUUCUAAUCGAUUGACUAGUUUUCUUCCUGAAAUUUUGCAAAGCAAAUCCUGCUUACCAGUUUGGUAAAUCCGGUUAUCCGAAAGUUGACCCAAGAGCAACCAAAGCUAAUCUGGCUUACCGGUUUGCUAAAUCCAGUUAUCCGGAAUUUUUCCCGAGAGCAAUCAAUAAGAAAAACGGUUGGCCAGUUGAGAGAAAGCGGUAUACCGGUUUUAACUUGAAUUUUUUUUUCCUCUAAUUGAAUUUUGGCAAACUCUUAUACUUGUAUUAUACACACCGAUUUGUUUUUGGCUUAAAAAUUGAUCAAUUUUAAAUCAUUUUGUGAUUUUAAACUUUCAAUAAGCCAUUUUAAAAAUAAAUGAAACACAAAUGCAUUCAAGAACAAACAUAUCAACUUAAUCAUCAGAUCAUAAUUCAAGAUGCAACAUUCAUCAUUCCAAGCUCAUGUCUUAUCUUUAUAAAAUGCUCUUCACUAGUAGGUUUUGUAAAGAUAUCAACAAGUUGAUUUUCAGUAGAAACAAAUUUAAUUACAACAUCUCCUUUUUGAACAUGAUCUCUAAGGAAGUGAUGCCUAAUUUCUAUAUGCUUAGUCCUAGAAUGUUGAAUGAGAUUCUUGGAUAGAUUAAUAGCACUAGUAUUAUCACACAAGAUAGGUAUUUGAUCAAGAUUAAUACCAUAGUCUCUAAGGGUUUGUUUCAUCCAAAGAAUUUGUGCACAACAACUUCUGGCGGCAAUGUAUUCGGCUUCGGUGGUUGAAAGUGCAACCAAGUUUUGUUUCUUACUAAACCAAGAGACAAGUGGAUGGCCUAGGAAAUGACAUGUUCCACUAGUAUUUUUUCUAUCAACCUUAUAUCCGGCAAAAUCAGCAUCCGAAUAAUAAGUUAAGUCAAUAUGAGUUCCCCUAGGAUACCAAAGGCCAAGAUUAAUGAUGCCAAUCAAAUAUCAAAAAAUUCGUUUGACAGCAAGCAUGUGUGACUCUUUAGGACAAGAUUGAAAUCUAGCACACAAGCAUACACUAAACAUAAUAUCAAGUCUACUAGUAGUCAAAUAGAGUAAGGAUCCGAUCAUACCUCGAUAAGUCUUGAUGUCAACUUCCUUACCUUUCUCAUCUUUGUCCAGCUUGAUGAUAGUACUCAUUGAAGUGCUUUUUGCCAUUCCAUUAUCAUAGCCGAAUCUUUUGAGUAGAUCUUUCACGUACUUGGCUUGAUUUAUGAAAAUUCCUUCCUCGUUUUGUUUGAUUUGGAGUCCAAGAAAGUACUUCAACACUCCCAUCAUACUCAUAUCAAAUUCUUUGCUCAUACAAGAUGAAAAUUCUUUACACAACAAUUCAUUAGUAGAACCAAAGAUAAUGUCAUCAAUAUAGAUUUGUACUACAAGUAUAUCUUGGUUCUUAUGCUUAAGAAUGAGAGUAGUAUUCGCUUUUCCCAUUGAAAAACCAUUAUCCAAUAGAAAAUUCUUAAGCCUAUCAUACCAUGCUCUAGGUGCUUGUUUUAGUCCAUAUAAUGCCUUAGACAACUUAUACACAUCAUUUGAAAAUUUUCAUUUUCAAAACCAGGAGGUUGUUUUACAUAGACUUCCUCCAUAAUGUAACCAUUUAAGAAAGCACUUUUGACAUCCAUUUGAUAUAAAAUAAAAUUUUUAUGACAUGCAAAAGCUAAGAGCAUUCUAAUGGAUUUUAGUCUAGCUACAGGUGCAAAUGUUUCAUCAAAAUCAAUUCCCUCUUCCUGGUUGUAACCUUGAGCCACUAAUCUAGCUUUAUUUCUUACAACCACACUGGAUUCAUCCAUUUUGUUUCUAAAUACCCAUUUAGUGCCUAUAAUGGAUUAAUGUUCCGGAUUAGGAACUAAUUCCCACACAUUGUUUCUCUUAAAUUGAUUCAACUCCUCUUGCAUUGCCAUAGUCCAAGAUUCAUCAUUUUCCGCAUCCGCAAAGGAUUUUGGUUGAAUUUGAGAAAUAAAUGCAGCAUGCUCACAUGUGUUCCUAAGAGAUGAUCUAGUUGUAACACCUCGUGAGGGAUCUCCUAAAAUUACAUCCUUAAGGUGAAAAGAAACAUACCUCCACUCCUUAGGGAGUGUUUGAGAAGUACCUUCAUUUUGCUCUGCAUUCGUUUCUUCAUGAUGUUCCUCUUGACUUCCAUGUGGUGCAUCUUUUUGGUUGUCAUUUGAUGCUUCUUCUUGUUGUUCUUCUUCUGCAUUAUCAUCAACAACGACUUUCUCCGUAGAGGAGGGGUUAGAGUUAUCAAAUGUCACAUGCAUAGAUUCUUCCACAACCAAAGUUCUUUUAUUAUAAACUCUAUAAGUUUUGCUUGAGUUUGAAUAACCAAGAAAAAUACCUACAUAAGAUUUUGGAUCAAAUUUACUAAGAUUAUCUUUUGUGUUCAAAACAAAACAUUUGCAUCCAAAGACUUUAAAAUAGUCAAUGUUGGGUUUUCUAUCUUUCCAAAGCUUAUAUGGAGUUUUAUUAAGAUUAGGUCUAAUCAACACAAGAUUCAAAACAUAACAAGCGGUGUUGACGGCUAGAAUUUUCAUUCAACAUGGUCCUAGCCAUUUCUUGAAUAGACAUAUUCUUUCUCUCUACAACUCCAUUUUGUUGAGGAGUCCUAGGUGAUGAAAAUUGAUGCUCAAUGCCAAAAUCAUUACAAAAGUUCUCAAAUGCAUAAUUUUCAAAUUUUCCGCCAUGGUCACUCCUAAUACAAGAAAUACUACACCCCUUUUCAUUUUGAACCUUUUUGCAGAAAACUUUAAAUACAUCAAAGGCAUCAUCUUUGUUAGCUAAGAAUAAUACCCAUGUGUAUCUAGAAUAAUCAUCCACAAUUACAAAAGCAUAAUAUUUGCCAUUUAAACUAGCAUAUCUAGAAGGUCUAAACAAGUCUAUGUGAAGUAGUUGAAGUGGUUUUUAAGUAGAAAUUUUUUUCUUGCUUUUAAAGGAAGUUUUGAUUUGUUUUCCAAAUUGGCAAGCUUCACAAAUUCUAUCUUUUUGAAAACUGAUUUUUGAAAGACCUUUAACCAAAUUAUUUUCACGAUUUUUGAAAUCAAAUCCAUGCUUGCAUGACCUAAUCUUCUAUGCCAUAACCAACCAUCAUCAUACAAUGCGGAGAAAAAUUUAUCAUUUGUAGAAGCACAAUCUAUAUUAAUGGUAUAGACAUUAACACAUCUAUUUCCUACAAAUAAAAUCUUGCCAUUACAUGCAUUCUCAAUAACACAUUUUGAUUCAUCAAAGAUAACUCUAUAUCCUUUAUCACAUAAUUGACUAAUGUUAAGCAAGUUGUAUUUUAAGUUUUCAACCAAACACACAUUUUCAAUGAGAGUAGAGGAUAUAUUACUGACAUUGCCAAUGCCAAUGAUUUUUCUUUUGGAAUUAUCUCCAAACGAUACAUCUCCACCAUUUUCGAUCUUGGUAAAACUUGAAAACCAAGAAUAAUUCCCUGUCAUGUGUCUUGAACAACCACUGUCCAAGUACCACUUAUUAUUAUUCUUCUUCUUCUUCAAGCCCUGCAGAGAAAAUCUCAAGUUUUAAGUACCCAAACCUUUUUGGGUCCUUGAGAGUUAGCAAUGGUUCCUUUCGGAACCCAAACACAUUUCACACUAUAAUAUGCAUUUCUCUUCACAGGACAUCUAUUUUUCAUAUGACCAUCUUGAUUACAAUAAUGACAUACAAUUUGAUUGUUAAUAGAUGUAUUCUUCACAAAAUAAAUUUUGUAAUAUUUUUGUUUCAAAUUUGGCUUAUAACCAAUGCCUCCUUUGUCAAAUACACAUUUUUGUGAGUUUAGCAAGUUAUCCAACAUCUUUUGCCCAUUUGUGAAUUUUAGCUCAAUCUCAUUUAGUUCAUUGCUCUUCUUUCUAAGCAUUUCAUUUUCAUUUUCAUUUUUCAAGUCAUUCACGUGUGACUCUAAGUGCUAGAAUUCUCAAAUAAUGCAACUCUAUCACGCAAUGUUUUAUUCUCUAAUUCUAGGCAUGUAAUCUUUGCACUAAAUAAUUCAUUUUCAUUUUUAAGCUCUAUCAUUUUCUUUUUAAAACAUAUAUUCUUUUUACCAAUCUUCAUCAAUUCAUCAUGCAAAUCCUUAAAGGCAUCAUGUAAAUCCUUAAAGGCUAACAGUCUCUCCAAAAACUAAGAAAUCAUCAAUGAAAACUUCCAAUGUCUGCUCAACUAUAUCUGAAAAGAUGGACAUUAUACACCUCUGGAAGGUUGCUGGAGUAUUGCAUAAACCAAAUGGCAUUCUUUUGAAAGCAAAAGUUCCAUAAGGGCAGGUGAGUGUGGUCUUCUCCUGGUCCUCUGGUGCUAUAGCAAUCUGGUUUUAGCCUAAAUACCCAUCUAGGAAGCAGCAGUAUUGUUUUCCAACAAGUCUGUCCAAUAUAUGUUCUAUAAAUGGUAGUGGGAAGUGAUCCUUUCUCGUGGCUUUGUUAAGUUUCCUAUAGUCCAUACAAACUCUCCUUCCAGUUACCAUUCUUGUGAGAAUAAGUUCAUUCUUCUCAUUUGCUACAACAAUUACUCCACCUUUCUUCGGAACACAUUAUACUAGGCUCACCCAAGAACCGUCAGAUAUCGGGUAUAUGAUCCCAGCAUCCAACCAUUUGAUGAUCUCAUUUUUCACAACUUCCUUCAUGCUAGGGUUUAGUCUCCUUUGUUGCUCUACUGAAUUACUGUAAUAGUUAUCCAGCAGAAUUUUGUGCAUGCAUAUGGAUGGGCUGAUUCCCUUAAUAUUUGUCAUAGUCCAUCCAGUUGAUCUGCAUUGAGAGAAGAUGAAAUGAUUACAAAAAGUGUAUUACUUUUACCAAGAUAAACAUAUUUCAAGUGUGAAGGUAGAAGAUUUAAUUCUAAACUAAAAGGUGAUUCAAUAAUGAAAUUGUUGGUUUUACUUUCCUGUUUGAAAGAUCUAGAUAUUCAAAGUGUCUAUUAUAUCUUACAGAUUGCUUUUCUCCUAACCAUGCUAUCUGGUUUGGUGCAACAUCCUCUUCUUCAAGUUCUUCAAAAGUGGCAGCUUUGAUGUCUUCAUUGCUGCAGCAACUGUCUAUUCUUUUUGUCACAACAAAGUCCACAACACUCAUAAAAUUACAGUCUUCAACCUCAUCUGGACUCUUCAUAGCUUCCAGCACAUUGAAGGUGACUUGUUGGUCAUUCACCCUCAUGGUUAACUCUCAUUUCUACAAAUCAAUAAGGUUAGGGUCUUUUCUGUUGCUAGGAAAGGUCUACAAAGUAUAAUUAGUACUUCCUUGUCUGCCUCAAAGUCUAGUACAAAAAAAUCCACUGGAAAAAUGAAUUUAUCUACCUUUACCAAUACAUCUUCAAUCUUGCUCUCAAGACAUGCAUGAGAUUUGUCAGCAAGUUGUAAAGUUACUGUUGUUGGUCUGCAGUCACCAACUCCUAAUUGUUUAAAUACAAGUAAGUACAUUAGAUUGAUGCUUGCUCUCAAGUCACAAAGUGCUCUAGCAUUGUAUCUAGUUCCAAUAGAACAUAGAAUUGUAAAGUUUCCUGGAUCUUUCAACUUUUGAGGAAUCUUAUUCUGAAGGAUAUGCCUGCAUUCUUGUGUUAGAGCAAUAGUUUCAAAUUCUCCAAGCCUUCACUUUCUUGUCAAAAUAUCCUUAAAAAUUUUCAUAUAAUUGGCCAUUUCUUCUAAGGUUUCCACAACGGGAAUGUUGAUAGUUUCAACACUUCUAAGAAUUUGCUGAACUGCUUGUCUUGUUUUUGUUUCUAGAAUCUUUAUGGGAAAGGUGGUGGAUGUCUAAACUAUUGAACUACAACCGGAAGUACAAGUUGUUGUUCUUUUGGUCGACUUUGUGUUGUUACUGCUGGUGUUCCAGCUUCUGCUUCAACAGGUAUGAGUGAUUUCUUUCUGUGGUUGCUAUCGCCUGACUACUUUCACCAGUGUUUUGAUAAUUGGGUUGCUGCAAUUCUUUUUCAACUUGAAGCUCUUCUGGAGAUGAAAUAAGUUCCAUACUUUUUUCUUGGGAUACCAAUAAGGAUAUCAACACCCUUCCCAAACCUUAAAUUGAUUACCUUGCAAUGUUUCUUACCUUCUCUCCUUGGAUCUUAUGUGUUGCUGGGUAAACUCCCUUAAAGCCUGUUACUUAAUGCUGUGGUAAGCUGUCCAAUUUGAUUUUCUAAAUUUCUCAAUGAUACAGCCUGACUUUGGACAACUACUUUAUUCUUCACAAUGUACUCCUUAAUUAGUGUCUCCAGAGAACUAAAUUGAUCAUUGCUGGUGUUAUUUUCCCCUUUAUUUUGCUUACGAAAACCAGGUGGUGGAGUAGGUCUGUUUUGUCCGCCGGGUGCUGUAGAAUGCUAGUUCUAGUUGCUCCAUGAAAAAUUUAUAUGCUACUUCCAUCCAGGGUUGUAGGUAUUAAAGUUGCCCACAUAAUUGAUUGAUGCUGGAUUCCCUGGGCAAUUAUCAAAUAAAUGCCUCUCUCCAGAAUACACGCGAGAAACCUCAGCAACUUGAUUGACUGUUGCUGGAGUAGUGGUCAUAGCUUUCACCAUAUUGGUCAAUGAUGUUACUUGGGCUGAUAAUGCUGUAAAUCUAUCCACAUUAUGUAUUUCCGCUGCUCCUCUUGCUGCAGUUUGUCUACUCGAUGGCAACUGAUAGUUGUUAUUAGUAAUCCUCUCUAAAAUUUCAUAUGCUUCAUUGUAAGAUUUAUAUAAUAAAGCCCCAUUUGCUCAAGCAUCGACCAUCAAUCUAGUACUGGAGUUUAACCUAUUAUAGAAAUUUUUUAACUGUACGCAACAAGGAAUGCCAUGAUGAGGACAUCUCCUAAGCAAUUCCUUAAAUCUUUCCUAAGCCUCAUACAAGCUUUCAUCUUCUAGUUGGUGACAAGAAGUGAUCUCAUUCCGCAACUUUACAUUCUUGGUUGGUGGGAAGUACUUCAUCAGAAACUUAUCAGCCAAGUCAUUCCAUGUUGUGAUGAAGUCUGGUAGUAAAGAGUUCAACCAUGCUCUUGCUCGAUCUCUUAGGGAGUAAGGAAAGAGUAUGAGUCGCAAUGCAUCCUGUGAUGCUCCAGUAAUUUUAAAAGCUUCACUCACCUCCAAAAACAAUUUAAGGUCGAGAUGAGGGUCUUCUAAUGGCAAUCCAUUAAAUUGCUCCAUUGUUUGCAACAUUUAAAACAUCAUUAGUUUGAGUUCAAAGUUGGCAUCUUCCACCUUAGGUCUAACUAUUCCAGGAUGUAUAACUCGAGGGGCCAACACAACAUAAUCUCUAAUGGCUCUGCCAUGUAGAUAAUAUUAUUAUUCCUUGGUGGUCUCUGAUUGAUUUGCCCAUUCUGACCUUCUUGAACAUUGACAGGUUGUAUUAGUCUGUGAGGGUCUAAGUUUCCUAAGAUUUGCAAGUCAUCCAUUGCUACAACAACUUUUGAAUUUCUUUGCUCUCUUCUUAAUCUCCUUGCAAUUCUUUCAAUCUCUGGAUCAAAUUAAAAUUCAACAAGUUUAUAUUUGCGCAUGCAAGAGUGAUCUGUUAACAAAGUAAACAAAUCAGAAUAAAAUCAAAGAUUGGCACUGUUAAAAUUAAUUUCACAACUCAAAAAUAAACAAUCAAUUCCCGGAAACGGUGCCAAAAACUUGUUAUUUUAACUCAUUUUCUAUUGGUAUCAAUGAGCAAGUGUACAUAACAAGUAAUAUAAUGAUGAGUAUCCAAGAUCGUCUCUACAUGGAUUGAUGCUAUCAGACUUGCAAUAGCAAUUUCACAGUGCAAUUUAUGUUUGAAUGUAAAACAAGGCAACUAAUAGAACUAAAAGACUAAGUAAAAAAACUAAAAACACAAUAAUUGAAAAUGCAGUAAAUAAAAUUUGCACGUUAAACACAAAGGUAAAAUCAAUAGGAAUGGAUUAGUUGAAUGAUUAAACUCUCUUGAUGAUGUUGACUGUUUUAUUCAUGCUAAGUUCAGUUGCUACAACAUCUACUACAGUACUGGGUAAAAACUAUCUUAUCAUCAGCGAUAGCAUGUUUGAUGUCUUAUAUAUUUAUACAACCUAACAGUGACCAGUUGUUAUCUCAACAUAAGAUAUAACAUUACACGUUUAUAUUUUCUUUACCCUACAAGGUGAAUCCCCAUAUCUAGUUCAUCACUAAUCUUAGAUUAAGCAUGCCCAUUUUUGGACUCAAGUUAAACUCAAUCCAGGAAACUCAAUCUAAGACCAAGUAUUGCUCUAAUAUGCUCCACUGAGAUAGGCCCUUUUGCGGCUCUUUCUUAACUUUUAUCAUUAAAUGGUUGGUCAACCAAAAAAAUGAAUGUAAAUAAUUGUUAUUAAAGCAACAUGCUAUAGCAAACAUGUAGCAACACCUAUAUUUAGUCAAUUAAUCAUCAAGAUAGUUUAACACUCAACCAUAAAUAAAUUUAGUUCAUAAUUUGUGAAAGGAAAGUAAACAACCAAGUUCUAGCCAUCAAAUACAUCUUAAUGAUCAAUGAAUAACAAGUAAACAAGAAAAGAAUAGGAAAGAGCAAAUUCCAAUUGAUUCUGCAAAUUUCUUCUACUGGUGCAGCCUUGAAUUCUGCUUGGGAAUUCUAUUCCUUCGUUGUUUCUUUUCUGUUUUGAUCUUGAUUGACAACCUCCUUUUUCCUUUGCAUGAUUCCCCUUUUGUAAUCAUAACUUAGGGUAACUAGAAACUUCAGAGCGCGCAUCUUCCAGAUUAAGAAAUUGCAUAUCGCAAUAUUAUGAAUAUCUCACCCAGAUUUUUCUCUGUCAAUGCUUUAGGUUUGCUACAGCAAUGGCGCCAGCAUCUUUUCUGUUCCAUACUUGCUCAAAUUCUUCAAUAGCCAUGCUCGUUUGUCAUCUUUAUAAGUCUAUUGCAACAACAUCUUUUGCAUAAAAUUCAAGUUUCUAUUUACCUAUAGUUAAACAUGUGUUUUAGGCAUAAAUUAUUCAAAAAUCAUACUAACUUUAUUAAACUUAAACUAAAAUGAAUGUGAUGCAAACUAUCAUUAAAAUGCACUAAAACACAUUAAUUACUCUCUAAGUAGUCUUGAUUUAAGCCUAAAAAUGCCAUGAUAACUCUCAUUUUAUAGAGUUAUCAAGCAGCAGCAGGAGCAAGGGAAUGCUGAAGAGGCUAAAGUAGAAGAAGAAGAAAAUGUGAAGAAGAGGAAAAAGAAGCGGAAAAGGAAGAGAAACCACUCGUUCAGACUCCCAAGUGCAAAAGUAAAGAGAAUAUUUUGAUUGAGGAGGAAAAUACUGAGUCAGAGUGGGAAGAGGAUGUUGAUAUAGCAAUUGAAAAGGCCAUCAGGAGGGCCGCAAGGACAAAAGAAGUAAAGAGGAGUUUAAGGGAAAUCAUUGCAAGCAUCACUGCAGAACAAUCAACAACAAGAACUCCCACUCGUGGUGACGGAGAGAAAUCAAGCUAAACGUCAUGAUUAUCCAAAGGUUGAUCAGCGGUGAAAACGACCAGUAUGGGGCUUGGAAUUGGUCGGAAAAUGAAGAGAGGAUCUCAGAUAACCAAAUUUAGGUGGUGGCAUUGACGAAAACCGGCUAGAUCAGGCCAAAAUGAGAGGCAGUUGACAUUAUUUUUUAAGCUCGAUUUGCAGUCUUCUGGUUGUUUUAUGGCAGCGUUGACGCCAGAUAAACGACCAACGUAUCGCAAGCUUCCGAUCAGUGCCUCCCUUGGCCGGUGAAGUGAACGGAAUCAUGAGAUCCGUCUAGGUCGGAUUGUUGUUGUUUGGGUCAGAUCGGAUUGUUGGUGUAUUAGCAGGACAAUGGCUGGGGCUAAGUUACAUAUAAUGUAACAUACAUUACAAAAAAUUACAUCUAAUAAUUUAAUAUAGUUUAACAAUUAAACAAUACUUGAAUAUUUUGGAUAUUAAUCUCAUGUUGCCAUAUACUACAUUAUAUCAAACAUUGCAUGAUCUUUAAUUUGAAUUCAGAAAAUUACUUAUUCUAAGAUAUUUAAAUUUUAUCGAUUGUUGGUUUUCACUAAAUAUCACUAAUUUUAAGACGUUUCAUCGAAAUCCAUUAUCAAGAAUUCUGACUUUUAUUGGCUUAUUUAAGUUUAAAUACCUAAUUAAAUAUACUCUAUGCAAUUAAUUGACUUCCUGUUUAUAUUUUAAAUUUUUUGCACUAUUGUUUAUUUUUCAAGAAAGUGCGUGAGGCUUUCUUCUUGUUCAAAAAAGAUUUUCGCAUGUGCAUACUGUUCUUGAGGGUUUUCUUAUGUUGCCUGCGCAUACUACAUAUACACUAUUUUUUAGGGUGUGCUUAAGUUCUGGUUUUCCUUUGAUCUUGAAUACUCAAAGAGUAAUUCAAAAAAAAAAAACAAAGGAAUUCAGGUUAGUCACUCGCCAAAUAUUCUAAACAAAGAAUUUCUUUAAGGACGCAAGAUUUCCUCAUUGGCUUUUCCUUAGCCCUUAAACGCCUUGUCUGAGAUUUUGAUAUCAUAAUCUUAAAUCCAUUAACAACAAAAGGCUUAAUAAGAAUAGAAGAGUCUCUGUGAAUUUCCUAUAUAAUAAUGGGGUCAACAACUUCUUUUGAAGGAGUAUAUAUAUAUAUGAGAUUCUUGGAUAGUCUCUCUCAAAUAGUUAACUUAAAAAAUAGACGGAUAUGGUUCAGCUAAGAUAGAGUUCCUAAUAGAAUUUUGUAAGUUAGCUCCAAGGACAAGUACGAAUAAGGUUUGACUAGGUAAUGGAUCAGGUAUAGCUUUAGUAGGAGGUUUUAAGUAUGAUUAAGAUCUUCACCUGAUGUGAGCUAGCUCUCUGGAGCUUUUAAAGAUCUUGUGCUACCUUAAGAUCUUAAACUUUCUAUAUCUAUAUACUAAUGGAAUGUCAGGUAAAUCAACAAGUUCACAUGGUCAUUCAUCAACAUGCCUGGUGUGUAUAUGAAUCUAUGGAGUUUCUUCUUCAAAUAAAGUCUAUUUUCAAGGCUUUUGGUCAUGUACUUAUCCUCCAGUAUCUUUCAUAGUUUCUUUACUGAUGUCUCUUUUAUGACAAAAUAUUUAUGAUCUUUAGCCAAACACAAGUGAAUGGUACCACAUGCCUAUCUAUUGAUCUUUAUUCACUCUUUGUUAUCCAUCUUGUUAAUCUUUUCUUCAAGAGCGAGCUCCAACUCUUGCUAACAUAAGAUCUCUAACACCUCACAUUGCUAUAUACCAAAGUUAUUGGUAUCGUCAAAUUUCUCUACUUCAAACUUUGCAUUAGUCAUAAUAGUCUUUACUUAUGAAAACGAUGACAACGUCACCUUUACCCUCCAUUUUCUAACCACUUAACCUAAAUGACUAGUAUCUACGCGUCUAUUUGUAUAGACAAUGCACUAAGAAAGUUCCAAGGAAAGACUGCAUGGGUCACAACAGUCCCACUUAAAACUAGACUCCUUAGGCAAUUUUAGCCUUGUUGACAGAACUUUCCUGGACAUGCAUUUAUCCACACAACCACGUGAUAAUGAUCGCGACUUCUGGGGAAAUAUAAAUAUAGUGAAAAACAAAUGCAAAAAGACAAAAUAAUUUACAUGGUUCAGCUUAUAGCCUACGUCCACGAGUAAAAACUGGAAGAUAAUUUUAUUAACAAAUGGCUGUUGCAAGAUCAAGAACUACUCUUAAAAUGAUCAUAUACACCCAUAUGGAUCCCUGUUGUUCAAAUUUUAAUGUACUCGCAAGCGCACGAAUCUAUUGUAGUAUAGAUUAAUGGUGACGAGUGUCGAUCCCACGAGGAGGUGGAUUUUAAUUGUGUGUAGAAUUAAUUUUGUAAAUGGGUGAUUGGAUUUGUGGUGGAAAUGAUUUGGAAUAUGCUAAAACUUAAAUUAAAAUGGCCAGAAUAAAUUCUAAAAUUGGAAUUGAAAUGGCGAGAAUAAAUUGAAGAGAAUUCUAUUGAAAUGACGUACUUGGGUAUCUGGAUCUGUAUCAACAUGCACCAUGGGCUAAAUAAUCCUUAUUAAUGCCAAUUAAAUCAUGAGGGGGGAAUCCACACCUCAUGAACCACGCUCUAAUCAAUAUGGUGCUAAGGGCUUAUCGUGCCAAAUAAUAAUAACCUUAUACUAGAGAGCCGGUAUAACCAAAGCGGUAUCUAGACAAGACUAUUAUUAUUUGUCGACGAGAAGUCAAAACAUCCACAAAAACUAGAGGGGAAAAGAAAAUAAAUUUACCAAAUAAAGCCCACUGCUGUACGGCCAAGGCGGAUGUACGGUACAGCAGNNNNNNNNNNNNNNNNNNNNNNNNNNNNNNNNNNNNNNNNNNNNNNNNNNNNNNNNNNNNNNNNNNNNNNNNNNNNNNNNNNNNNNNNNNNNNNNNNNNNNNNNNNNNNNNNNNNNNNNNNNNNNNNNNNNNNNNNNNNNNNNNNNNNNNNNNNNNNNNNNNNNNNNNNNNNNNNNNNNNNNNNNNNNNNNNNNNNNNNNNNNNNNNNNNNNNNNNNNNNNNNNNNNNNNNNNNNNNNNNNNNNNNNNNNNNNNNNNNNNNNNNNNNNNNNNNNNNNNNNNNNNNNNNNNNNNNNNNNNNNNNNNNNNNNNNNNNNNNNNNNNNNNNNNNNNNNNNNNNNNNNNNNNNNNNNNNNNNNNNNNNNNNNNNNNNNNNNNNNNNNNNNNNNNNNNNNNNNNNNNNNNNNNNNNNNNNNNNNNNNNNNNNNNNNNNNNNNNNNNNNNNNNNNNNNNNNNNNNNNNNNNNNNNNNNNNNNNNNNNNNNNNNNNNNNNNNNNNNNNNNNNNNNNNNNNNNNNNNNNNNNNNNNNNNNNNNNNNNNNNNNNNNNNNNNNNNNNNNNNNNNNNNNNNNNNNNNNNNNNNNNNNNNNNNNNNNNNNNNNNNNNNNNNNNNNNNNNNNNNNNNNNNNNNNNNNNNNNNNNNNNNNNNNNNNNNNNNNNNNNNNNNNNNNNNNNNNNNNNNNNNNNNNNNNNNNNNNNNNNNNNNNNNNNNNNNNNNNNNNNNNNNNNNNNNNNNNNNNNNNNNNNNNNNNNNNNNNNNNNNNNNNNNNNNNNNNNNNNNNNNNNNNNNNNNNNNNNNNNNNNNNNNNNNNNNNNNNNNNNNNNNNNNNNNNNNNNNNNNNNNNNNNNNNNNNNNNNNNNNNNNNNNNNNNNNNNNNNNNNNNNNNNNNNNNNNNNNNNNNNNNNNNNNNNNNNNNNNNNNNNNNNNNNNNNNNNNNNNNNNNNNNNNNNNNNNNNNNNNNNNNNNNNNNNNNNNNNNNNNNNNNNNNNNNNNNNNNNNNNNNNNNNNNNNNNNNNNNNNNNNNNNNNNNNNNNNNNNNNNNNNNNNNNNNNNNNNNNNNNNNNNNNNNNNNNNNNNNNNNNNNNNNNNNNNNNNNNNNNNNNNNNNNNNNNNNNNNNNNNNNNNNNNNNNNNNNNNNNNNNNNNNNNNNNNNNNNNNNNNNNNNNNNNNNNNNNNNNNNNNNNNNNNNNNNNNNNNNNNNNNNNNNNNNNNNNNNNNNNNNNNNNNNNNNNNNNNNNNNNNNNNNNNNNNNNNNNNNNNNNNNNNNNNNNNNNNNNNNNNNNNNNNNNNNNNNNNNNNNNNNNNNNNNNNNNNNNNNNNNNNNNNNNNNNNNNNNNNNNNNNNNNNNNNNNNNNNNNNNNNNNNNNNNNNNNNNNNNNNNNNNNNNNNNNNNNNNNNNNNNNNNNNNNNNNNNNNNNNNNNNNNNNNNNNNNNNNNNNNNNNNNNNNNNNNNNNNNNNNNNNNNNNNNNNNNNNNNNNNNNNNNNNNNNNNNNNNNNNNNNNNNNNNNNNNNNNNNNNNNNNNNNNNNNNNNNNNNNNNNNNNNNNNNNNNNNNNNNNNNNNNNNNNNNNNNNNNNNNNNNNNNNNNNNNNNNNNNNNNNNNNNNNNNNNNNNNNNNNNNNNNNNNNNNNNNNNNNNNNNNNNNNNNNNNNNNNNNNNNNNNNNNNNNNNNNNNNNNNNNNNNNNNNNNNNNNNNNNNNNNNNNNNNNNNNNNNNNNNNNNNNNNNNNNNNNNNNNNNNNNNNNNNNNNNNNNNNNNNNNNNNNNNNNNNNNNNNNNNNNNNNNNNNNNNNNNNNNNNNNNNNNNNNNNNNNNNNNNNNNNNNNNNNNNNNNNNNNNNNNNNNNNNNNNNNNNNNNNNNNNNNNNNNNNNNNNNNNNNNNNNNNNNNNNNNNNNNNNNNNNNNNNNNNNNNNNNNNNNNNNNNNNNNNNNNNNNNNNNNNNNNNNNNNNNNNNNNNNNNNNNNNNNNNNNNNNNNNNNNNNNNNNNNNNNNNNNNNNNNNNNNNNNNNNNNNNNNNNNNNNNNNNNNNNNNNNNNNNNNNNNNNNNNNNNNNNNNNNNNNNNNNNNNNNNNNNNNNNNNNNNNNNNNNNNNNNNNNNNNNNNNNNNNNNNNNNNNNNNNNNNNNNNNNNNNNNNNNNNNNNNNNNNNNNNNNNNNNNNNNNNNNNNNNNNNNNNNNNNNNNNNNNNNNNNNNNNNNNNNNNNNNNNNNNNNNNNNNNNNNNNNNNNNNNNNNNNNNNNNNNNNNNNNNNNNNNNNNNNNNNNNNNNNNNNNNNNNNNNNNNNNNNNNNNNNNNNNNNNNNNNNNNNNNNNNNNNNNNNNNNNNNNNNNNNNNNNNNNNNNNNNNNNNNNNNNNNNNNNNNNNNNNNNNNNNNNNNNNNNNNNNNNNNNNNNNNNNNNNNNNNNNNNNNNNNNNNNNNNNNNNNNNNNNNNNNNNNNNNNNNNNNNNNNNNNNNNNNNNNNNNNNNNNNNNNNNNNNNNNNNNNNNNNNNNNNNNNNNNNNNNNNNNNNNNNNNNNNNNNNNNNNNNNNNNNNNNNNNNNNNNNNNNNNNNNNNNNNNNNNNNNNNNNNNNNNNNNNNNNNNNNNNNNNNNNNNNNNNNNNNNNNNNNNNNNNNNNNNNNNNNNNNNNNNNNNNNNNNNNNNNNNNNNNNNNNNNNNNNNNNNNNNNNNNNNNNNNNNNNNNNNNNNNNNNNNNNNNNNNNNNNNNNNNNNNNNNNNNNNNNNNNNNNNNNNNNNNNNNNNNNNNNNNNNNNNNNNNNNNNNNNNNNNNNNNNNNNNNNNNNNNNNNNNNNNNNNNNNNNNNNNNNNNNNNNNNNNNNNNNNNNNNNNNNNNNNNNNNNNNNNNNNNNNNNNNNNNNNNNNNNNNNNNNNNNNNNNNNNNNNNNNNNNNNNNNNNNNNNNNNNNNNNNNNNNNNNNNNNNNNNNNNNNNNNNNNNNNNNNNNNNNNNNNNNNNNNNNNNNNNNNNNNNNNNNNNNNNNNNNNNNNNNNNNNNNNNNNNNNNNNNNNNNNNNNNNNNNNNNNNNNNNNNNNNNNNNNNNNNNNNNNNNNNNNNNNNNNNNNNNNNNNNNNNNNNNNNNNNNNNNNNNNNNNNNNNNNNNNNNNNNNNNNNNNNNNNNNNNNNNNNNNNNNNNNNNNNNNNNNNNNNNNNNNNNNNNNNNNNNNNNNNNNNNNNNNNNNNNNNNNNNNNNNNNNNNNNNNNNNNNNNNNNNNNNNNNNNNNNNNNNNNNNNNNNNNNNNNNNNNNNNNNNNNNNNNNNNNNNNNNNNNNNNNNNNNNNNNNNNNNNNNNNNNNNNNNNNNNNNNNNNNNNNNNNNNNNNNNNNNNNNNNNNNNNNNNNNNNNNNNNNNNNNNNNNNNNNNNNNNNNNNNNNNNNNNNNNNNNNNNNNNNNNNNNNNNNNNNNNNNNNNNNNNNNNNNNNNNNNNNNNNNNNNNNNNNNNNNNNNNNNNNNNNNNNNNNNNNNNNNNNNNNNNNNNNNNNNNNNNNNNNNNNNNNNNNNNNNNNNNNNNNNNNNNNNNNNNNNNNNNNNNNNNNNNNNNNNNNNNNNNNNNNNNNNNNNNNNNNNNNNNNNNNNNNNNNNNNNNNNNNNNNNNNNNNNNNNNNNNNNNNNNNNNNNNNNNNNNNNNNNNNNNNNNNNNNNNNNNNNNNNNNNNNNNNNNNNNNNNNNNNNNNNNNNNNNNNNNNNNNNNNNNNNNNNNNNNNNNNNNNNNNNNNNNNNNNNNNNNNNNNNNNNNNNNNNNNNNNNNNNNNNNNNNNNNNNNNNNNNNNNNNNNNNNNNNNNNNNNNNNNNNNNNNNNNNNNNNNNNNNNNNNNNNNNNNNNNNNNNNNNNNNNNNNNNNNNNNNNNNNNNNNNNNNNNNNNNNNNNNNNNNNNNNNNNNNNNNNNNNNNNNNNNNNNNNNNNNNNNNNNNNNNNNNNNNNNNNNNNNNNNNNNNNNNNNNNNNNNNNNNNNNNNNNNNNNNNNNNNNNNNNNNNNNNNNNNNNNNNNNNNNNNNNNNNNNNNNNNNNNNNNNNNNNNNNNNNNNNNNNNNNNNNNNNNNNNNNNNNNNNNNNNNNNNNNNNNNNNNNNNNNNNNNNNNNNNNNNNNNNNNNNNNNNNNNNNNNNNNNNNNNNNNNNNNNNNNNNNNNNNNNNNNNNNNNNNNNNNNNNNNNNNNNNNNNNNNNNNNNNNNNNNNNNNNNNNNNNNNNNNNNNNNNNNNNNNNNNNNNNNNNNNNNNNNNNNNNNNNNNNNNNNNNNNNNNNNNNNNNNNNNNNNNNNNNNNNNNNNNNNNNNNNNNNNNNNNNNNNNNNNNNNNNNNNNNNNNNNNNNNNNNNNNNNNNNNNNNNNNNNNNNNNNNNNNNNNNNNNNNNNNNNNNNNNNNNNNNNNNNNNNNNNNNNNNNNNNNNNNNNNNNNNNNNNNNNNNNNNNNNNNNNNNNNNNNNNNNNNNNNNNNNNNNNNNNNNNNNNNNNNNNNNNNNNNNNNNNNNNNNNNNNNNNNNNNNNNNNNNNNNNNNNNNNNNNNNNNNNNNNNNNNNNNNNNNNNNNNNNNNNNNNNNNNNNNNNNNNNNNNNNNNNNNNNNNNNNNNNNNNNNNNNNNNNNNNNNNNNNNNNNNNNNNNNNNNNNNNNNNNNNNNNNNNNNNNNNNNNNNNNNNNNNNNNNNNNNNNNNNNNNNNNNNNNNNNNNNNNNNNNNNNNNNNNNNNNNNNNNNNNNNNNNNNNNNNNNNNNNNNNNNNNNNNNNNNNNNNNNNNNNNNNNNNNNNNNNNNNNNNNNNNNNNNNNNNNNNNNNNNNNNNNNNNNNNNNNNNNNNNNNNNNNNNNNNNNNNNNNNNNNNNNNNNNNNNNNNNNNNNNNNNNNNNNNNNNNNNNNNNNNNNNNNNNNNNNNNNNNNNNNNNNNNNNNNNNNNNNNNNNNNNNNNNNNNNNNNNNNNNNNNNNNNNNNNNNNNNNNNNNNNNNNNNNNNNNNNNNNNNNNNNNNNNNNNNNNNNNNNNNNNNNNNNNNNNNNNNNNNNNNNNNNNNNNNNNNNNNNNNNNNNNNNNNNNNNNNNNNNNNNNNNNNNNNNNNNNNNNNNNNNNNNNNNNNNNNNNNNNNNNNNNNNNNNNNNNNNNNNNNNNNNNNNNNNNNNNNNNNNNNNNNNNNNNNNNNNNNNNNNNNNNNNNNNNNNNNNNNNNNNNNNNNNNNNNNNNNNNNNNNNNNNNNNNNNNNNNNNNNNNNNNNNNNNNNNNNNNNNNNNNNNNNNNNNNNNNNNNNNNNNNNNNNNNNNNNNNNNNNNNNNNNNNNNNNNNNNNNNNNNNNNNNNNNNNNNNNNNNNNNNNNNNNNNNNNNNNNNNNNNNNNNNNNNNNNNNNNNNNNNNNNNNNNNNNNNNNNNNNNNNNNNNNNNNNNNNNNNNNNNNNNNNNNNNNNNNNNNNNNNNNNNNNNNNNNNNNNNNNNNNNNNNNNNNNNNNNNNNNNNNNNNNNNNNNNNNNNNNNNNNNNNNNNNNNNNNNNNNNNNNNNNNNNNNNNNNNNNNNNNNNNNNNNNNNNNNNNNNNNNNNNNNNNNNNNNNNNNNNNNNNNNNNNNNNNNNNNNNNNNNNNNNNNNNNNNNNNNNNNNNNNNNNNNNNNNNNNNNNNNNNNNNNNNNNNNNNNNNNNNNNNNNNNNNCCACGUCAUCAGUGAAUAGUACGCGGUUUGACCACGUGGAUGAACAGUAACACAAUUUGACCCGGAUGAACGGUAACGCGGUUUGGUUGAAAAUAAUCUUGUGUGUUGCAUGUACCGUACGUGAGAUUUUUGGUCCACUGAUAUGCUGCCACGUCAUCGAUCAAUAGUGCAUAAGAAUUUUAGUCCAACAAGAUCGUGACACCUCAUCAGUCAAUGCCACAUCAUCGGUCAAUGCCACCUCAUCGAUCCGUCUAUGUGAACAGUGUCGUGAACAGUAACGUAGACAGUACCGUACAUGUGAAUAGUACCGUACAUGUGAACAAUGCCAUUUUUCCUUUUAUGCUCCUCCUAAGGUUUUCGACCGUCCUGAGUUCAAAAGUGAUGUCCGUUUUACCGUCUGAUCUCUCGUUUAUUGUGAAAUGACUAUGACGCCCCUAAAAUACAUAAAAUACUUAAUUAAAAUAAAACACACAAUUAAAUUACAAGAAGCUUAAACACAUAAAAGUAAGGGUUGUUAGUAAGACGUGAAAUGUAAAAUGAUGAUUUUCUCCUUUAUAAAUAUGCAUUUUCUAACACUCAACAAUCCCCUUUAUACUCAAGGAAAUGCUCUUUCAACACUCUUGAAGAUGCUCUUAACUCUCACAAUUUGGGAUGCUUUACUCUCUCGAAAUGAAGAUCUAUUUAUAGUGAAUGAGUGACCUUGAACUUUAAGAAUUGCAGUCCAAAAUCCAGUGCAAUAGCCACCAUUUCCAUUUACGAAUAUUGACAAAUAAAGCAUGAAUUACUGACUAUUCAUAAUGGUGAAAGAUCACGUGAGAAUUUUCUGCCAAAUUUCAUUUGCAUGCAGUAAAGUCAUGCACACUUUGUCAAAAACUUAUGCGUGCAAUUUGCUGCCAUCUUCAAUUUUCAACAACAUCACUGUAUAACAUUAAUUGAAUAAACAAAUUUGUCAAACAAUUUUACUAUUUCACUUUCACGCUUUAAUAAUUACCCUUAUUCAAGUCAAUAUUUCAACAAAGGGUUGUGGUUGAUUUUAAAACAAAAAAAUUAGUUAAAUAAACAAAAAUAGAGGUUGUAAUUUUUUGAAAAAGUUCACAAAAUAGCCUCCUACCUCCUUUUAUUAGCUGCGCCAAAAUAAAGAAAAUUAUCAAAUAAGUGGAUCUUAAAAUAUUUACAAAACAUUCUUUCUUCUUUUUUUUUCAAAAUAGGCUCCAUAUUUAUGUAUUUUAGAGUUUAGAGUUUCACAACAUUUAUUCACCAGUACUGAUAUUUGAACAUUAAGAAUACGCCACUAAAACAAAAGUGAGGUUAUUGUUUGUGAUGGCACUAUUCGUACUACAGUAUUGUCGUUUCUAUCUUGUGGUGCUAGUUGCAAGAAAUAGUGUACUAGCAUGUGGAGUUUAUUUCAUCAUGAUAUUCAAGAAGAAAGAGUUGACACAUUGACACAUAAUAUUUUUAUUUCUUUAUUUCCAUUUUGGGGAAAACAUGGUACAAGUAGAUAAAUAAAGAAAAUCUUCUUGUAUAUCUCAAGAGAUCUUAUCACACUUAUAUAAUGAGCAAGUAAUAAUACACCCAUCUUUUUAUUUAAUUAAAUAUAACAUAGAGGAGUGACAUUGUAAUUCACCAGUGUGGUCAGAAUUUCUCCCAUAUUAAGGGCCAAUAAAAAGAUUAAGAUUGUCAUUCGCAAUGUCAUCAUCAAUAACAUUGAGUAAAUAUCUAAUAUGACAAGUCCCUCUGACUAACUGUUAUUAUCUGAAAAAUUCAUAUUAGAAAACAGAGUCAUUUAGACGCUAUUAAAACAAGAAUUAUAAAUGAUAUUCUACUGAAAUUAAUUGUCCUAAAAACUUGUGUAGGUACUUUCCAUAUUCUUCAAAUCAGAAAGCUCUCUUCUUCCGAAAACAAAGCUUAAAAAGUAUUCAAGUUACUUUUGCGAGUUUUUGCUAGUUUCUGGUUUGGUAGAAUGUGCUUGUAUAGUAUGUGUAUACAUAUAAAAUGAAGUAGCAGAUAAUAGUGCCAAGUUGGGUGAUUGGAGCAUAGUUAAUUAAUUACAAGGAAAACUAAUAGUAAUAAUACAUUAGAAAAAAUUUUGUUUUAUUAAGGAUAUAUUUGAUAUUUAGAUGUAUAUGUAGAGUGAAAUUUCAAUUUUUAAAUUUUAAAGAUGGGUUUAAAAAUCAAAUGGUUUUAGAAAGUAUCUUAGUGGGUUCAAAUAGACCCACCCAAUCAUAGGAUGUGGAAAAAUUAUAUAAUUAGCAUAAUUUUAAAAUGAUAUAUUAGAUAGACAUGAUCCAAAUGCUCAUCUAAUCUAAUCAUUUUUAAGAUUUGCCAAGUUGUUGAAUACAUGUCAUUUUUUUUAAAAGAUGGGGCUCUAAAAACAGCUAGUACAAAACAGAGAGGGGGUAAGCCACCCUAUACAAGUCAUGGUACAGGAGAGGAGUAACACUAAGUGGGGGACUAGAAAGAUGAUGAACACCUAGAGGAAAAGAUAAAGCAUAAUUAGCAACUUAGUCUACUAUGUAGUUCGCCUCACGAUGGACGUGGUUAAUGAUAACAUUCCAAUUACGCUGGAUAAUCUCCUUGAUAGAUUGAAUAAGAGAAGUGUACUUAUUGAUAAUAUCCACAGGCUUGUUAACCAGUUGAGUGAUGCAUAGGCUAUCAAUUUCCACCACCAGACACUUUAUCCCAUGUUCCCAUGCCAGUUUUAAACCUUGAUAUAAACCCCAUAACUCAACCAUCAUAACAAAACAAUGACCUAUAUUCAUUCCAAAACCAAAUAUCCAAACCCCAUUAUGAUCACGAAUUACACCACCAGCACUUGAUGCUCUUGUUCGCUUACAAGCUCCAUCGGUAUUCAACUUACACCAUGGCCAAGUGGGGGCCCUCAACACAAUCCAUCUCCAAAAUCAAUUAGAGAAGUUCAAAGGUUAACAAUGAAAUUCUAGUUAUGCAACCCAAGAGGGGGGUGAAUUGGAAUUCUAAAAAUUAUUCAAUUUAUAAAGAAAAAAACUGAAUGCAAAUAUAAACCAAAUUCAAAGCAAUAACAAAUAAGGUGAUCACAAUAUAAAAAGAUAAGGGAAGAGAGAUUCAAACACAGAGAUUUUUACGUGGUUCGGCCAACCUCGCCUACGUCCAUGCCUCCAAGUUUUCCGGGCUUGAGGAUUCAACAAAGCAAGCCUCAAAGGCUUCAAAUGCUUACACUUGACUUCCAAGGUGUCAAUAACCUUUACAACAAGAGAUUAUCUCAAUCUCUUUAACACAAGUGUAUCCCAACACUUACAAUCACUCAAAACAAAAGAUUACAAAUUUGUUUUGCCUCUCACAAUAUUUAAGAUUACACAAUUAUGCCCAAUAUGUGAAUAGAUGAAGUAAGAAUGUGUUCAAAGCUCUAUGAAGAUUGUAUUCUCGAGUAUAAGCUCAAUAGUCGUGUUGUGAUUAAUCUUGUUUGAAUUUGAAUGAGCUUAUUUAUAUUUGGAGCUGAUAAACUAGCCGUUGCAAACUGUCGGCCCGAAAAUGGUUCGCAGUUAACCAUUAACGGUUAACCGUUUAGGCUGGUCAAAAGUUACCGUUGGGCCAAAUUUCAAAUAAACGGUUUGCCGUUUAGGAUUACCCUUUCGCCAUUAAAUUCCAGAGACCUGCAAGAUGAAUAUCAAUUAUCCGUUUAUAUUAAACGGUUAAGGAUUUGCAUGAAGUGACUUCUCUGGAUAUUAUCGGUUAACCGUUUGUAAUAAAUGGUUCGCCGUUUGUUUCCAGUAACCUGCGAAACAAUUUAGCCUUAUCCGGUUUUGUUAAACGGUGUCAGAAGAGUACAACCUUCAAUUCUGAAUUUUAUCGGUUAACCGUUUAAAUAACCGGUUCACCGUUAAAUUCCAGUAGCCUUCCCAACUUUUUUGUGUUUUCCUUUUUUCUUAAUCGAUUAGAGUUUAUCGGUUAACCGUUUAAAUAACCGGUUCACCGUUAAAUUCCAGUAGCCUUCCUAGCUUUUUUGUGUUUUCCGUUUUUCUUAAUCGGUUAGAGCUUAGGCAAUAUGUUGUUAUCUGGUUUUAAUCGGUUAACCGUUUGUAAUAAAUGGUUCACCGUUUAUUUCUAGAAUCACAUUUUAAACCAGAUUUUGCAGAGAGUCAUUUUCUAAUUUGAAAGUCCAUCUUUUAUGAUUUUUUGGGUCAUGCUGGAUUCUACAGAAGAUUCUGCUGUACGGCCAAGGCGGAUGUAUGAAUAUGAUUGGAAUGAUUAUAAGGCUUUCAUUUAUUAAAGAAUAACUCCAACAUUUUAAUCAAAAAAACCAUUUAAAGUAUGUUAUCAUCAAAAUCAAUAUUAUUAACAUAUUCAUGUUAACAAACAAGAAGAGUUGCAGCCUUGAACCAAUUUAUUUCACGAGCAACAGAUAAAUGCCUACCAUUCUUCAAAACCCUUAGAGGGGGGAAAAGAAAUGAUAUGGACAGAGGAAUGUGAGAAAGCCUUCCAAGAGUUGAAGAGGUAUCUGAGAAGUCCUCCAAUUCUUUCUAAACCAAUACCAGGAGAAUAUCUUUACUUAUACCUGGCCAUUUCAGACUCAGUAAUAAGCUCAGUAUUGAUAAGAGAAGAAAGUAAGGUGUAGAAGCCAGUCUAUUAUGUGAGCCAUACAUUCCUAAAUGUCGAGACAAGGUAUCUAGCUAUAAAAAAAAUGGCUUUAGUGCUAGUACUAUCUGCCAGGAAAUUAAGGCCUUAUUUCAAAGCUCACACCAUAGUGGUGCUAAAAUACUAGACCUUGAGGCAGCUAAUGCAACAACCAGAGGUGUCGGGAAGGUUGGUGCAGUGGGCUGUAGAACUGGGAGAGCAUGAUAUUAGGUACCGACCUAAAACAAUAAUUAAAGGGCAAACAAUUGUUGAGUAUUAGAAAGUGUAUAUUUAUCAAGGAGAAAAUCGUUAUUUUACACUCCUAGUUUCACUAACAUCCCCGCCGUACAGCAGACUAACAUCCCCACUUUUAUGUAUUUAAGUCUCUUGUGAUUUAAUUAUGUGUGUUGUAUUAUAAUAAAUUAUUUUCUGUCUUUUAGGGCCAUCAUGGUCAUUUCACAAUGAAUGAGAGAUCAGACAGUAAAACGAACAUCACUUUUGAACUCAGGACAGUCGAAAACCUUAGGAGGAGUAUAAAAGGAAAAAUGGCACUGUUCACAUGUACACUACUGUUCAUGUUACUGUUCACAUAUACGGAACGAUGAUGUGGCAUUGACCGAUGACGUGACAUUGACUGAUGAGGUGUCACGAUCCUAUUGAACUAAAAUUCUUAUGUACUGUUGAUCGGUGACAUAGCAGCAUGUUAGUGGACCGAAAAUCGUGCGUACGGUACAUGCAUAUACACGGAAUUAUUUAUAACCAAACCAUGUCACUAUUCAAGUCGCCUCACUGUUCAUUUCGCGUUACUAUUCAAACCGCGUAUUGUUGACACGUGGCGCAAUCCUGAGCGUCCAAAUUAUUUUUAAUUUUAUGGUCAUGAUUCACUCAGUGUAUCUAUAAAAAGAUGGCUCCCCCCCUCACAUAAUUUGACACCCCUAAAUUCAUGUUUGACCUCCAUUUUUUGUAAUUCCUUCUCCAUCUUGUAUUUUCUAUGUAUUUUAAUAAAUUCUGAUUUUACCCCUAAUUUAAUUAUAAAUAGCCAAUUUUCUUUCAAGCUUGGGUUGAAGGUGAAGUCUCAACAUGGGCCAUGGGUUUUAUUUGGUAAAUUUACUUUCUCAUCCCCUCUAAUUAAUGUGCAUGCUUUGACUUUUCACCGACAGAUAAUAACAAUCUUGUCUAGAUACCGCACUGGUUUAACCGGCUCCCUAAUAUAAGGUUAUUACUAUUUGACACGAUAAGCCCUUAGCACCAUUAUAUAAGGUUAUUACUAUUUGACACGAUAAGCCCUUAGCACCAUUUUGAUUAGAGUGUGGUUCAUGAGGUGUGGAAACCCCCCUCAUAAUUUAAUUGGCACUAAUAAAGAAUAUUAAGCCCAUGGUGCAUGUUGAUGCAGAUCUAGAUACCAAAGUGCUUCAAUUUUAAUAGAUUUAACUUCAAUUUAUUCCCACCAUUUUAAUUUAAAUUUUAGGACAAUCUAAAUCACUUCCACCACAAAUCCAAUCACCACUUAGAAAAUUAACUCUACACAUAAUUAAAAUUCAUCUCCUCAUGGGAUCGACACUCGUUACCAUUAAUCUAGUUUACAAUAGAUUCGUGCACUUGCGAGUUCAAUAAAAUUUGCACAACAAGUUUUUGGCGCCGUUACCGAGGAGGUAAGUUAUUUUAAUUAGUAGAAUUAAUUUUUGUAAAUAAUUUCUUUUCGUUGUUUUCUUGUAAUUUUUUUCUUAUUAAAAAAAAGAAAAAAAGUGAAUAUGUAUUUAAAGGUAAGAAUUUCUUUUCUUUUUCUCUUCUUUAAAAUUCUGUAAUUUAAUUUUCAAGUUAUUUUUCUUUGUAAUUUAUUUUUAGUUAAUUUAUUUCACGUAUUUUUUUAGUGUGUUUUCAUAAAAAGGUUGUAACAGCGUGAUAAGGUUAGUACCGUAAUUUCUUUCUUCUUUAUUUUUAUUAAUUUUGUUCUCGUUUCUUUUUGUAUUCUUUGCAUGCAUGGUCAAAGGUCACUAUUACCUAAUCUUGAGCCUAUAGAUUUUGAACUGGAAAAAACGCUUCGCACGCACAAACACGUUGCAAUUAAAAAUAAAAUUGAAAUGGAUUUGCAACAACAAGAAGCACUACAGGAGAGGCCAUUUAAGGACUACUUCAGUCCCUUAGUUAACUUGAGCACAUCAUGCAUAAGAUACCCAAAUGUAGCUGUUAGGAGUUUUGAGUUAAAAUCUAGCGUGCUAAAUUGUCUCCCAACAUUUUAUAGCCUAGAAAAUGAGGACCUAUAUAAUCAUCUGAAUGAUUUUCAUGCUAUUUGUCAAACUUUUAAAUAUGAGAAUUUUUCAGAUGAUGAUGUUAAACUCAGAUUAUUCUCAUUUUCUUUAAAGGAUGGAGCUCCUUCAUAUUCAAUACAUUGCCUGCUAAUAGUAUUACAUCAUCAGAAUAAAUGGUAACAAAAUUUUUGAAUAAAUAUUUCCUAGUAGAUAAAACCAAUGUUAUUCGUAGGGAAAUUUCAGAGUUUACCCAGAGAGAAGACGAUCAAUUUUUCAAAGCAUGGGAACGAUUCAAUGGGCUACUUUUGAAGGGUCAACAUCAUGGGUACGAGAAAUGGCACCAAUGCCAAUAGUUUUUGGAGGGAUUAUUACCGCAUGUACAAGAAUGGCUAAUGGCAACAAGUGGAGGAGAGCUAAUGUCAAAAAGUGCAUAAGAGAUUUAGGAUUUCUUCCAGCGACAAGCGGAUAAUUCCCAACAACGGAGUCGAUCACUCAGGAAUACUAAAAGAAUUAAAGGAGUGAAUGAGGUUCACAUUGGCGAGUCAAGUUCGGAAAUUAAAGAAGUCAAAGCGAUAAUUGAAGGUCUUUCCCAACAAAUAGUAUCAUUAAUGACUACUAAAUCAACAGAGUCAUAUGACCAUGACUCAUACUCAGAUCAAGCCAAUGCCAUAGGUGUAAUGAGAAAACCAUUAAACCAUAACCCAUAUUCUAACACAUAUAACCCUGGAUGGAGAGGCCACCCCAAUUUUUCUGGUCUCAAGGAUUCCAACAGAAUAGACCAGCAACUCCAGCUCCACCAAUGCAACCAAUUCCUCAAGUUCCUCAAGCCUUUCAGCCACCAUUUAGACCAUAUAAUCAGAACUAGAAUUACUCUCAACCCAGACCAUAGGAGGAUGCAUUCCAAAAUUUCAAAAAUCUUACUCACUCCACGAUUGAGCAACAGAACCGCACCAUUGAUGAACUACGAAAUGAGAUGAGAGCAUGCUUCAUCUCACAAACCCUAUUAGUUUCAAACCUCAAGAAGAUGGUGGGAUAGCUUGCCUCUUCAGUUUAAACUUUGGCAAUGACUGUUGAGAAAGACAAAUUUCCAAGUCAACCAGUGUCUAAUCCUAAAGGAGUGCAUGAAGUAAGUGUCAGUUCACCACAGCAGCAUGGAGAGGUCAAAGCCAUCAUGACCUUGUGAAAAGCGAAAGAAGUCGACAACAAAAUGGAGAUGCCAGUGACAAAAACAACUCAAAUUGUACCUGUGAAUUUUGAGGACCCAUCAUUAGAGGAGAAAAAAGAAACCAACCCACGAGAAUACGUUCCUAAUGCUCCAUUUCCUCAGAGGUUAGCUAAAGGAAAGAAGGGAAAAUCUAUAGAUGAGAUUUUUGAAAUCUUUAAACAGGUAAGUGUUAAUAUCCAUUUGCUUAAUGCUAUAAGACAAGUGUCAACUUAUGCCAAGUUUCUUAAAUACCUUUGUACUAAAAAGAGAAACAUUCACGUUAAAAAAAAGACAUUUUUAACAGAAAAUAUUAGCUCUAUACUCCAACAUAAAAUUCCUCUAAAAUACAAAGAUCCAGGCUCCCCCACUAUCUCAUGUAGUAUAGGGAACUACACAAUUGAGAAUGCUUUGUUGGACUUAAGAGCUAGUGUAAAUCUAUUGCCUUACUCAAUAUUUGUGAAACUUGGACUGGGAGAAUUACACCCAACUCUAGUUGUGUUACAGCUUGCAGAUCGGUCCACGAAAAUAGCUCGUGGUAUUGUGGAGGACGUACUUAUCCAGGUAGACAAGUUUAAUUUUCCUGUUGAUUUCAUUGUAAUUGACACUUAACCAGUCCAGGAUUCAAGGAAGCACAUCCCCAUUAUCCUAGGCCAGCCUUUCUUGGCAAUUACCGAUGCUUACAUUUAAUGCAGGACUGAAAAUAUGCAGUUGUCCUUUGGCAACAUGACUAUGGAGCUAAACAUCUUCAACAUUACCAAACAACCUCUCAAUGCAAAUGAUGGAAUUGUUGAUGUGGAUUUAAUAGAAGAAAUAGUUGAUAAUACUUUUUUUCAAACCUUAGUGAUGACCCUUUACAAACAUGUUUAACUUAUAUUAGUUUUGACUUUGAUAUUGACAGAUCAGUCGAUGAGGUCAACGCUCUACUUGACUCAACACCAUCCAUGGACACUAAUAAAUGGAAGUCAAUAGUUCAACAACUAGCACCAUCAGAGAAAAAACUCAACCCAUCAUCAGAAUCAUCACCGAAACUUGAGCUCAAACCAUUACCCAACACUUUUGGAAUAUGCGUUCUUGGAAGAAGAAAGCACUGUGCCAGUAAUCAUUUUCAUCAUCCCUAAAUGAUGAACAAAAGAGUAAGUUGUUGGAAGUUUUAAAAGAGUACAAAGGAGCAUUAGGAUGGACCAUAGCCGACAUAAAAGAUAUAAACCAAGUAGACUGCAUGCAUUGCGUUCACCUUGAUGAAAAUGUUAAAUCUACUAGGGAAAUGCAACGUCGAUUGAACCCUAACAUGAAAGAAGUUGUUAGAACUGAAGUCCUUAAGCUAUUAGAUGCAUAUAUCAUUUACCCAAUUUCUAAUAGUUCAUAGGUCAGUCUUGUGCAAGUUGUCCCCAAAAAGUCAGGAGUCACAGUAGUUACCAAUGCUGAUAAUGAAUUGAUACCCAGUAGAGUGACUACAGGGUGGCGUGUAUGCAUUGAUUAUAGAAAAUUGAAUUUUUUUUCAUACGUAAAAACCAUUUUCCUUUACCAUUUAUGGUCAAACGCUUGAUAUAUUAGCAGGCCAUAAAUUUUAUUGCUUUCUAGAUGGCUACUCAGGAUAUAAUCAGAUUCCCAUAACACCAAAAGAUCAAGAAAAGACCACAUUCACUUGUCUUUUUAACACUUUUGCAUAUAAGAGGAUGCCAUUUGGAUUAUAUAAUGCACCUGCUACAUUUCAACGAUGCAUGUUAAGCAUUUUUUCUGAUAUGGUUGAACGAUUCCUUGAAGUCUUUAUGGAUGACUUUUCUAUCUUUUGUGAUUCAUUCGAUCAAUGUUUAAAUCAUCUAACACUAGUUCUGCAGAGAUGUAUAGAGAAGAACUUAGUCUUCAAUUGGGAGAAGUGUCAUUUUAUGGUAAAAUAAGAUAUUGUUCUCGGUCACAUCAUUUCGAGCAAAGGCAUUAAGGUUGAUAAAGCCAAUGUGGAUCUCAUUUCCAAUUUUCCUUCACCUAAAACACUCAGAGAAGUAAGAUAUUUCCUUGGGCAUGUUGAUUUUUAUAAACGUUUGAUUAAAGAUUUUAGCAAAGUUUCUAGACCCUUAUGCAAUCUACUUGCUAAGGAUGUACCUUUUGUCUUUGAUGAUUCAUGUCUUGUGACAUUUGAAAAACUAAAGCAGUUGUUAACAUCAUCACCCAUCAUUCAGCCCCCAAACUGAUGCAUCUGAUUAUGCAGUAAGAGCAGUAUUAGGACAAAAAGUUGAUUGAAUUCCCCAUGUUAUUUACUAUGCUAGUAUAACAUUGAAUGAUGCACAGUUGAACUAUUCAGCCACUGAAAAAGAAAUGCUAGCAGUAGUAUUUGCAUUAGAGAAAUUUUGAUCUUAUCUCAUUGGUUGUAAUAUAAUUGUAUUCACAUAUCAUGCUGCUCUUAAAUAUCUUCUCACAAAGAAAGAUGCAAAAGUUAGACUAAUUCGUUGGAUGUUACUUUUGCCGGAAUUUGACUUAGAAUUCAAAGAUAAGAAAUGCAUAGAAAAUGUUGUGGCUGACCAUCUCUCCCGUCUCAAUUUUGACAUAAUUACAAAACCAUUAACAUUGAAUGAGUCAUUUUCAGAUGAACAAUUGAUGAGUGUGGACGUAUUACCAUGGUAUGCUGAUAUAAUUAAUUAUCUUGUUACAAGUCAACUUACAAAGCAUUGGACCAAGUAAGACAAGGCCAAAUUUUUUAUAGAAAUAAAGAAUUUCUUUUGGGAUGACCCUUAUCUGUUCAAGUAUUAUGCAGAUCAAAUUGUUAGACGAUGGGUCCCAGAAAAUAAAUUUCAAAAUAUCCUUUCAUUCGGCCAUGAACAAGCUUGUGGAGGUCAUUUCAGCGCUAGGAAAACAACUACUAAAGUUUUACAAUGUGGUUUCUAUUAGCCAACUAUAUUUCGAGAUGCCUACACUUUUUGCUCUUCAUGUGAUAGGUGUCAACGAAUGGGGAGCAUUACACGAAGGAAUAUAGUGGCACUAAAUCCAAUUUUAGUGGUUGAGAUUUUUUAUGUGUGGGGUCUCGACUUCAUGGGACAUUUUCCCCCUUCUUUUGGCUAUCAAUACAUAUUGAUUGUUGUUGACUACAUAUCGAAAUGGUUAGAAGUUAUCCAUGUAGAACCAAUGAUCACAAGGUGGUGAUAGGAUUUUUGAAAAGUAACAUUGUUUCACACUUUGGAUUCCCUCGAGCAAUAAUCAGUUAUGGUGGUACCAACUUUUACAACAAAUCAGUCAAAACUCUUUUGACAAAGUAUUCCAUCACUCACAAAGUGACGACCCCAUAUCAUCCGCAAACCAGUGGCCAAGUUGAGAUCUCCAAUCGGGAAAUAAAGUACAUAUUAGAAAAGACGGUGAGGCCAGACGGAAAAGAUUGGUCAUUAAGACUCGAUAAUGCAUUAUGGGCAUAUAGAACAACUUUCAAAACCCCGAUUAGGAUGUCACCCUACAGGCUAGUGAAUGGAAAAGCUUGCCACCUACCUGUGGAACUCAAGCAUCGUGCGUACUGGGCCAUCAAGAAAUUCAACUUUAACAUGCAGCAAGCUAGCUUAGAAAGAAGAUUAUAGCUGGCAGAACUUGAAGAAAUUCGCAAUGAUGCAUACGAAAAUGCCAAGAUUUACAAGCAAUGAAUGAAAGUCUUUCAUGACAAGAAAAUUAUGAGAAACUCUUUCACUCCAGUUUAGAAAGUGCUUUUAUUCAAUUCUCACUUGCACCUAUUCCCAGGCAAAUUACGCUCUCGAUGGUCUGGCCCUUUUAUUAUUCACGCUGUUUUUUCACAUGGAGCAAUUGAAAUUAAGGACCCAAAGAAUGGUGUCACUUGUAAAGUUAAUGGUCAGAGAUUAAAGCCAUAUCUAGAGUACCAACUACAUGGAGAGGAUACCGAAAUAAAUUUGAGCAACCCAUAAAAUUUGAAUUGAGAUUUUUCUUUUUUUUCGGUGAUUUAAUUUUUUUUUUUUUUUCUAUUCUUUUGCUAAUUGAAAUUAUUUUUACAUAAGCGUGUUUUUGUAACCAUUAUGUUUUCUUUUAUCAUUGUUAAUCAUGAGUGCUUCAGCUGGACAAUUCUUCUUAGACCUUCUUGGACGACUUCAACGUGUAAAAUCUCAUCUCAGAAGCCGGAUUCAAUUUUGUAAAACACAUCAUAUUUGGGAUGUACAACCACCAGAGUUAGUAUCCCAUGUUAAGGCUUUAGAAAGACAAUUCAAAGACAUUGAGGGAGGUAUCUUCGACAUCCAGUUGGAGCUUGAGGUAAAUUCAAUAAGAGGACGAUUGUAAUUUUCUUUGUGUGUUUUAGUUUGUUACCCCGGUUAAGUGGUGGAUAACGGUACUAUGUGAUAUGUGAUUUUUUUAGAAAAAUAAAAUUAUGUGAUUUUUUUAACAUUGGAUGACAUGAUGACUUUCAAAUUUUAGUAUUUUUCUGCUGUACGGCCAAGGCGGAUGUACGGUAUCAGAAUGCCCUCCUUACAAUCUAUAAAGCUCGGUCCGAACUUAUGCGAUUGCUUGUGAGGAAUAACAUACAUGCUGACAUCCGCUGGUUAAUUAAGGCCAAAGUACGAUUGGCAAGUGAGUAACCUCCUAAAUUUAUUGCAAACAUGCUUGGUUGUGGUAAAGGAAAUUACGUAAGAAAACGAAAAGCUCGAAAACUUUUUGUUGCUUGUCAUAAGUAUGCUAGAAUGAGAUGUGAUAAAAAACUAUGUUAUUUAGGAAUGGUGUCUAAUAACAGCGAAGAUAAGAUUCAAUUCAUUAGGGAUGGCUUGAAUAAGGAGCCAUUGGAUGAUAUCCGUUUGUCUCUUGAAACGCAUCCCAGUGGAUAUGUACAAGGAGCAAUUCUCCAGUUAUGGCCAUUAUUCCAAAAAGAGUGUGCACGAUAUAGUCUCAAGAAUCUGACUAUAAAUGACCUUGUUUUUCAGUUUAUAAGAAAACUGGAUGGGAAGCCUAUUCUCAACCGAUAGAGGGCGUUCAAGCCGUUUCUGGACGUAAAACCAGAAAAAGAUGUGAGCCACAAUCACAACUAUCUGUAAAUAUCCUUUUACUUCACUUUUGUUUUAUCAUUUGCAUUAUUGUCUUUAAUAAUUUUAUUUUAUCAUUGUUUGUUUUUUUUCCUUUUCACUGUUUCUUUUUUGACUCUCGAGCCAUGUGCUUUACACAUUAAUUGACACAGACAUGCUACCUCAUACACAACUGUGACCCACUGUCACCAAGAUUCUUAAAUAUGAUUUUUUGUUAAGCACUCACAAAUUACUUUUGAGAAGUAUCCCAAUGGUAGCUAUCCCAAUUUAAAUAUGAUUUUUUGUUAAGCACUCACAAAUUAUUUUUGAGAAAUAUCCCAAUGGUAGCUACUCCCAAUAAACAAUUUAAGAACAUUUGUGUGCUUUCUCGAUUUAACUAUGGCAAACACAAAGAGUUCGUUGAGGCAGCCAUAGAUCUUGGUCGAAGCAUAGCAGAGAGAAAAUUAUCACUUGAUGUAUGGAGGAGGUAACCAAGGGUUAUCAAAAUUGGUCUCAGAAGCUGCUUUUGUCAGAGGAAGCCAAGUGUUAGGCAUCAUCCCAAGAGACCUAAAACCUUUGGGCAGUUUGUCUGACUCACCGACUGAAGAAGAGUUAGUCAUCUUAGGUAUGCAAGAGAGAAUAAUUGAAAUGCUAAAUCAUGCUGAUGCUUUUAUUUUCUUACCAAGAGAUCUUGCAACUCUAGAUGCACUUAUCACAUUAGCAUCUUAGGCCCAUCUGAACAGUCACCAGAAACCCAUCGAUUUGUUAAAUGUCAAUAACUUUUAUGAUGACUUUAUCGUAUUUCUUAACCAUGCAAUAAAAAAUUAUUUCAUUCCUUCCACAGUGAAAAAAAAUUCCAUUUGUGCUCAUACUCCUGAUGAGCUACUUGAUCUGUUACAAGCUUAUCGACCAGAGCUAGAUCCCAGGACCUUGGUGUUAAAGUGUCCAAAUAAUGAUGGUAACAGUAGCCGCAGUAAGAAGUACAAAUUAAAUUUAACUCUCCACUUGUAAAUAUUUUCUUCUGUGUUGCACCACCCAGGUGAUGUCUUCUAAACUCUACUUCUUUCCUUUAAAACAUUGAGAACAAUAUUUCGUUCUGGUUGGGGGGAGGGAAUAGUUGACAAUAAUGGAAUCUUGGUUAAGUUUUUAUUGAUUUUUUGUUGUAAAGACUAACCGUGGCUAACUUUUUGUGUUGAAGAUGGCUGAAUAUGGCGUGUAGUGACUCUAGAAACGCAUCUUCUUGGUUUGGAAGUAAAAAAAAACAAAAUACAAAAAAAAAAAUCCAGACAUUUUCUUUUUCUUUAUUAAGUUUUGAUAAUCAUUUUUUUUUCUAACUUCUUCUUUCUAAUUUCUCCUUUAUAAAUAUACACUUUCAAAUUUUUGAGUCGAAAAUGGCUGAAUAUAAAGUGUAGUGACUCUAGAAACAUGCUCUUCUUAGUUUAAAAAAAAAUUUCCAGACAUUUUCUUUUCAUGUUUAGAAUAUGUUUGGGGGUAGAAUGUCGUUUGAAAAAUAAAAUUAUGUGAUUUUUUUAGAAAAAUAAAAUUAUGUGAUUUUUUUAACAUUGGAUGACAUGAUGACUUUCAAAUUUUAGUAUUUUUAUUAUCUUUGGUCUUAAGGGAUGUUAUGCCAUGUUUGCUACUCUACAUGUUGAUGUUGGAGACAAAUGUGAGUUGCAUGAAGGAAUGCCCAUGUCAUAAUGAAUACCAAUGAGUUUUUGAGCCUAUCAUUUUUCUUAGAGAGUAACCAUUUUUGCCCAUUAUUCAUACAACUUAGCAGUUUAUUAUUUUAUACACGAUCUCUAGAUUUCUUUUGAGUUAAUCCUUUAAAAAAAUUGUAAAAUAAAAAAUAUAUAUAAUAAUAAAAGAAAAAAGUGUGUUGCUACAUCUGAAGGUCCAUCUAACCAGUAGAUAUGGAAGAUUAUUUAGAGCCCUAAAAGAUUAUGGAAAUGUCAUCUUUAACCCGUUUGAGCAUUUCUAGCCAUCCCUUUUGUGAAAUUUCCAUAGUUAACCCUUUUGAGCCUUUCAUAUAAAAAAAAAUAUUUCUUUGUCAACUUAUCAUCUUGACCUACUCCGAUUUAGAGUAUUACCCGAUGUUUUAUAAGUUUCAUCACCUAUUUAUGUUUGAAAAAAAUGUAAAUAAUUAUUUUGUUCAGAAAAGUUGUGCCACACAAAAAAAAAACAAAACAAAUUAGUUAAAAAAAGAGAAAAAAUAACAAUAAUAAUAAAUAAGCGAAAUUCACCUUGUAAUUUCUAAAAGAUCUCUACUUUUCUCAAACAUAUACUUUGCUUUCCUUAUUUUUCCUCAUUUGUUAGCCAUAUCCCUACCCUACGUUACAUCCUAAUAAAAGUCCUUCUUGAUUUUAGGAAUUUAUAGUCUGAAGUAGAAGCUAGUUAUAUGGCUAAAAAGAUGUAGUGAUGCAUAAAAAAAAAUUAAAUAAAUAAACACAUUGGGUUAACUAGCAUUUUGUUUGACUUAAGAUCGUGUUAUUUUUUAGCUGUGGGCAUAUUCCUUUCAUCUUGGUGAGAGUGUGUGAUAUCACUUCUUUAUUAUUUUCUCUCAAUUUACCAUUCAUUGGAGUGACUAUUUUUAUUGAGUUUAAUUGCUUUGUGAGAGUGUCACUACUACCGGUGAGAUUUUGGGGUUUGACAUGUCAUUCUUGAAAGUGGCUUGAUUACUAUAGCUAUGACAAAGUCUGCUGGACUGAUGCAUGUGGAUGGUUGAUGUGGGAGUGAUAUUUCUUUAGACUGGAGAUAAUGCUUAUACUUUUAUUUGAUUGGUAUCAUUAGUUUGACUGAAUAAAUACGAUUGUUUUUAUAAAAAAAAUCAUUUUGGGUUUGAAUUUUAUUUUUGCUUAAUUUUCUAGGGACUAGCAAUAAGCUGGUUGGGGGGUGCGUUGAGUGUUAGAAAAUGUAUAUUUAUAAAGGAAAAAAUCAUCAUUUUACACUCCAAGUUUCACUAACAUCCCCACUUUUAUGUAUUUAAGUCUCUUGUGAUUUAAUUAUGUGUGUUGUAUUAUAAUUGUGAGGUACAAUUUUCUCACUUAAAUACAAUAUAUUUUAUUUUAAGCUAACAAGCCCCUAAAGUUUAUAAUAUUUAAUUUUAAGGAAUGAUGACAUAAGCAAUGACAUAAGAAAUGAUGACAUAAACAAUGACAUAAGUGAUGAUGUAAGUAGAAAUAUGUAGAGAAAGUUAAGAAUUCUAGAAUUUAUUUAGUUAUUUAUGAAGGUUAAUCUUAUUUAUGAAGGUUAAUCUCAACCAUUGAUCAAGAGUUAUGGUGGCAAAAUCCUAACCAUCCAUUAGCCUUAAGAAAUUCUAUAAAUACCCCCCACCACCUCUUAUUUUCAAUGCAACCUAGAAAUUUCAUUUCCUUCUACUCUAAGUCAUAAUAAUAAGAGUAGAGGAAUCCUUAACUUAGGAAGAUCUAGAGAAGUCAAGAUCAAGAGGUAAGUAACACUUCAAUUGUAAUGUAAGGACAAAAUUCUUUUCAUAUAUAAGUUCAGUUUUAACAAUUCUUUUAUAUUAUGACGGCUAUUACAGUGUGACUAGUUAUAUCUUUAUAUGGUCGGCCCUGCCGCCUAAUAUGUAAUGUUAUGGUCGGCUCUGCCGCCUAAUAGGUGAGGUUAUGGUCUGUGAUAACUCUAGGAAAUGAGAGUUAUUACAUCAAUUCUAGACUUGAAUCAAGAUCAUUUAGAGAACAAAUAAGGUAUUUUUAUUACAUUUUGAUUACAUUUUGUUUAAACAUUCAUUUUAGUUGAGUAUUAAUAAGUUUUGUUUAAAUCAUCGUAAUUUGUGCUAAAAACAGAUGUAUAAUUGUAGGUUCGUGGAAAGUCUUAAUUCAUAAGGGGAUGUUGAGACAUCAGAUGAGCAAGAUGAGGAAAGAAGAUGGCCACAAAAAGAAGAAAAGCACAAUCGGGAACAAUGCUGUGCUAUUGAGGAUGUUAGAGCAGCCUGUGCUGUAGCAAUCUGGGAGCAAUGCGGGAGAAAACUUAGGCGCGGGUCAACGCAUGUUUAGUAAUUUAACGCAUGCAUGCUAAUGGGCUUGUGUUUACCCUAAUUUGCAAUAUAAAAGGGAGGCAUGCACCACAUAGAAACGCGGCAAGAAAGGGAAUUAUCAUUAGAUUAAUUACAAGGAACGAAGAAGAAGAAUAUCAUAAUUGAAGAUUGUUGUUUCGGCAACAUUGGAGAAUCGUGCAGAAUUACUUGGCCUUGAUUUUCACCGUGCUCAACUUAUAUUUAUCUUUUUCCACUAAUUGAUUUGAUGAAUUCCGAGAUCAAUAUGUUUAUGUUUAUUUUUCUCAUCCAGAUUAUGAACUAAAUUCACUUGUAGUUGAGUGACAAAUAAUCCAAUGGGUUCUUGACUGUUCUUAUAUGUUGUUGUGGUAUUACUGUAGCAUUUUACUCUAAUAGUUUUUAUUAAUAUAACUGCUAUUUCGGUUGACCACCCAUUUAAUAGUUCCAGUUAAGAUAGAGCAGCAAAAGGGCAUGUAUUAGCGGACAUUAUUAGAGUAUUACUUGUUCUUAAAUCGAGUUUUCUAGAUUAUGUUAUCUUGAAUCCCAUAAGGCCAAUACUUGAAGUUAAGAUUUGUGACACUCUAGACAUAGGUGUUCACCUUCUAGGGUAGAGAGAUUAAAGGUUAUAAUGUCGUACCAUAAAUAUAUGAGCAACUGGUCAUUGUUAGUAGAUUUAAGGGUGUGAGAUUUCCAAUAUGCGAUAGCUGCGGAUGCAGAUUUAUGCUACCCAUUGCUGCAGCACUUAUUGUAACAACUGGUGCUCAAUUGAUAAACAACAAUCACCCCAUUAGGAGAGUUUUAUCAUUCAACUACUAUACUCUCAAUUGAAUCUUAGACACAUUUAACUUAGUUUAUUUCGUUACAGUAUUGUUUUAUUCCAUCUCUUGCAAUUAUUAGUUAUAAUAUAAUUAUUUGACAAUUGUUUGUUGCGGUCUUUAGUUGAUUUGCACUAUUAUGAUUUCUUUAGCAUUUUGAGUAACAUCAAUCCCUGUGGAGACGAUCUUGAAUACUUAUCACUUUAUUACUUGUUGUGUAUACUUGCACAUUGGCAUUGAUAAUAAUUGAUUAUAUAAAUCAUCCAACAGUCAGCCAUGCCGCCUAAUAUGUGAUGCUAUGGUCGGCCCUGCCCCCUAAUAUGUGAUGUUAUGGUCGGCCCUGCCCCCUAAUAUGUGAUGCUAUGGUCGGCUCUGCCGCCUAAUAUGUUAUAUUUAUACUUAAUUAUGCUAUGGUCGGCUAUGCCGCCUAUACUAAAGACUCUUUUUUUUUUAAUAAUAUUGUGUGUUGAUUUUGUUAUGCAUUGAGAAAUUUCAAAUGUUAAAAGUUGCAUUGGAUGCAUGCAUAUCAUGGACUACAUUAUGAAGAAGACGUUUCAGAAAAUGAAUUUAUGAAAAAUAGGUGAUUGUACUACCAAGUGGCAAAGUUCUAAGGAGGGCAAUCCCUCAAAGCUAAGUUGAAAGAAAUCUUUGGGGGACGGCGAUACGUAACGCCAAAAAGAUCAACUAAUGAGGCCUAAGGGCAUAUUGUUUAAAGAGUAAACGUGCCAGCCUUGUAGUGCAACAUACCUAGGGUCCAAAUAAAGUUGUUUUGUAUUUUUUAAGUUUAUUUUAAGAUAGGAGAGCAGUCAUAUGCUCCAGAGUAAAAGUCCAACAAAAUUGAAAGAUCCAGGGAGUUUUACAAUACCUUGCUCCAUAGGGACUAGGUAUGCUGGCAGAGUACUUUGUGACUUGGGAGCUAGUAUUAAUUUGAUGCCAUUAUCUGUAUUUAAGCAGCUGGGAGUAGGGGAGUGCAGACCAACAACAGUCACUCUGCAAUUAGUUGACAGAUCUCAUGCAUACCCUGAAGGAAAGAUAGAUGAUGUACUGGUGAAGGUUGACAAAUUCAUCUUUCCAGUGGAUUUCAUUGUAUUGGACUUUGAAGCUGAUAAAGAAGAACCCAUUAUACUUGGAAGACCUUUUCUAGCAACUGGAAAGACUCUGAUAGAUGUGCAGAAAAGAGAGCUUACCAUGAGAGCAAAUGAUCAGUAAGUCACAUUUAAUGUACUAGAGGCUAUGAGGAACCCUGAUAAAGUAGAAGAUUGCAAUUUUCUAAGUGUAAUGGAUCUUGUUGUAGCAGACAGAAUGGAUAGAUGCUGCAGUAAUGUACUUGACAAAGUCACCACCUUUGAGGAUGUUGAAGAGGAAGAUGUUGCAGCAAUCCAAACAGAUUGGGUGGACAAACAGCAAUCUGAUAGGCACCACAAGUUUAUUGAACACCUGAAUCUUUCAGACAGGGAAGUAAAAACAACUUUACCAUCUAUUGAAUCACCUCCUAGUUUUGAAUUAAAACUGUUACCUUCACAUUUAAAGUAUGCUUAUCUUGGUCCAAACAACACACUCCCUAUAAUCAUUUCUUCCACUUUGGAUGUAGGUCAAGAACAGAGCCUAGUAGACUUGCUGGGAAAAUAUAGAAGAGCAAUUGGAUGGACCAUGGCAGAUAUAAAAGGGAUAAGCCCAUCCAUAUGUAUGCAUAAAAUCAUGUUAGAAGAUUGUUCCAGCAAUUCGGUGGAGCACCAGAGAAGGCUGAAUCCUAUUAUGAAAAAAGUGGUAAAGAAGGAAAUCAUCAAAUGGUUGGAUGCUGGAAUCAUAUACCCAAUAUCAGACAGUUCAUGGGUAAGCCCAGUUCAAUGUGUUCCAAAGAAAGGAGGGAUAACAGUAAUGGCCAAUGAGAAGAAUGAACUUAUUCCUACAAGGACAGUAACUGGAUGGAGAGUCUGUAUGGAUUACAGGAAGCUCAACAAAGCCACCAGGAAAGACCAUUUCCCACUUCCAUUCAUAAAUCAGAUGUUGGACAGACUUGCUGGAAAACAGUACUACUGUUUCUUAGAUGGGUAUUCAGGCUACAACCAGAUUGCUAUAGCUCUAGAGGAUCAAGAGAAGACUACAUUUACUUGUCCCUAUGGAACAUUUGCUUUCAGAAGAAUGCCAUUUGGGCUAUGCAAUGCUCCAACAACUUUUCAGAGAUGCAUGAUGUCUAUAUUUUCUGAUAUGGUAGAGCAGACUUUGGAAGUUUCAUGGAUGACUUCUCAGUUUUUGGAAAACCAUACAAUGAUUGUUUACACAACUUGAAAGAAGUUCUUAAAAGAUGUGAGAUGGCCAACUUAGUACUCAACUGGGAAAAAUGUCAUUUCAUAGUGCAAGAAGGAAUAGUGCUGGGUCACAAGAUAUCCAAGGAUGGUAUUGAGGUAGACAAAGCCAAGAUAGAGGUAAUAGAUAAACUGCCACCUCCAACUUUAGUAAAGGGUAUUAGAAGUUUUUUGGGUCAUGCUGGAUUCUACAGAAGAUUUAUUAAGGAUUUUUCCAAAGUAGCUAAACCACUGUGUUCAUUGCUGGAGCAUGACAAACUAUUUCACUUUGACAAAGAUUGCCUUCAAGCAUUUGGAGAAUUAAAGAAAGCUCUUAUCACUGCUCCAGUAGUUACAUCUCCAGACUGGACUUUACCAUUUGAAUUGAUGUAUGAUGCUAGUGAUCACUCUGUGGGAGCAGUAUUAGGGCAAAGGAAGGAUAAAGUUUUUCACUCUGUCUACUAUAUAAGCAAAACUCUUACUCAAACUCAGAUCAAUUAUACCACUACAGAGAAAGAGUUGCUAGCAGUAGUAUUUACUUUUGACAAAUUCAGAGCCUACUUAGUAGGCACUAGAGUGACUGUAUACACAGACCAUGCAGCAAUCAAAUAUUUAAUUUCAAAGAAGGAUGCCAAGCCAAGAUUAAUUAAAUGGAUCUUAUUGCUUCAAGAAUUUGAUCUGGAAAUUAAAGAUAGAAAGGAGACUGAGAAUCAAGUAGCAGAUCACCUGUCACGGCUGGAUGCAGACACAAGCACAUUGACCAGCAAAGACAUCACUGAAACUUUUCCUGAUGAACAACUGUUGGUAGUACAGAAAGCACAAAUGCUGCAGCAGUCAGAAUCUCCAUGGCAUGCAGAUUUUGCUAACUAUUUAGUAAGUGGGUUACUACCACAUGAGCUGAAGUUUCAAGAGAAAAAGAAAUUUCUUCAUGAUGUUAGAAGUUAUCAGUGGGAUGACCCACAUUUGUAUAAGCUGUGCUCAGAUAAAGUAAUAAGAAGAUGUGUUGCAACAGGAGAGAUUCCCUAUAUACUGGAGUCAUGUCAUGCUGUAACAUAUGGAGGAUAUUUUGGUGGUCAUAGAACAGCCGCCAAAGUUCUGCAAUCAGGUUAUUACUGGCCUACUAUUUUUAAAGAUGCUUAUGAAUUUGUUAAAUGUUGUGACAGGUGCCAAAGGACAGGGAACAUGACUAAAAGACAGGAAAUGCCAUUGACUAACAUUCUAGAAGUGGAAGUUUUUGAUGUCUGGAGAAUAGAUUUUAUAGGACCCUUCCCACCAUCCUUUGGAAACUUAUAUAUCCUUGUUGCUGUAGAUUAUGUCUCCAUGUGGGUAGAAGCUGCAGCAUUACCUACUAAUGAUGCUAAAACAGUGGUGGCUUUUCUUCAGAAAAAUAUUUUUUCCAGGUUUGGCACUCCUAGAGCAAUUAUUAGUGAUGAGGGCACACAUUUUUGCAACAAAAUCUUUGCUGCAGCAAUGAUGAAAUAUGGAGUCAGACACAAGAUAGCAACAGCAUAUCACCCACAAUCCAAUGGUCAGGCUGAAGUGUCCAAUAGAGAAAUAAAAAAGAUCUUAGAAAAAGUGGUGAACCCCACAAGGAAGGAUUGGUCUUUACACUUGCAUGACUCUCUAUGGGCCUACAGAACAACAUACAAAACUCAACUUGGCAUGUCUCCUUACCGAAUUGUUUAUGGCAAAGCUUGUCAUUUACCACUAGAGCUAGAGCAUAAAGCACAUUGGGCAUUAAAGAAAUUAAACUGGGAUAUGCAUGCUGCAGCAGAGCAAAGGAAACUUCAACUCUAUGAGCUUAAUGAAUUACGGCUAUUUUCAUAUGAAAAUGCAAGAAUCUAUAAAGAGAGGACCAAACACUGGCACAAUAAGCAUAUUCAGCAUAGGAAAUUCCACUCUGGUCAAUUAGUGUUGCUCCACAAUACAAGACUAAGAUUAUUUCCGAGAAAGCUCAAGUCACAAUGGUUUGGCCCGUUUAAGCUGUUAAAAUCAUAUCCUCUUGGAGCUGUUGAUCUUCUAGAUGAACAAACUGGUCACGAGUUCAAGGUUAAUGGACACAGGGUUAAGCAUUACAUACAUCCAGCAGCAGAAUGUUCAAAGGAGGUGUUACUCCUUAAAGAAACUAGCUAUUAAACAAAGAAGGAAGGUCAGGCUGAAGGACCUUAAAUCAAGCGCUUCAUGGGAGGCAGCCCAUUGAGGAGAUAGCCACUUCAAACCAAUUUUGAUAUCCUUUGGUUUUGUAGACAACUUUCCCUCUUUACCAUCUUAUUUACUUUUUGUUUUCCUAUGAUUAGCCAUUUAUUUUCAUCCUUUUACAUUAUUGCAUUCUUUAUUUUCGUGUUAAUUUGACCUCUUUAUUUCUUUUAAUCGUUUUAGAAUUAAUUUUAGUUUGAAGCAAGUGUGACAAUUGAAUUCCAUAUUGACAAGUGAGAGUGUAUGGUGGCAGAAUUCAGAGGUGAACCACGUGUUAGAAGCUUUAGUAUGGAGUAUGUAUCCGUUAUUAGAACAAGCGCAUGGGUGAUGCAGCAACUAAUUUUACUGUUACAGUAAAUUAAAAGCUGGAGCCUUGCACUUACCGUUGGAGAUAAAAUCGUGACAGAUGGAUGCAUGGAUAUGGAUAGAAAUUGUGGAAACAAAUCUCUGAAAUUAAAGCUUUAAUUUCACUGGCCGAUAAUUUUGGGGAUAUGCACAUUUAAUUCAAAUAUUUUAUUCCUUCAAUUAUCUCUAGUUACCGUAUUUAUCUUCAAAUUAAAGUCCAUUAUAAAAAGGAGUCACUGUGUUUAGUGCUCUACGCCACUACUCCCCAUCUCCUUCGUAAAUUCCAACUCUCCUAAUUCUUCACCUCUCUUUCUCUUUUUACUCUCAGGAACAGUAGCCCCAAUGUGUUACUGCUACAACAAUGCCGAGAUAUAAGAAAACAGCAAGCCGCCUCAAAGAUCCGUCACAAUUCCAGAGUUACCACACCGAAGAAAAAUAUGAAGAAUUCAUAGAGCCGCGUAGGAUUCUGGAAGAAAAAGGGUUUCAAUUUCGAGACCAACUCACGGGAAUUGUGCAAACAAUUCAUAAUGCUAUAGCAAAGCGAGGAUGGUUAAAGUUUUGCAAUCACCCUCGAGAACCUGUGUUGCCUGUAGUCAAAGAAUUUUAUGCCAAUUUGGUAAGCUCUGAUCAGCACAAUAUUUGGGUAAGAAAUACACUUGUCCCAUUAGAUUCCCGUGUUAUCAAUGCUUUUUCUAACUUACCUGCUGAAAUUACUUGUGAAUAUGCUAAGUUGCGUGAUAAGUUAACCCCGAAAAAGUGGAACACCAUUUUCACAACUCUUACAAUCGAAGGGGCGUCAUGGGCUAAUGAGGAAGGGCGUGUAGUUAAUAGGAUAGAUUUGAAACCUAAUGCUAAGGUGUGGGUGAAAUUUCUGAAAUCUAGACUUAUGCCCACCACCCACACUACUACAGUUUCGCAAGAAAGGUUGGUCUUGUUAUAUGUCAUAGUUCGAGGGCUUCCUAUAGAUGUAGGUAGCAUCAUUACGAAAGAAAUCCGAGAUUGUGCAGUCAAAACUCAUCGAACUGCUGCCUUGCUAUUUCCCUCACUCGUCACCAGCAUUUGUGUAGUUUCAGGUGUUCGUCUUGAUGCCAGAGAUGAACAUAUAAAAAAUGAUGGUGCCUUUACAGCACAUACCAUUGAGCGAGUUGCUGGUGAGAGUGCCGGAACAACCACUGAACCAGUUGUUGUCACAGGAGCAAGACGAGCUAUUGGCUUAGAACAGACUAUCCAGGCACUCAGCAACAGUAUAACUCAAUGUGUAGAAGCUCAGCAGAGAGAAAAUGGUCGGUUUUGGAGUUAUCUACAGCACUUGGACAACUAACUACAUCAAUUUGCUCGUACAUUAAAUGCACUCACUAGAAAUUCCCUGAUACACUGUUCCAGCAGUACAAUUUUGACACCAACACCACAGGUGCUCCAGCAGCAGCCAGUGAAGAAGCCACUGCUUCAGAUGAACUAGCAGAGGAAGCUGCCACUGAGCCACAAGCAGCAGUCGACUCAGAAGAGGCUGAACCAUCUGACCCACCUGAGGACGAAGGUGACAAGUCUGAGACUGAUAGCUCACCCUUAGAGGCAGAGGACAAUUCAGAGAAAGAAAGUGAGGAACCACUCAUCCCAGCCCAACCCAAAACCCAAGAAAAACACAUUAUUCAAGAAGAAGAGGAAGAAGACCCUGACGAGGAACCCUCUAUUCCAGUCCUUGCGAGUAAGGGGAAGGACAAGGGUAAAGCAAAAAUGGCAACACCUCCAGACUCUGCAGAUGAAAUUGAGCACGUUGAUGCCGAGCUCGCUGCUGCAGCGGCCAGAGCUAUGCCUACACCUGAGCAAUCCAAGCAACUACUUGCAGUUAUUGCUGCCAUCACAGUUGAGGGCCAGGCAGCUGAUGCAUUAACUAUAAAACCUCCCCAGCAAACUCCUAGCGAGCCUAUUCGUACCAGUCCAAGACAAUCUAGCAAACGAAAAGGCAGUACAUCUACAGGUACUGCUACGGCAACCCAGCCCCAACUUCUCUUGCUAGCCCCGUAGUGAAAAAGACAAAGACAUUGUCAUCUGCUUCCCCAAAAGCUUCACCAAAGGAUAAGCUGCGCAUUGCAUCCAAGAAGCACUGAUAGCAUUCCGUCAUGUGCUGCAAUCCCCACCACAGGGGAGUACUUUUUCCUUACUAGUUUAUUUGUUGUUCUUAAAAAAAAAAAUGAUUCUGUUUUUCAAUUUGUGUGGUAUUUUCUAAGGUCUUCCAUAUCCUUGUCAAUUUGUGUGCAUUUGUCAGUAUGCUUGUGAGGACACAGCAUCUCUCAAGUUUGGGGGGGUUGUUUUCGAAUGCAUGUGUUUAUGUUUGUGUUGUAUGAAGCUCUUCAUCUAAUAUUUGUCUAUGGAUUUGAAAGCCUAAUGAAGAUAAAUUGAGUGUUAAUCAAUAUUUAUGAGAAUGCCAAUAUUUAUGAGAAUGCCAAGUAGAGACAGUUAUAGAUAGAAGUGAAAUUCUGUCCUAACACUUAGACUUUGGUUGACUUGUAUAAGACUGCUAGAGCAGAGCCAAAAGAAUAGAAAAGAUCUUAAGUUUGGGGGGGAGAAGCAAGUUGAUUGACUGUGAUAUCUAUGAAAUAAACUCUGCUCCAAUGGCUCCAGUUGCUGAGUAACCAGAUCUGAGUAUGUACCCCAUAUGCAGAAUUGUGUCAAAGGUAGCGAGAGUUAUGAGCAAUGUUGUAGCAACUAUAAAACAAAAAAAAAGAAAAAGAAAAAAAAGAAGUCCUUUGUCUAAGGCAUUGAGUAGCCAGGUCUGUUCAUAAGCCCCAUGUUCAGCCUUGAGUAAAAGAUACCUCUAGAUAAGAUUAUACAGCAAAUAUUGUUGCAGCAACUCUGAUCUGGGUAUGGUUCGAGUAAUUGGGCGUCAUCAUUACAAGUGACUGACAUUCACAUGAAAGAUAAAUGUUACAAUAAGGAGGUUGAUUACUCUUCAGUUUAUCAAUGUUAAAAGCAUCACAGUUUGAGUAGGUGAAAUUUAUGCUACCCCAUUUAUGAAUGAAGUGUAUCACUGUUGAAAUUCAUGCAGACCUUAAUGAUGUUAUAGCAUAUCUGGAAUUCAAUCAAAGGAAGCACACACACACUAUGGACAGAAAGAAGCUUAAGUCUAGAACUGAUUUACUGCGGUUAUUUUGUAUGAUUAGAAUUGUGAUCUGAGGGUGGAAGAAUCCUUGCAAAUUUGAAAAAAGAGCUAAAGUUGUGUGCAUGAUUGUUUGCGGGAAGUGUUAGUAUGUGUUAUUACUUGAGGGCAAGUAAUAGUUUAAGUUUGGGGGUGUGAUAACUCUAGGAAAUGAGAGUUAUUACAUCAAUUCUAGACUUGAAUCAAGAUCAUUUAAAGAACAAAUAAGGUGUUUUUAUUACAUUUUGCUUAAACAUGCAUUUUAAUUGAGUAUUAAUAAGUUUUGUUUAAAUAAUAGUAAUUUGUGCUAAAAACAUAUGCAUAAUUGUAGGUUCUUGGAAAGUCUUAAUUCAUGAGGGGAUAUUGAGACAUCAGAUGAGCAAGAAGAGGAAAGAAGAUGGCCACAAAAAAAGAAAAGCACAAUCGGGAAUAAUGCAGUGUUGUUAAGGAUGUUAGAGCAACCUGUGCUGUAGCAAUCUGGGAGCAAUGAGGGAGAAAACUUAGGCGCGGGUUGUUGUGCAAAUUUUAAUGUACUCAUAAGCGCACGAAUCUAUUGUAGUAUAGAUCAAUGGUGACGAGUGUCGAUCCCACGAGGAGGUGGAUUUUAAUUAUGUGUAGAAUUAAUUUUGUAAAUGGGUGAUUGGAUUUGUGGUGGAAAUGAUUUGGAAUAUGCUAAAACUUAAAUUAAAAUGGCGAGAAUAAAUUCUGAAAUUGGAAUUGAAAUGGCGAGAAUAAAUUGAAGAGAAUUCUAUUGAAAUGACGUACUUGGGUAUCUGGAUCCGUAUCAACAUGCAUCAUGGGCUAAAUAAUCCUUAUUAAUGCCAAUUAAAUCAUGAGGGGGGAAUCCACACCUCAUGAACCACACUCUAAUCAAUAUGGUGCUAAGGGCUUAUCGUGCCAAAUAAUAAUAACCUUGUACUAGAGAGCCGGUGUAACCAAGGCGGUAUCUAGACAAGAUUAUUAUUAUUUGUCGACGAAAAGUCAAAUCAUCCACAAAAAUUAGAGGGGAAAAGAAAAUAAAUUUACUAAAUAAAGCCCAUGACACAUGUUGAGACUUCACCUUCAACCCAAGCUUGAAAGAAAAUUAGCUACUCAUAAUUGAACAAGGGGUAAAAUGGGAAUUUAUUAAAAUACGUAGAAAAUACAAGAUGGAGAAGGAAUUACAGAAAAUGGAGUCCAAAAAUGGAUUCAGAGGUAUCAAAUUAGGGGGGGAGGCCCCCUUUUUAUAGAUACAUGAAGUAAAUCAUGGCCAUCGGAUUAAAAACAGUUUGGACGCUCAGGAUUGCGCCACGUGAUCAGUCAACAGUACGCGGUUUGACCACGUGGAUGAACAGUAACACGGUUUGACUCGGGUGAACAGUGAUGCGGUUUGGUUGAAAAUAAUCCUGUGUGAUGCAUGUACCGUACGCGAGAUUUUUCGUCCACUGAUAUGCUUACAUGUGAAUAGUGCCAUUUUUCCUUUUAUGCUCCUCCUAAGGUUUUCGACCGUCCUGAGUUGAAAAGUGAUGUCCGUUUUAUCGUCUGAUCUCUCGUUUAUUGUGAAAUGACCAUGAUGCCCCUAAAAUACAUAAAAUACUUAAUUAAAAUCAAACACACAUAAUUAAAUUGCAAGAAGCUUAAAUACAUAAAAGUAAGGGUUGUUAGUAAAACUUGAAAUGUAAAAUGAUGAUUUUCUCCUUUAUAAAUAUACAUUUUCUAACACUCAACACGGGUCAGCGCAUGUUUCCUAAUUUAACGCAUGCAUGCUAAUGGGCUUGUGUUUACCCUAAUUUACAAUAUAAAAGGGAGGCAUGCACAACAUAGAAACGCGGCAAGAAAGAGAAUUAUCAUUAGAUUAAUUACAAGGAACGAAGAAGAAGAAGAUCAGAAUUGAAGAUUGUUGUUUCGGCAACAUUGGAGAAUCGUGCAGAAUUACUUGGCCUUGAUUUUCACCGUGCUCAACUUAUAUUUAUCUUCUUCUACUAAUUGAUUUGAUGUAUUCCGAAAUCAAUAUGUUUAUGUUUAUUUUUCUCAUCUAGAUUAUGAACUAAAUUCACUUGUAGUUGAGUGACAAAUAAUCCAAUGGGUUCUUGACUGUUCUUAUAUGUUGUUUUGGUAUUGCUGUAUCAUUUUACUCGAAUAGUUUUUAUGAAUAUAAUUGUUAUUUCGGUUGACCACCCAUUUAAUAGUUCCAGUUAAGAUAGAGCAGCAAAAGGGCAUGUCUUAGCAUACAUUAUUAGAGUAUUACUUGUUCUUAAAUCAAGUUUCCUAGAUUAUGUUAUCUUGAAUCCCAUAAGGGCAAUACUUGAAGUUAAGAUUUGUGACACUCUAGACAUAGGUGUUCACCUUCUAGGGUAGAGAGAUUAAAGGUUAUAAUGUCGUACCAUAAAUAUAUGAGCAACUGGUCAUUGUUAGUAGAUUUAAGGGUGUGAGAUUUCCAAUAUGCGAUAGCUGCGGAUGCAGAUUUAUGCUACCCAUUGCUGCAGCACUUAUUGUAACAACUGGUGCUCAAUUGAUAAACAACAGUCACCCCAUUAGGAGAGUUUGAUCAUUCAACUACUAUACUCUCAAUUGAAUCUUAGACACAUUUAACUUAGUUUAUUUCGUUGCAGUAUUGUUUUAUUCCAUCUCUUGCAAUUAUUAGUUACAAUAUAAUUAUUUGACAAUUGUUUGUUGCGGUCUUUAGUUGAUUUGCACUAUUGUGAUUGCAUUGGCAUUUUGAGUAACAUCAAUCCCUAUGGAGACGAUCUUAGUUAUGCAUCGAGAAAUUUCAAAUGUUAAAAGUUGCAUUGGAUGCAUGCAUAUCAUGGACUACAUUAUGAAGAAGACGUUUCAGAAAAUGAAUUUAUGGAAAAUAGGUGGUUGUACUACCAAGUGGAAAAGUUUUAAGGAGGGCAAUCCCUCAAAGCUAAGUUGAAAGAAAUCUUUUGGGGACGGCGAUACGUAACGCCAAAAAGAUCAACUAAUGAGGCCUAAGGGCAUAUUGUUUAAAGAGUAAACGUGCCAGCCUUGUAGUGCAACAUACCUAGGGUCCAAAUAAAGUUGUUUUGUAUUUUCUAAGUUUAUUUUAAGACCUUAAUAUGGUCAUCCAUAUGCAUCAUAAUUUAUACAUGCAUCAAAGUAUUAUCUUGCUGGGCAUUAGCUCACUAAGUCCUUACAUUGUAAGAAAUGAAGUUGGCACCAAGUCCUAACCAAGACGAAGUGCAUAUGGGCAUAAUAGACCUUGGGAUUUUAUAAUGGGCUCAACUUUAUUUCAAUAAAAAUAAACAUCUUAGUUUUGUGUAAAAUAAAGUUUUUAUACUAACGAGAAGAAAAAUCAAGAAAAGUAAAAAGAAUUUCUAGGAGCAUAAACCAUGCCCUCAAAAGUAAGGAGAGCAGUCAUGCUCCCCAUAAAUUAUACUCCAAUGGUAAAAAGCAGAAAAACUAAUAGAAUUCCUGAGAAAAAAGAAAAGCAAGAAAAGUAAAAAGAACAAGAGAAAAAAAGAAAAACAACUCUGCUGUACCGUACAUCCGCCUUGGCCGUACAGCAGUUUAGAAUUCGUAUUUAUAUUAAAAGUAACUUUGUUUUUAAGCAUUUUUAAGUAAAUAAUAUAGUAGAGUGUUACAAAUUGGUAUUAGAGCCCAAGGUUUAAAGCGAUUCUAUAGACCGACCAUAUGCACAAGUUAAAGGGGAAGGACAAGGCUCAGUUUUUUAGUUAUAACUUGAAAUUAAGGUAAUUAAGAAAAUCUUACAUUUGAUUUGUCUGACACGUAGAAACUAGAUUAAAAAUUCGUUGAGAUGUCAAGCACUAGGGGUAACAGAGGCAGAAGGGUGGAAGGAACUACAAGGGAGCAAUCUACAAUUGAUCGACUUACAAACAUUGUGGCACGACUCUUAGAAAGAGAAGUUAGAAGGGAUGAACAUGGUCAGGCAAUGAACAACGUUGUAAGCAAAUUUAGAAGAUUAAAUCCACCCACAUUUGAAGGCAGUGUAGAUCCUAUCGCAGCAGACCAAUGGUUGCGAACCAUGGAAAGAAUGAUAGAAGUAGCCAAAGUGCCAGAAGAAGAAAUGGUCACUUGUGUCUCCUUUAUGCUAUGAGGAGCGGCAGAAUACUGGUGGGACUCAAUUAAUUGAAUUCAUAAUGAAGAACAAUGCAAUGGGUGGAAUUUAAAGAACACUUCUAUAACAAAUACGUUUCAGAGACUGUUCGCUCCGCCAAAAGAAGAGAGUUUGUUUUUUUACAACAAGGAAUGAUGUUUGUGCUAGAGUGCAUCCGAAAAUUUGAUGAGCUCUCUUGAUAUGCUCCACAUAUGGUUGGAACGGAAGACUUGAAAAAGGACCACUUUAUGCAAGGAUUGAUCUCGCAAAAGACUUAAAGGUAGCUGGAGUUCGUGAUGCUUUCUUCAACGAUCUCAUUUAUCGAGCCUUGGUAAUUGAGAAAGCAGAUGAAGAAAAGAAGGAAGAAAAUUAAAGAAACAAAGGAAGUGUGGACCAGGGGAACUUUGUAAGACAACACUCAAAUAAUAAUAAGAGAAAGAGAACGCCAGUGGUCCAAGAUCAGAGUAAAAGCAAACGCCCGAAGAAUCAUCAGAAGGAGUGCUACAAAAACCAAAGUGCAAUCAAUGCGGUAGAACUCACCCUGGGGAAUGUUGAGAAAAUACCAGAACAUGUUUCAAAUGUGGAAAGCAAGGACACUUCAUUAGGGACUGCCCGGAAAAUAGUACGCAACAAGAAAAUGUUAAUGCUCGAGUAUUCACACUCACCAAGAUAGAUGCCGAAGGAAACCCCUCAGUAAUAUCAGGUGAACUAUCUAUCUUCAAAACUCCUACAUAUGUGCUAAUAGACUCAGGAGCUACACAUUCAUUUGCCUCAUCAGCAUUCAUUAAGAAAAUCGAAAAUGUCCCUAACAUAAUAAAUAAGCCUUUUAGUAUCAUGGUACCAUCGAGUGAAAUAUUAAACUCGGGACAAUUAGUUAAGGCAUGUGAGGUUAGCAUUAGUGGUAAUACACUAUAUGUUGACCUAAUAAUCAUCGAGAUGCAUGACUAUGACAUAAUUCUUGGCAUGGAUUGGAUAUCGAAGCACUAUGCCAAGAUAGAUUGCAAGAAAAAAGAGGUAACUUUUCGACCACCACAAAAGGAAUCAUUUACAUUUAAAGGAGAAUGCAAAGGGAAUAAAAUGUCUAUCAUUUCUGCAUUAAAAGCAACCAGACUAUUAAAUGGAGGAUGUAAGGGUUACUUGGCAAGUGUGGUCAUCGAAACAGAAGAGCAAAGACCAAAGUUGGAAGAUAUUCCAAUGGUGAACGAAUUUCAUGGGGUCUUUCUUGAAGAACUCACAAGAUUGCCACCGAAUUGAGAAAUUGAAUUCAAAAUCGAUUUGUUACCAGGAACUGCUCCAAUUUCAAAAGCGCCCUAUAGGAUGGCCCCAUCAGAACUAAAUGAGUUAAAGAGUCAAUUGCAAGAAUUACUAGACAAAGGCUACAUAUGCCCAAGCCAUUCACCAUGGGGAGCACUAGUAUUGUUUGUAAAAAAGAAUGAUGGAUCAAUGCGAAUGUGCAUCGACUAUCGAGACGUAAAUAAGGUGACUAUCAAGAACAAGUAUUUGCUUCCACGCAUUGAUGACUUGUUUGAUCAGUUGCAAGGAGCAGCAAUAUUUUCAAAGAUUGAUCUACGAUCAGGAUAUCGCCAGUUGAGAAUCAGAGAUGAAGAUAUUCCUAAAACAGCAUUCAGAACACGUUAUGGACACUAUGAGUUUGUCGUCAUGCCACUUGGUCUAACUAAUGCCCCAACAACCUUCAUGGACCUCAUGAACAGGGUAUUUAAAGACUACCUAGACAAAUUCAUAGUUGUAUUCAUCGAUGAUAUUUUGGUCUACUCACGAUCAAAGGAAGAGCAUACUGAGCACUUAAGGAUUACUCUUCAAACAUUGAAGGAGAAGCAAUUUUAUUCAAAACUCAAGAAAUGUGAGUUUUGGCUUGAGAAAGUAACAUUCUUGGGACACGUCAUGUCUAAGGAUGGAAUUUCAGUAGACCCCUCGAAGGUGGAAGCUGUAAGCCAAUGGUCCAGACCGACUAAUGCCAAAGAAGUCAGAAGCUUCUUGGGUUUAGCUAGAUACUACCGAAGAUUUAUGGAAAGUUUCUCGAAGAUCGUGAUGCCACUGACCCAGUUGACAAAGAAAAUGCUAAAUUUGUAUGGACUCCAGAAUGCGAGAAAAGCUUUGAAGAACUAAAACGAUGACUGAUCACUACUCCAAUCCUAGCCAUUCCUAAUAGCUCUGAGUAAUUUGUCAUCUAUAGCGAUGCCUCCAAAAAUGGCAUAUGAUAUGUCCUCAUGCAAAAUGGGAAAGUCAUUGCAAACGAUUCCAGAUAUGAGAAAAAUUAUCCAACGCAUGAUUUGAAGUUGGCAGCGGUGGUGCACACAUUAAAAAUAUGGCAUCACUAUUUAAUGGGGGUACAUUGUAAGAUUUACACUUAUCAUAAGAGCCUCAAAUACUUCUUUACACAAAAGGAGUAAAAUAUACGACAACGGCGUUGGCUAGAGCUUGUCAAGGACUACAAUUGUGAAAUAAACCAUCAUCCUGGAAAAGCAAAUGUGGUAGCAGAUGCACUAAGUAAAAAGUCAAGCCUAUCAGCUUUAAAGAUUCUACCUAAGCCAUUACAAGAUGACAUAUGCAAGGCAGAGAUUGAGCUAGUAAAAAGAAAAUGAGCCAACAUGACACUUUGUUCAACUUUAUUAGAAAAUAUUAAAGAGGGAUAGAAAAGCAAUUCCCACUUAAAGAACUUGAAGAUAGAAUCCAACUUAAAGGAGAUGUCAUUUAAAAAGUCAGAGAGGGAAAUCAUCUUGUUCAAGGACAGGAUAUGUGUGCCUAACAAUAAAGAUAUAAAGAAAGAAAUUCUACUUGAAGCUCACACAACUCCAUAUUCACUUUACCCUGGCACAACAAAAAUGUACAAAGACUUAAAGAAGCACUAUUGGUGCCCUGGAAUGAAGAAGGAUAUAGUGGAGUUCGUGGCAAAAUGUCUCACUUGUCAACAAAUCAAAGCAGAGCACCAGAGACCAGUAGGACUUUUGCAAUCCAAUCAAAUCCCUCAAUGGAAAUGGGAAGAAAUCACAAUGGACUUCGUCGUUGGUCUUCCAAAAACUACCAAAUGCAUGAUGCCAUUUGGGUCGUCGUCGAUCGACUUACAAAGUCUGCUCACUUUUUGCCUAUUCGAAUGACUUUUUGCCUAUUCGAAUGACAUACACCAUGGACCAGCUUGCAAAAAUAUAUGUAAAGGAGAUAGUAAGACUACAUGGUGUGCCCAUUUCUAUUAUUUCUGACCGAGAUGCAAGGUUUACUUCGACACUCUAGGAAAAGUUACAUAAGGCUAUAAGGACAAGAUUGAAGUUCAGUACAUCAUUUCACCCUCAAACAAACGGCCAAUCAGAAAGAACGAUUCAGACGCUUGAAGAUAUGUUGCGAGGAUGUGCUAUUUACCAUUGGUUGAAUUCAUUUACAACAAUAGUUACCGAGCAACAAUCGACAUGGCACCAUAUGAAGUUCUAUAUGGUAGAAAAUGUAGAUUGCCUAUUCAUUGGGAUGAGAUGGCCGAGCGAAGGCAUCUUGGACCUAAGUUAAUUACUGCCUCAUCUGAAGCGAUCGAGAAAAUACGUCAAAGAAUGUAGGCAGCUCAAAGUCAAUAGAAACGUUUUGCAGAUAAGAGGCAAAGGCCUUUGGAAUUUCAAGUUGGUGACAAAGUAUUUCUAAAAGUUUCCCCAGUAAAAGGAUUGAUGAGAUUUGGGAACAAAGGAAAAUUAAGUCUGAGGUUUAUUGGGCCAUUUGAAAUACUCGAUCGUGUCGGGAAUGUUUCCUACCGACUUGCCCUCCCACCAUCGUUAUCAAGAAUACAUAAUGUCUUUCAUGUCUCCAUGCUAAAGAAAUACAUCCCAGACUCCUCUCAUGUGCUAGAUUAUAAAACUCUUCAACUAGAAGGAGACCUAACCUACGAAGAAUGUCCAAUUUAAAUUCUCGAUAGAAAGAUAAUGGAGUUAAGGAACAAGAAGAUCCCUUUAGUUAAAGUACUAUGACGAAAUAGCUCAAUGGAGGAGGCAACAUGGGAAUGUGAGGAAGAUAUUAAGAAUCAGCAUCUUGAGCUAUUCAGUAAGAAAAUUUCGAGGACGAAAUUUUUUUAAAACAGGGGAGGAAAUUGUGAGGUACAAUUUUCUCACUUCAAUAUAGUAGAUUUUAUUUUAAGCUAACAAGCCCCUAAAGUUUAUAAUAUUUAAUUUCAAGGAAUGAUGACAUAUGCAAUGACAUAAGUGAUGAUGUAAGUAGAAAUAUAUAGAGAAAGUUAAGAAUUCUAGAAUUUAGUAAGUUAUUUAUGAAGGUUAAUCUCAACCAUUGAUCAAGAGUUAUAGUGGCAAAAUCCUAGCCAUCCAUUAGCCUUAAGAAAUUCUAUAAAUAACCCCCCACCACCUCUCAUUUUCAAUGCAACCUCAAAAUUUCAUUUCCUUCUAUUCUAAGUCAUAAUAACAAGAGUAGAGGAAUCAUUAACUUAGAAAGAUCUAGAGAAGUCGAGAUCAACAGGUAAGUAACAUUUCAACUGCAAUGUAAAGACAUUUUUUUUCAUACUUAAGUUCAGUUUUAACAAUUCCUUUAUAUUAUAAUGGCUAUUAUAGUGUGAUUAGUUAUAUCUUUAUAUGGUCGGCCCUGCCGCCUAAUAUGUGAUGCUAUGGUUGGCCCUGCCGCCUAAUGUGUGAUGUUAUGAUCGGCCCUGCCGCCUAACAUGUGAUGUUAUGGUCGGCCCCGUUGCCUAAUAUGUGAUGCUAUGGUCGGCUCUGCCCCCUACUAUGUGAUGCUAUGGUCGGCUCUGCCGCCUAAUAUGUGAUGUUAUGGUCGGCUCUGCGCCCUAAUAUGUGAUGCUAUGGUCGGCUCUGCCGCCUAAUAUGUGAUAUUUAUACUUAAUUAUGCUAUGGUCAGCUAUGCCGCCUAUACUAAAGACUUUUUUUUAAUAAUAUUGUGUGUUGAUUUUAUUAUGCAUCAAGAAAUUUCAAAUGUUAUAAGUUGCAUUGGAUACAUGCAUAUCAUGGACUACAUUAUGAAGAAGACAUUUCAGAAAAUGAAUUUUUGAAAAAUAUAUGGUUGUACUACCAGUUGGCAAAGUUCUAAGGAAGGCAAUCCCUCAAAGCUAAGUUGAAAGAAAUCUUUUGGGGUCAACGAUACGUAACACCCAAAAGAUCAACUAAUGAGGCCCAAGGACAUAUUGUUUAAAGAGUAAAAGUGUCUGCCUUGUAGUGCAACAUACCUAGGGCCCAAAUAAAGUUGUUUUGUAUUUUCGAAGUUUAUUUUAAGACCUUAAUAUAGUCAUCCAUAUGCAUAAUAAUUUAUACAUGCAUCAAAGUGCUAUCUUACUGAGCAUUAGCUCACUAAGUCCUUACAUUGCAGGAAACGAAGCUGGCACCAAGUUCUAACCAAGACGAAGUGCAUAUGGGCAUAAUAGACCUUGGGAUUUUAUAAUGGGCUCAACUUUGUUUAGUACUAAGGAGUUUCUGUAUGACUCUUAAUUUUUGUAAGAAAGUUUUGUUUGUUGUAAACUUUUAGAAUUUGUAUUUAUAUUAAAAGUAACUGUGUUUUUAAGCAUUUUUAAGUAAAUAAUAUAGUGGAGUGUUACAAUAAUUAAGUAUUUUUGUAUUUUAGGGGCAUCAUAGUCAUUUCACAAUGAACGAGAGAUCAAACAGCAAAACGGACAUCACUUUUGAACUUAGGACAGUCAAAAACCUUAGGAGGAGUAUAAAAGGAAAAAUGGCACUGUUCACGUGUACGAUACUGUCCAUGUUACUGUUCACGACACUGUUCACAUAUACGGAACGAUGAUGUGUCAUUGACCGAUGACGUGACAUUGCCUGAUGAGGUGUCACGAUCUUAUUGAACUAAAAUUUUUAUGUACUGUUGAUCAGUGACGUGACAGUAUGUUAGUGGACCGAAAAUCGUGCGUACGGUACAUGCAUAUGCGUGGAAUUAUUUAUAACCAAACCGCAUUACUAUUCAAACCACGUGGUCAAACCACGUACUGUUGACACAUGGCGCUAUCUUGAGCAUCCAAAUUAUUUUUAAUUCAAUGGCCAUUAUUUACUCAGUGUAUCUAUAAAAAGGAGGCUCCCCUUCUAAUUUGAUACCCCUGAAUUCAUUUUUGAGCUCAAUUUUCUGUAAUUCCUACUCCAUCUUGUAUUUUUUACGUAUUUUAAUAAAUUUUUAUUUUACUCCUAGUUUAAUUAUGAGUAGCUAAUUUUCUUUCAAGUUUGGAUUGAAGGUGAAGUCUCAACAUGUGUCAUGGGCUUUAUUUGGUAAAUUUAUUCUCUUCCCCUCUAAUUAAUGUGGAUGUUUUAACUUUUCAUUAAUAGAUAGUAACAAUCUUAUCUAGAUACCGCACUAGUUUAACCGGCUCCCUAGUACAAGGAUAUUACUAUUUGGCACGAUAAGCCCGUAGCACCAUAUUGAUUAGAGUAUGGUUCAUAAGGAGUAGAAACCCCCCUCAUGAUUUAAUUGGCACUAAUAAGGAAUAUUAAGCCCAUGGUGCAUGUUGAUGUAGAUCUAGAUACCCAAGUGCAUCCAUUUUAAUAGAUUUCACUUCAAUUUAUUCCCGCCAUUUUAAUUUAAAUUUUAGGAUAAUUUAAAUCAAUUCCACCAUAAAUCCAGUCAUCCACUUAGAAAAUUAACUCUACACAAAAUUAAAAUCCACCUCCUCGUGGGAUCGACACUCGUCACCAUUAAUCUAUUCUACAAUAGAUUCUUGCACUUGCGAGUUCAAUAAUAUUUGCACAACGGCGGCAACAGACUUUAUAGCAAAAUUCACUAGUAACUUAUUCAAGAAGGCCAAGAUUAGUAAAGCAAUAAUGCCAACCUGGAGAUUAUAUGUGGAUAGAUCAUCAAAUGAACAAAGGAGUGGAGCAUAGUUGAUUUUUGUCACCCUAGAGCAUACAAAGAUCAGUUCUGCCCUUAGGUUUGGGUUCAAGGCCUCCAACAAUGAGGCAGAGUACGAGGCCUUGCUUGCUGGUCUCAUGUUAGCAAAAGAGGUGGGGGCAGAGAAGUUGGAAAGUUUUAGUGAAUCACAAUUAAUUGUGAAUCAAGUCAUAUCCAAGUACCAUGCAAAGGAAAGUAGGAUGUUAGCAAAUCUACAAAAGGUCAAAAAGCUACUAAUGAAUUUUGUAUAAUACACCAUCACUUAGAUUUCAAAGGAAGAAAACAACAAAGCAGAUGCCCUUGCAAGGCUGGCAUCAACCAUAGAUGUAGGUUUAAAUAGAUUAAUCCUUGUUGAGUUUUUACAAAAUUCGAGUAUUAAUCACGAAGAGAAUAAGAAGAUUAAUCUUGUGAAUACAACUGGGAAUUGAAUAGAUCUUAUCAUUAGUUACUUAAGAGAUAAGAAGUUGCCCGAUAAUAAAGAUGAAGCAAGGAAGAUCAGGUUAAAGUCAACACGAUACGUGAUUUUGGGAUAUGUGCUAUACAAGAGAGGAUAUUCACUAGCUUACUUGAGGUGUCUAACAUCUAAUGAAGCAAACUACGUGAUGAGAUAAAUCUAUGGGGUUAUUUGUAGCAACCAUUCGGGUGCAGGGUCAUUGGCCCAUAAAGUCAUUCGCCAAGGGUACUUUUGGCCUACCAUGAUGGAAGAUUCACAGAAAUUUGUGCAAUGGUGUGACAAAUGUCAAAGGUUUUCCAAUGUACCACAUCAACCCCUAGAAUAGCCUACCUCAGUUGCUAGCCCAUGGCUAUUCGCUCAGUGGGGGUAGACAUCAUCGGUCCAAUGCCUACUGGCAAGGGACAAACAAAAUUUGCAGUUGUGGCUGUAGACUAUUUCACAAAGUGGGCAAAAGCAGAACCCUUAGCAUAAAUUACAGAGCAGAAAACUACUGGAUUCAUAUGGAAGUCUAUCAUAUGUCGAUUUGGUAUUCCCUAAGCUAUUGUGAUGGAUAACGGGAAACCGUUUGAUAAUCCCCGUUUCAGGGGGUUAUGUGAAGGCCUUGGGAUUAAAAUUUUUUUCUCUUCCUCGACUCGUCCUCAAGCAAAUGGGCAGGUCGAAGCUAUCAACAAAAUAAUUAAGCAUUACUUAAAGACCAAGCUAGAAAAGCAUAAAAGGGCUUGGACAUGAAUUACCAUUCGUAUUGUGGACUUACAGAACCAUACACCAAGGCAACAGAAGAAACCUCAUACUCCAUUGCAUUUGGGACAGAAGCAGUGGUCCCUGUAGAGAUUGGCAUGCCUUCUUAUAGGGUGUAGUAUUUUCAACCUGAACAAAACUUAGAACAACUGAACCUCAGCCCAGAGCAGCAGUACACAAACAAAGGGUAGCUCCAUACUUCAAUUCAAGGUGAAGCCAAUAAGCUUUGGGUUGGUAAUCUAGUUCUCAUAAAGAUAUUUCAGAGCACAAAAGAGCAAAAUACUGGCGUGCUAGGACCAAAAUGGGAAGGCCCCUAUAGAGUAGUAGAAAUUGUCCGGCCGGGGACUUACAGGCUCGAAGACAUGAAUGGAGUUAUGCUUCCACAUCCUUGGAAUGUAGAACAUUUGAGGAUUUACUAUCAGUAAUGAAGCAACAUUAGUCAGUUUUCUUUUCUAAAAGUUUAGCCAAUUAAUAAGGCUUUCUUAAGCCAUUAGGAAGAUUCUUUUUUACGCUGAUAGAAAGUUAUUACCAACUUGCAUUUGUGACAGUUUAAUAAUAAAGCACAUCAUUAGCUUAUUCUAGAAUUUUAUAUUAUUGUUUAAAAUUUUCUUUUAUUUGAAAGAGAGCAGUUGUGGUGCAAAACUGUAAGAAAUCAACAAAUAUGUGCAUAAAAGGUGAAAGGUCAUGCUCUUUUAAGAGCAAAAAGUAUGCUUCCAAUAGUAAAUGGGGAGCAUCAGUUAUGCUUCCCGGGAAGCAGAAAUCAUGCUUCCAAGAGAGAAAGAGGAGGAAAAAUUAAUAAGUAUUCCUGCCCUCUUGGGAAAAAGAAAAAUCAAGAAAAGUAAAAAGAAUUUCUAGGAGCAUAAACCAUGCCCUCAAAAGUAAGGAGAGCAGUCAUGCUCCCCAUAAAUUAUACUCCAAUGGUAAAAAGCAGAAAAACUAAUAGAAUUCCUGAGAAAAAAGAAAAGCAAGAAAAGUAAAAAGAACAAGAGAAAAAAAGAAAAACAACUAAAAACCUUGGGUGAUAAUAGAAAAUGCAGCAUCUCAGAUAUAAUUGAUAACGAGCAUCAUCAGUCUUCUAGAAAAUGGUAAUUAAGUUGAAGGUAGCGGCUCUCAAUCAUAGCCUUAGCCUUGGCAUCACCUUUUAGAAAUUCUUCAUCAAAGAUAUUCUUAAAAUCAGUAGAAGCUUUGAACUCUUCAACAGCUAAAGUUUUCAUACUUGGAAUUUGGAGGUUCAAUUGGUCAAGAGAGUUGAACAAUUCUUGAACUUGGGACUGGAACUGAGCUAAUUCUUCCUUUGCAGCAUUAAGUUCCAACUUCAAUUAGGCCACAAGAGCUUUCUCUUCGCUUAGACACUUCUCCAGCUCAUCAAUCUUUUUUUCUAGAAGCUUAGCCCGAUUCAAGUAAAGCAUUCAUCUCCAGCAUCAGGGACUUUAUCUUUUUUUUUUUUUUAUUUGAACAACACAACCAAGCUACAAGAAAAUGAACACAGUUGGGAUCCAACUUCAUAUUGGUAAUGGUAACAUAAAAGCAAUAUUACAAAAGCGAUAUUAUUACUACUACCUGAGAAACGUUAGCAAGCAUGGCUUCAAUAAGACCAGAGUUCUCCAUUUGCCUCAUAUUAUCAGCAAAGACAUAUUGAGGCCAAGAUUGAGCAAAAGAACUUAGAUGUGCUUGAGAAAGAUCUUCCCAAGUGACAUUAAAGUCCAUUAAAGAUUAAUGGCCCUAAAACAUGACAAAGGUCCAAAGAUUACCAGUCAUGAGAAAGUAUUGACACAUAUGAAUAUGUGUCUCCAUGCAUGGGCUUUAGCUGACACUUGUCACAAGAAAAGUGUCACCUAACCUCUCCAAUUGACUCUAAGGUUGCCUAUAUAAAGGCCAAAGCCCCCCAUUUAAAGGUAAGAGAAAAGAAAAAAAAAGCAUAAAAUAAGUAAAAAACUCUGCCCAUCUCAUCUAGAAUUUCUCUCUCUAAAAAUUGAGUAAAAAUAAUUGACUUGAGCGUCAGAGGGUUAUCGUCAGCUUGCCGGCACCCUUUCAUAAUUGUUUCUUUUUGUGAAACAAUUAAUCACAAGAAGACAUGUGAUUUGAGACAUUCGCUUUAAGGAAAAAAUAAGCCACAGAACUCGAUUUAGAAGAAAGUCCAAAACACAAAUCAAUCAUUGUACAUUGAGCAAAAAUUUGCAUUAACAAAUAUGAAGAAAGAAAUUAAGAAAACGUACUUGCUUACAGUCACAAAUAUAAAGAUAAAAAUUGUAGAGAUUACCAUAAAGAAAAUUGUAAAUUUGUUUUCAUACAAAAGACAAUUUAGUAUAACAAAUUCUACAGAUAUGAAUAUAUUUUUAUAUGCACACAAAAAUUUAUCUGCUCUUUCUGUCUGAAAAAACGUUUAAUAAGUUCUAAACAUUAAAAUGUGGAAUCAUGUGAUUGGACAUACUCAAAAUGUGGCCUGUUUAUUAAUUAUAACACUACAUACAUACGAUAUAGCCUUCAUUUUUACACUUAAAAUUUCCAAAAAAAUAAAUUUAACUUCAAUUAAAUUGCACUAAAGAUAGAAAGUUAAAAGCCCAAUUCAUUAUUAAACAUGGAAUUACUUUGUAUUAUUUAGUUCACAUUUUGUUAGAAUCUUCCAACCGUUGCUUUAAAGAUAAUAAAUAUAAUGUCAAUGUAUGAAAACUUAGUAAUUCAUGCAAUACAAAUUUAGAAUCAUUAUUUUGGACUUGCAUGCAACAUUUACUAUAUCGUUCUAGCAAAAUAAUUUCCUUUUGUACAAAUAAAAUUGAACAUUGACAUUGAAAUGCUUUAUAGAAAAUGCAUUUAUAAAAAAAUUUAUAAAGCAUUUUUUUCAUUCACCAGUAUUAACUACAAAUAUUUAUUUUAUUUUAAACUACCAAAAAGAGGGGUUAGGCUAGAUCCAUACAUGUCAUGUAAAUCUGAUAAAAUUAAAAUACAUAUAGAAGGGGCCAUAGACCAAAACCUCACUAUAAGAAAACAGGCAAUAGAUGACGGACAAUUUAUGACAGAUUAUAGGUAUAUCAUAAAAUUACGACAAAAUUGUGAUAGAAUUUUUAAUCUAUCAUAGAUUUAUGAUGGGUUUGUGAUAGAAAUAUUUACUAUCAUGAAUUUAUGAUGGUUUUAUGAUAGAAUUAUCAUCACCAUCAUUGCAAAAUAAAACAUCCCAAAUAAGAAAAAAAACCAUACUGCUGUACGGCCAAGGCGGAUGUACGCCACAUUUGACCCAAAUUUGAUGUAUUAUUUUAUUUAAAAAACAAAAGAUGUGUUUUACUAAUUAAAAACAAAUGCCACCAAAACGCUACCAUUUUAAGUACUUGAGCUUUCUUUCUUUUUUCUAAGUGUUUAACAUUCACAUUACUGAUGAGAAAUCCAAAUCCCUAAGUACUGUUUCUUUUGUUCCAUCGUGCCGUUCACAAACCCUUUUCUGAAACCCCUGAUUCUUGCCGCUCUUCUACCAUUCACACAUUGUCAUUGCCUUUAUACAAAAUUUAGCCUCCCCCAUUUAAGCCAUCAACCUCUUCAGUUUCGCUUUGGCUCCUAAUACCGUCAAUUUUUUUCACUUUGUUUCAAAUUUUCGUAAUUAAAUAAUUGUCUCUUCAUUUUGAAACCAUACGUCAAUGCCUUCGCAGCAUAAAGAGCACCAGCCAAGCAAACAAAAUUCAGCCAGUUCUUAAGGUAACCCUAACCCUCAUUUGGGGAAUCUUUGGUAUUAUUUGUCUUGGAUAUUGGAGGAUAGAUAGAUCCAUGUGGGUAAAAUUGAAGCUGUGUGUUCUUCUAAUAUUUUUUAUUAACGGUAUUAUCUAUCUUGCAGCGUGAAUCUUUCGUUAAACACAUUGUUUUGAUUCUCUUUGCCUUAUCCUCUUUAUAUAAAUAUAUGCAAAGACUUGACUAUGUUGUAAAUGUUUCUAUCAGAUGCACUUUGGUUUCUUCACUUAAUUCUUUGUUCAACGAUCUAGUUUUAUCACGCUUUACAAGGUAGGUAACAUUUUUUCUUGUUACUGUAUAUACCCCACAUGCUUAUGUGAUUGCUCUUUGUAAUAAGUUUGUUUAUUUCUUCAGUAUUUUAUGCCAAAUGCUUUGUUGUUGGGUUUAAAUUAUUAACUGUUUCAUUUAUAUUUGUUUAAUAACAAUUUGUAUCUAUUUUGAUGGCAUUUUGUUGUUUUUGGAAAUUAUGUUAAUAGUGUGGGUACAAUUCUGGAUCAAACUUAGAUAAAUGUUUGUGCACUGAAUGUGACUUGCUUGGAACAUAAAUAGUUUUUUAGGGAUUCACUGUAUAUAGGCGAGAAACCAGUGACAUAUAUUCUGAUGGUCAACCCGAAUGGGGUCUAUGUCAGUUUGCACUACUGGUGUAAAAAGUCACGUACAAGUGUUCCCCUAACAUAACCUAGUCAUCCGUUUAGCAUAAGGCACCCAUACACAAUACCAGCUAAGGCUUACCUCACACAACAACAAUUAUUCCAGAAACAUGGUACGCUCACUCAAAUGGGCUUUAUUUAACUCAACCUUAGUGUAUAAUUUAUUUCCAUAUCAAAAUUUGAAGCCAUUUAGACAACUCUACAAUAGGGUCUCACGAGAUUAAACUAAACCAAUCAAAAUUGCCUUUUAAUUUACAUAGAAAUAGCUGAGAUUUAGUGAUUUAUUAAAAUUAAAAUACUCAAUAUAUUGGGAUAAAACUUUCUAGAACAUAUAUAGAUCUAUGAUUAAAUAACAUAUUAAAUUCCGAUAUCAUUGAGCUAGUGUUUCAUAAGAUCAAAUGUAAGAGAACACCUCUGUUAAAGGGGCUUCCAGAUUUUUUUUAUCAAUUAUAUUUGUUGUUCCUCACUCACAGAUCAGGAGGUUUAAUAAAUACCUAUAUGGAGUUUGUUUCUAGUGGGAAUGCCCUUAUUUUUUACUUUCUUCAUGCGGAGAAGCUUUCAAAUCCCACGGUUUAAGAGCGUGUGUGUAUAUAUAUAUAUAUAUAUAUAUAUAAUUUAUAUAUAACUUUAUGAUGAGAAAUAUGCAUCAUAAAGUCUGUCAUAAAAAAUUUCCUGCGAAAAUUAAUAAUAAAUAUAAAAAUUGACAAUUUAAUUUUCCGCUAAAAAAUUAAAAAAAAUGGUGUAAAAAUUUAAAUUAGUUUAAAUUUAAAUUUAAUUAUUUUUUUCAUAUUAAAAUAUUGUGUGACAGAUAUAUGAUUGUAAAAUGCCAUCAUGAAUUCAUGACGGAAAAUAAUUUGUCAUAUAUUAAUGACAAUGACAUAGAUGACGGAUGAAAUGUCUGUCAUAAACAUCCUUGAUUAGUUUAGUCACAUUUUGAAACAAUAAAACUUUCCAUAAUAGUCCAACCACUACAAGAAAAUAGACAAUAGAUGAUGGAAAAUAACUGUCAUAAAAGGAGGUUUAUGACAGUUAUUUUCCGUCAUCUAUUGUCUAUUUUCUUGUAGUGGUUGGACUAUUAUGGAAAGUUUUAUUGUUUCAAAAUGUGACUAAACUAAUCAAGGAUGUUUAUGACAGACAUUUCAUCCGUCAUCUAUGUCAUUGUCAUUAAUAUAUGACAAAUUAUUUUCCGUCAUGAAUUCAUGAUGGCAUUUUACAAUCAUAUAUCUGUCACACAAUAUUUUAAUAUGAAAAAAAUAAUUAAAUUUAAAUUUAAACUAAUUUAAAUUUUUACACCAUUUUUUUUAAUUUUUUAGCGGAAAAUUAAAUUGUCAAUUUUUAUAUUUAUUAUUAAUUUUCGCAGGAAAUUUUUUAUGACAGACUUUAUGAUGCAUAUUUCUCAUCAUAAAGUUAUAUUUAAAUUAUACUGCUGUACCGUACAUCCGCCUUGGCCGUACAGCAGCNNNNNNNNNNNNNNNNNNNNNNNNNNNNNNNNNNNNNNNNNNNNNNNNNNNNNNNNNNNNNNNNNNNNNNNNNNNNNNNNNNNNNNNNNNNNNNNNNNNNNNNNNNNNNNNNNNNNNNNNNNNNNNACAGCAGAUACACACAUGAUUAUAAUUUAUUUUUGAAUUCUUGUUUACAAAUUUAAUUAAUUAAUAAAAAUGAAUAUCAUAAAAAAAAAGUAAAAACAAUUAAUACAACAUCCGUUCAAUCCAACAAAUUAAUUUUAAAAUAAAUACAUCUAAUAUCAAAUUUCAUCACCAUCAUUGCAAAAUAAAACAUCCCAAAUAAGAAAAAAAACCAUACCAAAAUAUAAACUCAUAGUUAAAUUCCAAUUAAACACCAAGAAAAACAAUUCAAACUCCAUCCACCAAGCCAAGUUGCCCAACAAAACUUCUAGCACCAAUAUCAUCUUCCAAUAGCACUCUAAUACCAGCAUCAAAUAAGGUAAAAGUCACAGAUGAUACUUGUAUAAGCAAAACCAUCCACAUUAAUAAAGAGUACAUAUCGCCUUUUCUGUUGCUGUAAAAGAGUCGCAUUAUGGUCUGUCAGCUUAGUAAUAAUGGAGAAGUAAUUCCAGCAUAUUAUUUCUAUCCAGCAGGGCCCAAAUCCUCAUCUUUAGGGGCUAAGAUAUCGAAUGAGAUAAUAAAUAAGUAAAAGGGAAAUCUGAGGGAUAGUGAAACAAAAGUAAACCCAAAACUAUAAGGAUAAAGAACAUUUUUUCCCACUACUAAGAGUAGUAUAAGAUGUAAUUGCAAUUGUUGCUGCAAGGAUUAUUUGUCUUUCAGAUUGUGCAAGUGACGCUUCAUCCCUUUCCUUUUUAAGUCUAGCAAUUACAUGACAAGCUGCAUCAUGUUGAGGACAAAUCAAUACAAUCAAACAGAUGAUAUGUAUCAUAUACACUAAAUGCCGAAUAUAAAGAGAUAAUUUGUGAAUUAACUUUAACAGGCAUAACCUCAAGUGCUAUUACCUGGUACAAUGCAUGGCUUAUCUCUUGCCUUGCUAUAUGAUGUUGUUACUCCAAAGCAAAAUUAGAUAGCAUCAAACCAUCCCAUUCCUACAAUUAGACAAACAAUGUAACUGCUAGGAAAUAUAAUCUACAAUUAGACAAACAAUGUAACUGCUUCAAACCAUCCCAUUCCUACAAUUAGACAAACAAUGUAACUGCUAGGAAAUAUAAUAAAGAAUCACAUAUUAAAAUGUAAAAUUCAGUAUCAAUUAAAAUUGUGAAUUUGAAGAAGUGUCACUAAGAAAUCAGCAAUAUUACAGUUAGAAAAAAUGAUAAAAGACAUUAAAUUAUGUUUACACGAUUAUCAUUAUUUAUAAAAGAAGUAUUCACUUUUCAAAUGAAAAAAAUUAAAAGAGCACAGAACAAGGGAUCUCAAAACAAAAAUCUUAUAAUAGCUCUAUCUUGCAAAAUAUACUGGAUAAAUCUAGCAUAAGAAUAGUUGGCAAGAAAACUCUAAAACAAAAUAUCCAUGUUCUACAUUCUAAAUUAUUAUAGAAUAAAGAGACCUAAUGAACACAAAAACAAUAUGAUAUUAUGAAUGAAAAACAUGGGCUAAAAUCUGGAAAACAUGUUUCAUGCAAAGAAAAAGAUCACCAUAAAAAUAAGAGGUUAUUACAUGCUGAUUGAAUUGGAAUAUAAUCUAAGCUUUCACUUGGCAAGAAAUUGGUAAUGUGCUAAAGCACAAGUUCAUGAAAAAACAUAUGAAGUCAAAAGUCAAAUUCUUUUUAAGUACUAACAAAUUAAAAACUCCUUCCAAACAAACUUAAACAUUUAACACAGCAGACACAAGGCAAUAAAUCAUAAUCACAUACAUUUUGGAACAUUACAAGCAUCCCAUGAAUGCUAGCAGACAUCAAUGGUCUGCGCUUCUUAAACUUCAUGGCAACCCAUUUAGCAAAAGACAAAAAUUAUCAUGCAAGAUUACAUUAAAUAAUGAUGACGAAAACUUCCAACAAACCAAGAAAAGCAACCAUCAUAAAUUUCUAUAACCAUUUUCUCCUAAAUUAUGUAGAGAAAAAUAGUAAUUUAACUAUAAAAAUUUCUAAGACACAUUUAAUCAAAUACCUUCUCCCGUAUUAUAUAGAUAAAAAUAAAAUGUUAACUAUAUGAAUCUCUAAUAGACAUUUAAUCAAGCUCCUUACAUGUGCAAAAAUCUUUCAAAAUUGUAAACCAAUUAUACAUGUUAAAUCUUCAAUUGACAUUCAAAUUUUCCCAAAUCAUGAUUUCUUAGACAAGAACGAGUAAAAUUUACAAGAUAAUUGAACAUGACAAUUUCAAGAAAAAGCCAAACCCUAACCAUCACAACAACCACGAGCCACCAUUACCUUACCCCUCCACAACAAAUCCAAUACCAUGCAAAUCAAACCCAAUCAAUUUUUGCACCAAAAUCCCAUUAAUUUUACUAUUUAGAAAAAUAAACCCACAAGUUUUAAUACAUACCUGAUGUCAAUUUUAAUUUUACAAAAAUCAGCAACCUUACUUGGAUAUGGAUUGAUUCAUUGAGGAAAAAAAUUAAAAAAACCAAUUGUUUCUCACAGUGGAGGUAGAUCUGCUUGUGGAGAUGACGAAAAGAUGAAAAAACUGAAAAACAAUGUGAAACGAGAGAGCAAACAAGUGUUACAGCUUGAAUGGAGGAAGAAUGGUGGCAUUUUGAAUGACAAAAUAGUGGAGUUUUUAUGAUUUAUUCAGAUUGAAAUUUUAAUUCUAGGGUUUCAAAUGAUGAAAGAGAGAGGCAAAAUGGAGAACGUCCAACACUUAGACAAAAUUUGUGUGUUUUAAGCAAUCCUAUGGUAAAUUGUAGCCUUUUAUUCUUUUUGUUUUUAUUUUUUAAUUUUUAAAAAGGUGUUGUUUGAUUUUUUAAAUAAAAUAAUACAUUAAAAUUUGGUCAAACACAAUCAAAAUCAUAAUUCUAUCACAAUUUCUUGAUGUAGCAAAUUUCUAUCACAAUUCUAUCAUCAAUUCUUGAUAAAUAAUAAUUAUUUCACAAAAUCAUCGCUAAUGCAUGAUAGAACUAUAUUCUGUCACAAGUCCGUCAUGCUUUUAUGAUAUAUACGAUUUUACCCUGAAUCUGUCACAAGUUGUCUGUCAUCUAUUGUCAGUUUUCUUGUAGUGAACAAUUCUCAAAUUUUUUGGAGAAUCCAUAAUUAUCAUUCUGUCACUUCUAUAAUUAAUUUUCCAGCAACUUAAACAUCACCAAACCACAUGCUUAAAGCAAUAUUAGACAUGUAAAACAAACAACAACCUUGCUUUUGAGUUUUGAAACAAAAAACAUCACCAAAUCAUAUAACUUGAGAUAAUUAGAUCACUCUUAAGACUUUGACCAUGUUUGCAUUGGCAAAGAAUAUUAGUAGAACAAUUUUUUUCUUUUAAUAAUAUAAUGUUAUAAAUCUCAAAUAGUCUAUGUGUUCUUUGUUGGACCAAACAUGUGAUCAUGAUAUUUUUUGAACUUAAGUCUUAUUCAUAUCAGAACAACAUUUAGAUAAGCAUGUGCCAAGAAAAAUUCAGUUUAUGUAUUCUUCCAUAUGUUUUUCAUUUUUUUUUGGAUGUUUUUCAUCUUCAUUUGUUUAUGUUGCAGCAAAGGUAUUUAAGUCAUUGUUAAUUUGUACCUUGCAUAAAUGUAUUGGUAAUAUAUUCUGAUUUUUUAUUUAUAUUCUACCACCUUAAUGUGUCAGGAUCAGAUAUAAUUGAAACUAAAAAUGGAUAAGUCAUGGAUGCAUUGUAGUAAAAUGGCAAAAGAGUAUGAAGAUAGGGUUGAAACAUUUAUGAGGUUUGCUAUUACUAAUGCCGAAGGCAGUAGCGUCAUUAGAUGUCCAUGUACUAAAUGUAUGAAUAUAUCCUUUCAUACACAGAAGUGAAAUGAAAAUUAUGCAACCCAAAAGGGGGUGAAUUGGGAUUUUAAAUCUUGUGCUAAACAAUUCGCACAACAAUUUAAUCUAUUGCCUUAAUUAAAUAAAAAAUAAUAAAUUCAAUAAUGCACAAUAAUAAAAGAAUAAGGGAAGAGAAAGAAAACACAACAAUUUUUAUGUGGUUCGGCAAUCCCCGCCUACGUCCAUGCCUCCAAGCCAACCAAGCUUGAGGAUUUCACUAUCCAAGCCUCCCAAGGCUUCAAGUUCUUACAAUUGACUUCCAAGAUGUCAAUGAACUUUUACAAUCAAGAAAUUAUCUCCUCAAUCUCUUCACCCCAAGUGUUUCUCACACUUGUACACUCACAAUUUGAUGAGAAAUGAAAAUUACAACAAAAACUCUAUUUAAGAGUAGAUAUGCAAAUGAUAGCAUAAUAAUGAUUCAAUAAAUGAUGAUUUGUGAAAUAGAAGCUCAAUAUGUGUUAUAUGAUCUUAUUUAUGCUUGCAUAGACUUUUAAUUGAAGUUGGAGUUGGGUUUUUAUAGCUAAAGUCUAAAACCUAGCUGUUAUAGGUAAAUUUCCGCACCCAAGCAGUUAGCCACUUAAUUUGGCUAGCUAGCCGCUCCAGUAUAGUAAAUUAACUGUUAAAUUUGAAUUUGCUAUAGUAACACUAUUCAUAAAAUUAUAUUUUGCCCAAAACUUUUUAUAAUUAUACUAUGGCCAAAAACGUCAUGAAAUUUUGCAAACAUGUCCAAAUUUAGAAUUUCUAAAUAAUACUUGUCAUUCCCCAAACUUUUUGAAAUUAUGCUAUAGCCCAUCAUAUAAUAAUAUUUUUCAAAGACGUCCUUUUCAAAAUUUAACAAAAUAUUCAUAAAUAUCAAAGUUCUCAAAUCCUUUCAAUUUAAUCCAAAAUUUGAAAAUAUGAGAUUUUCCUCAGGUGGCUAGCCGCUAGCCCUUAGGCGCCGCUCAUUCUCUGUCCAAUUUUGGAUUUCAAGUGUUUGGAUUACAGUCGAGUCCUCAAACUUGCAUAAAUUAUAGUAUGGCUCAAAAUGUUUCAAAUGUUUGCAAAUAGGUCCAACUCUAGAAUUUAAAAUAAUACUUAUUAAAUUCAAAGAUUGUAAAACUUUUCAUUUUAGUCCAAAUUACUCAAAUCCACAAAAUAUUUUACCUUAUAAAUAUAAAACCUUUUAAUUUAUGAAAAGUAAUUAUUUAAAUAAACUCUUGAGCUUUUCAAAUGUUAAAUCAUACAUCAAUUAAAUCUUACUGGCUUUACAAGAAUUUGUCGUAAUAAUAUGUCCGUUGAGCUCUAAACUUUAUUCUUGAUUUCGCCAUUGUCCGUUGAGUGUCUUGAAUUUCAUUUCACUUGCAUAAAUAUUAUCCUUCCAAAACUAGUGAAAAUGUGAAAUGCAAUAUUUAUUAAAUUACUUAAGAUACAUGUUUGUUAUCAUCAAAAUUACAUUAUGUGUAGCCCUUUAGGCUAACAAUAAGGUUAUUCACGAACAUCUGUAUUUUCAUGGCUUUGAUGUUUCUUACACAACCUGGAGUUAGUAUAGGUAAGAUGUCCAUGACACACCACUUCCUAAUGUAGAAGUAAAUGUUCUGUUUAAGUUUAUGGACUAUGAUAAUGGUAACACAGUAGAUAUGGUUAACGAUGCUUAUAAGGAUUGUGUUGUAGAUCCUAAAGCAUUUAAAGAACUUCUAGAACAGGCUGAGAAGCCUUUAUACCCAGGAUGCAUAAAUUUCACUAAGUUAGGCACUUUGGUUAGCUUGUUCAAUAUAAAAGGUAAAUUUGGGUGGUCUAACACAAGUUUUACCGAGUUGUUAGGUCUUCUAGCCAAGUUGCUGCCUGAAAGUAAUGAAAUUCCUAUGUCUAUAUAUGAGGUAAAAAGACAAUGUCCGUUUUAGGCUUAGAAUAUGUGAAAAUACAUGCUUGCCCAAAUGACUGCAUACUCUAUAGAAAUGAGUAUGAAGGCCUCUUUGAAUGUCCUAGUUGCGGUUUAUCUAGAUGGAAAAAAAAAAGGAUGGUAGUGCUUACCAGUAUAGGAAAGGGGUUCCUGCGAAGCUUUUAUGGUAUUUUCCACCUACACCUAAAUUAAGCGCAUGUUUCAGUCCUCACAAACUGCCAAAGACUUGACUUGCCAUGCAAAUGAGAGAGUCGAUAAUGGUAAGCUCCGACAUCCGAUAGACUCACCAUCAUUGAAAUUAGUAAAUAACAAAUGGCUAACUUUUGCAUUAGAUCCUAGAAAUCUUCGCCUUGCCUUAUCAGCUGAUGGAAUAAAUCCACAUAGCUCUCUUAGUAAUACAUAUAGUUGCUGACUAGUUAUUCUAGUAACGUAUAAUCUUCCCUCAUAGUUGUGUAUAAAACAGAAAUUCAUGAUGUUAUCCCUACUAAUUUCUGGUCCUCAACAACUAGGCAAUGACAUUGAUGUGUACUUGGCUCCUUUGAUAGAAGGUUUGCAAACUUUGUGGGAAGUUGGGGUAGAGGGUUAUGAUGCCUAUAGAAAGGAGUUUUUUAAUAUGUUGGCUAUGUUAUUAUGGACUAUAAAUGACAUUUCGGCAUACGAAAAUCUAACUGGUUGCACUGUUAAAGGAUAUAAUGCUUGUCCAUAUUGUGGUGUAGACACUACUAAAUGUAGACUCAAACACAGUGGAAAAAAUGCAUAUAUCGGUCACCGUCGUUGGCUUUCUUAUGAUCACGAAUUUCGUGACCAAUAUAAAGCUUUUGACAACACAAUAAAGAGAGAGUUUGCUCCGAAACCGUUGAAUGGUGAGGGUGUUUUACGGCUGGUUGAUUCUAUUGAUUAUAAAUGGGGGAAGAACAAGCCAUUAAAACAUAAAAGUUCCAACAAUGAUGACCACAUAUGGUGGAAAAAAAAAUAUAUUCUAUAAUUUAGAGUAUUGGAAGCAUUUACUUGUGCGUCAUCAAUUAGAUGUUAUGCACAUUGAAAGAAUGUGUGCGAGAGCAUUUAUGGAACACUACUUCACAUUCCAGGAAAAACCAAAGAUGGUUUUAAGUCAAGGAAUGCUCUUGUGGACAUGAAAAUCAGGGAUGAACUAGCACCAACUUCAAAAAAAAAAAAAAACAAGUGCAUCUUCCUUCCUGCAGCUUGUUACACAUUAACUAGAGAUGAAAAGACAAGAUUCUGCAAAGCUUUGAAAAGUAUUAAAGUUCCUGCUGGAUAUUCCUCAAACAUUAGAAAUCUUGUGUCAAUGAAGAACCUUAAACUUCUAGGCCUUAAGUCAUAUGACUGCCUUGCUCUUAUGCAACAACUUCUCUCUAUUGCCAUUAGGUGUGUCUUGCCAAAGCAUGUGAAAGGAGCUUUAAUCAGGCUGUGCUGUUUCUUCAAUUUGUUGUGUUCCAAUGUGGUUGAUGUGACAACAUUGAAUAAAUUACAGGCAGACCAUGUGGUGACUUUAUGCUUGUUAGAAAAAUAUUUUCCUCCAUCUUUCUUUGACAUUAUGGUAUACUUGACUAUGCAUUUAGUCAAUAAAGUUAGAUUAUGUGGUCCGGUUUAUCUUCGGUGGAUGUAUCCCUUCGAGAGAUACAUGAAAACUCUUAAAAGUUAUGUUUGAAACCGCAACCGUCCUAAGGGUUGUAUAGCGGAGAGUUAUAUUACGGAAGAAGCAUUAUAAUUUUGUGCAGAAUACAUGUUAAACAUGAGUACAGUUGGGGUUCCACCUGGACAUGUGCAAAAGCUAUCAAAAGAUAAGCCACUGUGUGGUGGGAAAGUGGUGCAAAUUCUUGCAAAUUUGCUAGAUCAAGCACACUUGUACAUCUUGCAUAACACACAAGAAGUGGUAUCAUACAUUACGUAAUUUGAAUUAGCAUGAGAAAGCUGUCAUGGUUGGCUAUGUAUGGAGAUAAGUGUAUGGCCAAUAUGGAAUUCAUCACUUUGUAAUAUACAAAAAGGAUGUCUCUGUGAGAUAAUAUGAAUUGGCAUGAGAAAUCCUUGGCCAAGGUAAAAUAUGUUUGAAGGAGUUCAAAUUAUAUUUUCAUGCCAAGUUCAUUUAGAUUUAUUUUGAGAUAAAGUAUAAAUGCUUAACACACUAAAUCAUUAGCCGUGCUUUUCUCUGGACAUGGAUGAUGAAGAGACUAAAACAUAGAGAUACAAUGGAAUAGGUUCUAUAGAUCCAAUAAUUCUUGUUAUUUGGGUGGUUGUGAAAUACUGCUAGGUGUCACUCAUGACUUGUAGAAACAUUAAGAUCAUUAUUGGUAAAGCGUAUUACCAAUGUAUCUUAAGGUCAUUAGAAAAGUUCUAAUUGAUGACUAAAAAGUUUAGCAUCAUUUAAUGAAUAAAGAGUUAUCAUUAAAAUAGUUCUACUACCUUAUAACAAAGAACCUAAAAGAUCACACACCUAAUAGAAAUGAAAAAGGAGUUACUAGAAAAUGAGAAGUUAAAUUUCCUAAUUUUAGGAAAAUCAGUAUUUAUAUUAUAAUUCAUUAAGAAUGAAUAUAUAUAUAUAUAAAUAUAUCUUAAAUAUGAUUUAAGAUAGAAAUUUAGAUGUUCCAUAAAUAGUUUAAGGAACAAAAUAAAUUUCAUAAAUCCUCNNNNNNNNNNNNNNNNNNNNNNNNNNNNNNNNNNNNNNNNNNNNNNNNNNNNNNNNNNNNNNNNNNNNNNNNNNNNNNNNNNNNNNNNNNNNNNNNNNNNNNNNNNNNNNNNNNNNNNNNNNNNNNNNNNNNNNNNNNNNNNNNNNNNNNNNNNNNNNNNNNNNNNNNNNNNNNNNNNNNNNNNNNNNNNNNNNNNNNNNNNNNNNNNNNNNNNNNNNNNNNNNNNNNNNNNNNNNNNNNNNNNNNNNNNNNNNNNNNNNNNNNNNNNNNNNNNNNNNNNNNNNNNNNNNNNNNNNNNNNNNNNNNNNNNNNNNNNNNNNNNNNNNNNNNNNNNNNNNCAAGUAAAUUUAUAAUUUCAACCUUUACUGCUGUACGGCCAAGGCGGAUGUACGGUACAGCAGCCGUUGAAUGGUGAGGGUGUUUUACGGCUGGUUGAUUCUAUUGAUUAUAAAUGGGGGAAGAACAAGCCAUUAAAACAUAAAAGUUCCAACAAUGAUGACCACAUAUGGUGGAAAAAAAAAUAUAUUCUAUAAUUUAGAGUAUUGGAAGCAUUUACUUGUGCGUCAUCAAUUAGAUGUUAUGCACAUUGAAAGAAUGUGUGCGAGAGCAUUUAUGGAACACUACUUCACAUUCCAGGAAAAACCAAAGAUGGUUUUAAGUCAAGGAAUGCUCUUGUGGACAUGAAAAUCAGGGAUGAACUAGCACCAACUUCAAAAAAAAAAAAAAACAAGUGCAUCUUCCUUCCUGCAGCUUGUUACACAUUAACUAGAGAUGAAAAGACAAGAUUCUGCAAAGCUUUGAAAAGUAUUAAAGUUCCUGCUGGAUAUUCCUCAAACAUUAGAAAUCUUGUGUCAAUGAAGAACCUUAAACUUCUAGGCCUUAAGUCAUAUGACUGCCUUGCUCUUAUGCAACAACUUCUCUCUAUUGCCAUUAGGUGUGUCUUGCCAAAGCAUGUGAAAGGAGCUUUAAUCAGGCUGUGCUGUUUCUUCAAUUUGUUGUGUUCCAAUGUGGUUGAUGUGACAACAUUGAAUAAAUUACAGGCAGACCAUGUGGUGACUUUAUGCUUGUUAGAAAAAUAUUUUCCUCCAUCUUUCUUUGACAUUAUGGUAUACUUGACUAUGCAUUUAGUCAAUAAAGUUAGAUUAUGUGGUCCGGUUUAUCUUCGGUGGAUGUAUCCCUUCGAGAGAUACAUGAAAACUCUUAAAAGUUAUGUUUGAAACCGCAACCGUCCUAAGGGUUGUAUAGCGGAGAGUUAUAUUACGGAAGAAGCAUUAUAAUUUUGUGCAGAAUACAUGUUAAACAUGAGUACAGUUGGGGUUCCACCUGGACAUGUGCAAAAGCUAUCAAAAGAUAAGCCACUGUGUGGUGGGAAAGUGGUGCAAAUUCUUGCAAAUUUGCUAGAUCAAGCACACUUGUACAUCUUGCAUAACACACAAGAAGUGGUAUCAUACAUUAGGUAAUUUGAAUUGGCAUGAGAAAGUUGUCAUGGUUGGCUAUGUAUGGAGACAAGUGUAUGACCUAUAUAGAAUUCAUCACUUUGUAAUAUACAAAAAGGAUGUCCCUAUGAGAUAAUAUGAAUUGGCAUGAGAAAUCCUUGGCCAAGGUAAAAUAUGUUUGAAGGAGUUCAAAUUAUAUUUUCAUGCCAAGUUCAUUUGGAUUUAUUUUGAGAUAAAGCAUAAAUGCUUAACACACUAAACCAUUAGCCGUGCUUUUCUUUGGACAUGGAUGAUGAAGAGACCAAGACAUAGAGAUAUAAUGGAAUAGGUUCUAUAGCUCUCCUCCACUUGUUGCCAUUAGCCAUUCUUGCACAUGUGGCAAUAAUCCCUCCAAAAAGUAUUGGCAUUUGUGCCAUUUCUCGUACCCAUGAUGUGGACACUUCAAAAGUAGCCCAUUAAAUCGCUCCCAUGUUUCGAAAAACUGCUCGUCUUCUCUCUGGGUAAACUCUAAGAUUUCCCUGCGAAUGGCAUUGGUUUUAUGCACUGGGAAGUAUUUAUUCAAAAAUUUUGUUACCAUUUGUUCCCAUUAUGUAAUGUUAUUAGCAGGCAAUAUAUUGAGCCGUGAACAAGCUCUAUCCUUUAAAGAAAAUGAGAAUAAUCUAAGUUUAACAUCAUUGUCUGAAAAAUUCUCAUAUUUAAAAGUUUGACAAACAGCAUGAAAAUCAUUCAGAUAAUUAUAUGGGUCCUCAUUUUCUAAGCCAUAGAAUGUUGAGAGACAAUUUAACACACUAGGUUUUAGUUCAAAACUCCUAGCAGCUACAUUUGGGUAUCUUAUGCAUGAUGUGCUCAAAUUAGCUAAGGGACUGAAGUAGUCCUUAAAUGGCCUCUCCUCUGGUGGUUGUUGUUGUUGUUGCAAAUUCAUUUCACUUUUAUUUUUAAUUGCAACGUGUUUGUGUGGACGAAGUGUUUUUUCAACUUCAAGGUCUACAAGCUCAAGAUUAGGUAAUAAUAACCUUCGACCAUGCAUGCAAAGAACAAAAAAAUAAAUGGAAACAAAACAAAUAAAAAUAAAAAUAAAAAAGAAGGAGAAAUUACGGUACUAACCUUAUUACGCUAUUACAACCUUACUAUAACACUCUAAAAAAAAUACGUGAAAUAAAUUAACUAAAAAUAAAUUAAUAAGAUAAACAAAAAAUUACAAAGAAAAAUAAAUUGAAAAUUAAAUUACAGAAUUUUAAAGAAGAGAAAAAGAAAAGAAAUUCUUACCUCAAACUGUAGAUUCACUUUUUUUUCUUUUUUCUUUUUUAAUAAGAGAAAAAAUUACAAGAAUACAAUUAAAAGAAAUUAUUUACAAAAAUAAUUUCUACAAAUUAAAAUAACUUACCUCCCCGGGAACGGCGCCAAAAACUUGUUGUGCAAAUUUUAUUGAACUCGCAAGUGUACGAAUCUACUGUAGAAUAGAUUAAUGGUGAUGAGUGUCGAUCCCACGAGGAGGUAGAUUUUAAUUAUGUGUAGAAUUAAUUUUCUAAAUGGGUGGUUGGAUUUGUGGUAAAAAUGAUUUGGAAUAUCCUAAAAUUUAAAUUGAAAUGGCAGAAUUAAAUUAAGUGGAAACUAUUAUAAUUGAAGCACUUGGGUAUCUGGAUUCGCAUCAACAUGCACCAUGGGCUAAAUAUUUCUUAUUAAUGCCAACUAAAUCAUGAGGGGGGAAUCCAUACCUCAUGAACCACACUCUAAUCAAUAUGGUGCUAAGGGCUUAUCGUGCCAAAUAAUAAUAAUCUUGUACUAGGGAGCCGGUGAAACCAGAGCGGUAUCUAGACAAGAUUAUUACUAUUUGUCAAUGAAAAGUCAAAAUAUCCACAAUUCUAGACAAGAUUAUUACUAUUUGUAAGGGCUUAUCGUGCCAAAUAAUAAUAAUCUUGUACUAGGGAGCCGGUGAAACCAGAGCGGUAUCUAGACAAGAUUAUUACUAUUUGUCAAUGAAAAGUCAAAAUAUCCACAAUAAUUAGAGGGGAAGAGAAAUUAAAUUUACCAAAUAAAGCCCAUGGCACAUGUUGAGACUUCACCUUCAACCCAAGCUUAAAAAGAAACUUAGUCACUCAUAAUUGAACUAGGGGCAAAAUAGAAAUUUAUUAAAAUACGUAGAAAAUACAAGAUGGAGAAGGAAUUACAAAAAAUUGAACUCAAAAAUGAAUUCAGGGAUGUCAAAUUAGGGGGGAGAGUCCCUUUUUUAUAGAUACAUUGAGUAAAUUAUGGUCAUCAGAUUAAAAACAUUUCGGACGCUCAAGAUUGCGCCACGUCAUCAAUCAACAGUACACAGUUUGACCACACGGUUUGAACAGUGAUGUGGUUUGGUUGUAAGUUAUCCUGUGUACAUGCAUAUACUGUACGCACAAUUUUUGGUCCACUUAUAUGCUGCCAUGUCAUCGAUCAACAGUACAUAAAAAUUUUAGUCCAAUAGAAUCAUGACACCUCAUUAGUCAAUGUCACAUCAUCGAUUUGUCUAUGUAAACAGUGUCGUGAACAGUAACGUCGAUAGUACCAUACAUGUGAAUAGUACCGUAUAUGUAAACAGUGCUAUUUUUCCUUUUAUGCUCCUCCUAAUGUUUUCAACUGUCCUGAGUUCAAAAGUGAUGUCUGUUUUGCUGUUUGAACUCUCGUUCAUUGUAAAAUGAUCACGAUACCCCUAAAAUACAUAAAAUACUUAAUUACAAUAAAACACACAUAAUUAAAUUACAAUAGACUAAAAUACAUAAAAAUAGAAGUGUUAGUAAGACUUGAAAUGUAAAAUAACGAUUUUCUCCUUUAUAAAUAUACACUUUCUAACACUCAACAACAUACAUAUUUUAAUUACUUGAUUUGGGAGGACUAGAAAUAAGUUAAGACAUUUCCUACAUUCUGUUUUUCACCAAAAUCUAUCCGAGUUACAUGAUAUGGUCAUGAUCGAGAUAUUGUGAAAAGCAGUGGUAAAGCUAAGGUUUUAUAUUAAAUUAGACUAAAACAAAAAAAUAACAAUUAACUGAGAAAGCGGUAAUUUAUAUAAUUAUAUUUGAUAAACUAAAAAUAAAAGUAUCUACAUGAAAUUUUGAAGGUACUAGCAGGGGCAGCCCAGGAUAGCCCUCCGCUAGCUUUGCCACUGAACCUAAUAAAAUAAAUGGAAAAAAAGGAUCUAAGUUUUAAAUAUUAGGGAAAUAUGUUUUUAACAGUAUGAUUGAUUAAUUAAUCAAUCAAUUAAUUACGUAUAAUAAAUUACGACUUGAUUUUAGACGGCUAGAUAAUAUAAAUUUCAUUAAGAAAUGAGUUUAUUCCUUGGGUAAAUGCUCAUUUAGUUUUUAUAUUUUGACUUAAGUGUAUAUUUAGUCCAUAUAUUUAAAAUGUACCUUAAGACACCCUUAAUAUGUUUAAAGUGUUUCUUCUUCAACUUAUAUCCCUAACCCAUCAAAUUCAUCGAAUGAAGAAGCUGUCCGUGAUAAUGCAUGAUUACAGUACUUAUGUUCAUGGAGUAAAAAACAAUAAUCCUUCUAAAUUUAGCUUUUAGAUUUGGUAAAUUUAGCCCUUAAAUUCAGCUACGAGUAGAAGGAAUUUGAUUAGAUAAUAGCAGUUUUAAAGUAUUUGAGAUUAUUCAAUUAUAAGAAUAAGAUGUCUUGUAAUAAGACUGCUUGUGUAUUGAAAUAUAUGGAUUGUGUAAUAUAUAUUGAUAAUAUUUAAAUGUUAUGAAAGGUUUUGCAAUAUAAAUUGAUUUUUGUUGUUAUUUCUCAUUGCCUUUUAAUUUUAUCAACAAAUCAAUGGGCAACAUGUCAUUUUAUAUUUUUAUUUUUUAAUUAAUAAAUAUAAUAUUGAUACCAUAGUAACAAUAAUCACAAACACUAAUAUAGUAUUGUAAUGUUCUGAUACUAUGGUGUCAUGAUUUUGGUGAUACUAUAAUAAUAGUAAUCACUGAUACUAUACUCGUGACACCACAAACAAGUGUCACUAUUUUUUGGACUGCCAGAUUAAUGACACAAUUAGGAAGUGUCAGUAAUUACUUUUAGUGUAAUCUAGUAGUGUAAUUACUGACACUAUUCUAAUGUCAGUAAAGACUAUUUUUCUAGUAGUGUAAUUUAAUUUUCCUUUUAAGUUAAUCAAGGGAAGUAAUUUUCCUGUAUUAUAAAUAGAGAGGUCUCUUUUUUUUUUUUUUGGUUACAAAGGGGCUCUCAACAAAGAGCUAAGAAGCUAAGAAGAAACAAUAGAGAGGUCUCUUAUUGUUUUAAUAAUCUCAGCUUCAAUUAUCCAAUAAAACCGCUCUUUUAUAACUCCCUCUCUAAUCUCGCUUAAACGCGUUAUUAAAAAUCUCAUUGAAUUGUUUGGAUUAGAGCAAAAUUCUCCUCAUUGAGUUGUUUGGAUUAGAGCGAGAUCUAAUCACCCUUUGAUUAGAGCCUAAGCCUAAGCUAAUCACAUUGACUUGUUAGCAUGAAUCUCCCGAAGCUCAGCUAGUAAGAUGCGUCUAUUUAUGAAGAGAACACUUGAAUAAACAAAUGACAAGCAGCACCAACAAUUCUCAAGCUGAACCUUUUCUGUCACCGGUUGAGCAGUACAGGAGAGAACACUGUCAUUAGCAAUAGAUUCAUCCAUUAAAGCCCAAAGUUUGAAGUAGGAUUAACAGUGACCGCUAGUGAAGAAAGAUGAAUACGAUGCCGAAACCACUUGGGAUUGAAUUAAAAAUCCACCCUCGGUUCCGCAAUACCAGCAAAUGAAGGAUUAUGAAUAAAACGAACAUUGGCUAAUUCAUUGAGGACGCAGGAUGUCCUCAAUGGCUUUUCUGUAGCCCUUAAACGCCUUUUCUGAGAUUUGACAUUACAAUCUUGAAUCCAUCAAUUAUGAUGGAUUGGCUAAUUCAGAAUAAAACGAACAUUGGCUAAUUCUUCUUUUGAAUUCAGAUUAGCCACUCCCCGAAUAUUCCAAACUAAGAAUUUCAUUGAGGACGAAGGAUGUCCUCAAUGGCUUUUUCUGUAGCCCUUAAACGCCUUUUCUGAGAUUUGACAUUACUAUCUUGAAUCCAUCAGUUAUGGCUCUAAUAAAGAGUUUUGAGUCUGAGAAGGAUCUUCUCUUGAUUUUAACUCACCUCAGCUUUUAAAGGUUUUGUGCCGCUUGCUCAAUUAUUAUUUUGGGGCCUUUUUUCCAUGACUAGUAGCAUUGCUCUUGUUCAAGCUUUUAAUCCUAUUUAUAAAGCCCAUAGGCACUGGCUUUUUUCAAGAAGAACACUUUCUAAAUAGUAUGACAGGUGGCAUUUAUCUGUUGGAUAUAUACACACAUAAAUAUAUAUGUAUAUGUAUAUAUGUAUAUAGAGUUUUCACAUUAUUGGGAAAUUUUAAAUUCGCGUGAAAGUUUGUGACGACAUCUGCACUUAAGUGUGUGUGUGUGUGUUUGUGUAUACUUUCCCGUGACAUCAGAAUGAAAUAAAGUAAAAUUCGGCAUUUCACAACUGUUAAUAUAUUUUAACCAUUAUUUGUUCAGUUAACAAUAGCAUGGAUCAUAUCCUGUUAAUGCGAAUUCGUGAUUUAUUCAUUCAUCUAAUUAAAAAUAAGAUUUCCUUUGUUGAGAAGUACAAAAUUAAAAUAAUAUUUGGAAAUUGAAACAUUAUUACUUUAUUCCUUUUCUAACAGUUACCAUGGACUUAAAAAAAAAGAAUAGUGUUAUUAUUAAUUAAGUGCGAAUAAUAUCACCGGCAAUGUCAUAAAUACGAAAUUUGAUUACAUAAAUACUAGAAUCACUUGAAGUGAUUUAAUGAUAUUGUAUUUCAUUGAUAAUUAAUAUAAAGGAUAUUGAUAACACUAUGAAAUGAGAGUUAUCAUGACACUUUUAAAUUUAAAUCAAGAUUACUUAGAGAGUAAAUGACAUGUUUUUAUUACAUUUUAGUUAUAUUUUGCAUGAAUAUCAAUUUUAGUUUAUUUUUAAUAAAUUGUGUUGUUUUAGAAUAAUUUGUGUGCUUAGAUCGUAUACAUAAUUGUAGGUGACCGGAAGCUCAAAUUUCAAGGGAGGAAUGUUGUUGCAAUAGGCUUGCAAAGAUAAGGAAAAAACAUGGUUAUAGAAUAAUUGAAACAAGUCUGAAACAAUGUAUCUGUUGAAGCCAUUACUGUAGCACUCUUGCUGUAGCAAUUUUGGAGGAUUAACAAAGAAGAUUUCGCAAGAGAUACUUAGAAGAUUGCAAUCUGGAGUUUUUUAAAAUGGAAGAUACGCACCCUAAACAUCUGGUUGCCCUAAUUCUAAGCUAUAAAAGGAGCAUACACGCAAAGAAAAGAGGAGAGUCGUCACCCAAGCAGAAAAACCGUAAAGAAACAAAAGAAAAACAGAAUUCAAGAGAGAGAUUGAAGGCUGCACAAGAGGAGAAAACACAGAGAUCCAUUGAAAAUCAGUCCUUCUUGUUCUUUUCUUAUUUAUAUUUAUUCAUGGGGAUGUAUUUGAAGGCUAAAACUCUUUUAUUUAUUUUUCUUUCGCAAACCAUGAACUGAAUUUGAUUGUAGUUGAGUGAUAAACGAUCUAAUAGAUGUUUGACUGACAUAUGCGUGUUGCUCUAUGUUUGUUGCAGCAGUUUGUCUUAAUUGUAUUUGUUUUAAUUCCCUAUUUUGGUUGAUCACCCAUUUAGUGGAUACUAGCUAAGAAGGAGCUUUAAAAAGGUCAGACUUAGUGGAACAAAUUAAGACAAUACUUGGUUUUAGAUUGGGUUUCGCAAUUUGAGUUAAUCUCGAUUUGAAUAGGGUCAUACUUAAUCCAAGAUUAGUGAAGAACUAGACAAAAGGAUUCACCUUGCAGGGUAAUUAAAACCUAGAACGCAUAUUGUUAUAUCUAAUAGGAAGGGAAUAAUGUUGUUUUUCCCUGGUUAACCAUAAAUAAUUUGGCCAUUCUGACUUCCUUAACCUCCUUGUGCAUUUACUGGUUGUAUUUUUCCUCUAGGGUUCAAAUUCCCAAUAUCUUACAAAUCAUCCAUAGCUACAGUAGCUUUUGAAUUUCUUUACUCUUUUCUCAAUCUCCUUGCAGUUCUUUCAAUUUCUGGAUCAAACUGGAAUUCAACAAGUUUAUAGUUGUGCAUGAAAGGGUUGUUAGAUCACUUCUAUCAACAAAAUAAACAAAUUAAAAUACAAUAAAAAAUUAGCACUGUUUAAGAUUAAUUUCACAAAUCACAAUGAAUAAUUAAUCUCUCGCAACGUCACCAAAAACUUGGUGUGUGCAAUCUCUAACGUUAUGGGUGUCAAUGUACAAAGUAGCAAACGGACGCGCUAUCGAUGACUAGAGGGAGAUAAAUAGAGCGUGGCCCUAAUGAGAGUUACAAUAAUGGUAGAUCAAAAUCAAGAAGUAAAAAGAAUGUCAAAUGCUACAAUAGUGGCAAGAAAGAGCAUGUCAAGAAAGAAUAUUUGAACAGCCAAAAGAGAAGAGAGGGUAAAGAUCUUGAGUCACCAAAUGCCCAGAGGUGUGUAGCAAGUACCUUAGAUGAUGGUGACGUUUUACACAGUGAGUUAGCAAUGGUUUCAGCUGCUGUACCGUACAUCCGCCUUGGCCGUACAGCAGUAGAUUCCAUUUACCCUACAAGGUGAAUCCCUAUGUCUAGUUCAUCAUUAAUUUCAUAUCAAGCAUGCCCCUAUUCAAAUUGAGAUUAACUUAACUUAGGAAACCCAAUCUAAAACCAAGUAUUGUCUUAAUGAGAUCCACUGAGUCAAACCUUUUUGACGCUCUUUCUAAGCUAGUAUCCCUAAAUGGGUGGUCAGCCGAAAUAAAGAAUUAAAUUAAGUGCAAUUAAGACAAAAUUCUAUAGCAAACACAAAGCAACAAACUUAUAUCAACCAAUCAUCCAUUAAGAUCGUUUAUCACUCAACUACAAUCAAAUUCAAUUCAUGAUUAGCGAUAGAAAAAUAAAUAAAAGAGUUUCAACCAUCAAAUACAUCCACAUGAAUAAAUACAAAAUAAGAAAAGAAUAAGAAGAACUAAUUUCUGAUUGAUCUCUGCAAUUUCUCAUGUUUUGCAGCCUUCAAUCUCUCUCUUGAUUUAUGUUUUCUUGUGUUUUUCUUUGCGGUUUUUCCCUUGGUUGACAACUCUUCCUUUUUCUUUGUGUGUGUGCUCCUUUUAUAGCUUAUAAUUAGGGCAACUAGAAGUCUAGGGUGCGUAUCUUCCAUUUUUGGAAACUCCAUAUUGUAAUUUUCUAAGUAUGUCUUGCAAAACCUUCUCUAUCAAUGCUGCAGGACUGCUACAGCAACGGCUACUGCAUGUUACUUGAAAUUUAAACUUCCGAUCACCUGCAAUGAUGCAUAUGAUCUAAGCACAAAUUAAUCUAAAACAAACUCAAUUUAUUAAAAAUAAACUAAAAUGGAUAUUCAUGCAAAAUAUAACUAAAAUGCAAUAAAAGCAUGUCAUUUACUCUCUAAGUCUUACCGAUUCAAGUCUAAAAUUGUCAUGAUAACUUUUAUUUCAUAGAGUUAUCAAUGAUAUGUGAUGCCAUUCGGGUUGUUCAAGCAUCAAGUGAUUCAUGCGCUUGAUGAAUUAAGUUCUUGAGACUUUUUACUGCAAAUUUGUCAUAAUGUAUUUUGAUGAUAUAUUGUUUUAUUCUGAUGAUAUGGUAGCGUAUUUGGAGCAUUUGAGAAUAGUUAUGGAGGUGUUGUGGAGAAAUAAGUUUUAUAUUAAUCUGAAGAAGUAUAACUUUCUACAGAGUAAUAUAGAGUUUUUAGGUUUUAUAGUUGGUGUAGAUGGAGUUAGAGGUAUUAAGUCAAAGAUACAAGCCAUUUGAGCUUGCGCUUAAGACUGUGGGUGAAGUUAGAAUUUUUAUAGGAUGGCAAUGUUUUAUAGGAGAUUUAUUCAUGAUUUUAACAUUAUAGCUGCACCUAUUAUAGAAUGUUGAACAAAGGGAAGUGCAAGUAAGAGGAAGAGGAAGAAGCAAGUUUUGCUUUAUUAAUGUAAAAGUUGUCCAUUGCACCUGUAUUAGCCUUGCCACACUUCAAUAAGUUGUUUAAGGUCGAUUGUGAUGCUUUUGGCAAGGGUAUUGGGACUGUUCUUUCCCAAGAAGGCGACCAAUUAAGUAUAUGAGUGAGAAGCUAAACAGAGCAUGGCUGAAGUGGUGUACUUAUGACCAAGAGUUUUAUGACAUCCUUAGGGCGUUAAAGUCAUGGGAGCAUUACUUAGUUUAGAAGAAGUUUGUGCUUUACAGUGAUCAUUAAGCCUUGAAGUACUUUAACAGCCGGCAAAAUCUGAGUAAGAUGCAUGUGACCUGGGUAAGCUAUAUGAAGAAGUUCACUUUUAUUGUGAAGCAUAAGUCUGGGCAGUAGAAUAAGGUGGUAGAUGCACUUAGCAGGUGAGCAAAUUUACUGGUAACUCUUGUCAAUGAAGUUAUUAGUUUUGAUUGCUUGAAGGAGUUGUACGUUGAAGAUGAAGACUUUGCGCAAAUUUGGGAUCGUUGCAUCAACCAUCAAAAUGCGAAUGAUUUCCUAAUUCUAGAUGUGUAUCUAUUCGGUGCUAGUUAAUUAUGUGUGCCUUAAAGCUAUUUAAAGGAACAGAUCAUCUGUGAGUUACAUGGCAAAGGAGGUAGACAUAUUAGAUGAGAUAAGACUAAAUGCUUAUGAAAGAGCGUCAUUAUUUGCUGUAGUUGAAUAGAGAUAUGUGAAAGAUCGUGAAAAGAUGUUUUGCUAAGAAGGUAAGGGACACGUGCAAAGUAUAGAAUUAUACAUGCCAUUACUUGUUCUAGAAAAUAUUUAGUUAGACUUUUCAAUGGAUUUUAUGUUAGGAUUGCCAAGCACAAGGAUAGGUCAAGAUUCUAUAUUGGUGGUGGUGGAUAGAUUUUCGAAGAUGGCGCGUGUUAUUGCUUCUAAAAAGACUGAAGAUGCCACUUUAGUUGUGCAUUUGUUCUUUUGAGGUAUUGUGUUUGCAUGGUGUUCCAAAGACUAUCCCUUUUGACAGAGAUGUGAAGUUCAUCAAUAAGUUUUAACGUUAUCUCUAGGAUAAGUUUAGCGCACAAUUCCAGUUUAGUAGUGCUUUUCAUCUACAAACAGACAGUCAAACAGAGGUUGUUGAUAGCUCUAUAAAAUGAGAGUUAUCAUGGCACUUUUAGACUUAAAUCAAUACUACUUAGAGUAAAUGAUGUGUUUUCAUUGCAUUUUUGUUAUAUUUUGCAUAAUCAUUUAUCUUAGUUUAUUCUUCACAAAUUUUGUUUGAUUUAGAAUAAAUUGUGUGCUUAAAUCAUAUGCAUAAUUGUAGGUGACCGAAAGCUCAAAUUUCAAGGAAGGAAUGCUAAUGCGAUAAGCUUGCAAAAGAUGGAAAAGAACUUGGCUACAGAAAAAUUGAAACAAAUCUGGAACAGUGCAGUUGCUGUAGUCAUUGUUGUAGCAACCAUUGCCAUUGUUGUAGCAAUCCUGUAACAACGAAAGAGAAAAUUUUACAGAAUAUUACGAUCUGCAGUUUCCUGCUGUACCGUACAUCCGCCUUGGCCGUACAGCAGAACGGCUACUGCAUGUUACUUGAAAUUUAAACUUCCGAUCACCUGCAAUGAUGCAUAUGAUCUAAGCACAAAUUAAUCUAAAACAAACUCAAUUUAUUAAAAAUAAACUAAAAUGGAUAUUCAUGCAAAAUAUAACUAAAAUGCAAUAAAAGCAUGUCAUUUACUCUCUAAGUCUUACCGAUUCAAGUCUAAAAUUGUCAUGAUAACUUUUAUUUCAUAGAGUUAUCAAUGAUAUGUGAUGCCAUUCGGGUUGUUCAAGCAUCAAGUGAUUCAUGCGCUUGAUGAAUUAAGUUCUUGAGACUUUUUACUGCAAAUUUGUCAUAAUGUAUUUUGAUGAUAUAUUGUUUUAUUCUGAUGAUAUGGUAGCGUAUUUGGAGCAUUUGAGAAUAGUUAUGGAGGUGUUGUGGAGAAAUAAGUUUUAUAUUAAUCUGAAGAAGUAUAACUUUCUACAGAGUAAUAUAGAGUUUUUAGGUUUUAUAGUUGGUGUAGAUGGAGUUAGAGGUAUUAAGUCAAAGAUACAAGCCAUUUGAGCUUGCGCUUAAGACUGUGGGUGAAGUUAGAAUUUUUAUAGGAUGGCAAUGUUUUAUAGGAGAUUUAUUCAUGAUUUUAACAUUAUAGCUGCACCUAUUAUAGAAUGUUGAACAAAGGGAAGUGCAAGUAAGAGGAAGAGGAAGAAGCAAGUUUUGCUUUAUUAAUGUAAAAGUUGUCCAUUGCACCUGUAUUAGCCUUGCCACACUUCAAUAAGUUGUUUAAGGUCGAUUGUGAUGCUUUUGGCAAGGGUAUUGGGACUGUUCUUUCCCAAGAAGGCGACCAAUUAAGUAUAUGAGUGAGAAGCUAAACAGAGCAUGGUUGAAGUGGUGUACUUAUGACCAAGAGUUUUAUGACAUCCUUAGGGCGUUAAAGUCAUGGGAGCAUUACUUAGUUUAGAAGAAGUUUGUGCUUUACAGUGAUCAUUAAGCCUUGAAGUACUUUAACAGCCGGCAAAAUCUGAGUAAGAUGCAUGUGACCUGGGUAAGCUAUAUGAAGAAGUUCACUUUUAUUGUGAAGCAUAAGUCUGGGCAGUAGAAUAAGGUGGUAGAUGCACUUAGCAGGUGAGCAAAUUUACUGGUAACUCUUGUCAAUGAAGUUAUUAGUUUUGAUUGCUUGAAGGAGUUGUACGUUGAAGAUGAAGACUUUGCGCAAAUUUGGGAUCGUUGCAUCAACCAUCAAAAUGCGAAUGAUUUCCUAAUUCUAGAUGUGUAUCUAUUCGGUGCUAGUUAAUUAUGUGUGCCUUAAAGCUAUUUAAAGGAACAGAUCAUCUGUGAGUUACAUGGCAAAGGAGGUAGACAUAUUAGAUGAGAUAAGACUAAAUGCUUAUGAAAGAGCGUCAUUAUUUGCUGUAGUUGAAUAGAGAUAUGUGAAAGAUCGUGAAAAGAUGUUUUGCUAAGAAGGUAAGGGACACGUGCAAAGUAUAGAAUUAUACAUGCCAUUACUUGUUCUAGAAAAUAUUUAGUUAGACUUUUCAAUGGAUUUUAUGUUAGGAUUGCCAAGCACAAGGAUAGGUCAAGAUUCUAUAUUGGUGGUGGUGGAUAGAUUUUCGAAGAUGGCGCGUGUUAUUGCUUCUAAAAAGACUGAAGAUGCCACUUUAGUUGUGCAUUUGUUCUUUUGAGGUAUUGUGUUUGCAUGGUGUUCCAAAGACUAUCCCUUUUGACAGAGAUGUGAAGUUCAUCAAUAAGUUUUAACGUUAUCUCUAGGAUAAGUUUAGCGCACAAUUCCAGUUUAGUAGUGCUUUUCAUCUACAAACAGACAGUCAAACAGAGGUUGUUGAUAGCUCUAUAAAAUGAGAGUUAUCAUGGCACUUUUAGACUUAAAUCAAUACUACUUAGAGUAAAUGAUGUGUUUUCAUUGCAUUUUUGUUAUAUUUUGCAUAAUCAUUUAUCUUAGUUUAUUCUUCACAAAUUUUGUUUGAUUUAGAAUAAAUUGUGUGCUUAAAUCAUAUGCAUAAUUGUAGGUGACCGAAAGCUCAAAUUUCAAGGAAGGAAUGCUAAUGCGAUAAGCUUGCAAAAGAUGGAAAAGAACUUGGCUACAGAAAAAUUGAAACAAAUCUGGAACAGUGCAGUUGCUGUAGUCAUUGUUGUAGCAACCAUUGCCAUUGUUGUAGCAAUCCUGUAACAACGAAAGAGAAAAUUUUACAGAAUAUUACGAUCUGCAGUUUCCUAAUCUGGAAGACACAUGACCUAGGCUUCCGUUUACCCUAAUUUUCAAUUUUAAAAGGAGCACACAUCAUAAGGAAAAGAGGGAGCCGUCACCCAAAGAGAAAAACCACAAAGAAACAAAAGAAAAACAUGAUUCAAGAGAGAGAUUAAGGGCUACAAAAGAGGAGAAUUUACAGAAUUCAUUCGGGAACUCAGUCCUUCUUAUUUUUCUCUUGUUUUCUUAUUUACUAUUUAUUCAUGGAGAUGUGCUUGAUGACUGAAACUUUGUUCUUUAUUUUUCUUUUGCAAACCAUGAACUAAAUUUAUUUGUAGUUGAGUGAUAAACAAUCUUGAUGGUUUAUUGAUUGAAUUUAUAUGUUGCUGCAUGUUUGCUGUAUCAUUUUGUUUUUGUAGCAUUUAUUUUUAUUCAUUAUUUCGGCUGAUCACUCAUUUAAUGAUGCUAGCUAAGAAAUAGCCACAAAGGACCUAUCUUAGUAGAACAUAUCAGAGCAAUACUUGGUCUUAGAUUGGGUUUCCUGAAUUGAGUUUUACUUGAGUCCAAAAGAGUCAUGCUUGAUCUAAGAUUAGUGAUGAACUAGAUAUAGGGAUUCACCUUGUACGGUAAUUAUAACCUAAGUGUGUAAUGCUAUAUGUUAUGUUGGCAUAACAACUGAUCACUGUUAGGUUGCAUAUAGAUAUAAGACAUCCAACAAGCAACAGCUGAGGAUACAUAAGGAUUUUGCCCAGUACUGUAGCAGAUGCUGGAGAAAUCGGACAAACAUUAGAAAAAUAGUCAAAACAAUUUAGAGAAUUUAUCCACUCAACUACUCUAUAUUCCCAUUGGUUUUAUCUUUGAGUUUGACCUGAUAAUUUACUUUGUUACAUUUUAUUUAUUGCGUUUUUAUUUUAAUUAGUAUGUUAGUUUUAUUAAUUGUUUUAUUUUAAUUUAGAACAAAAUCAACACUGUUAAAAUUAUUGUAGCAAAUCUGAUAACAUCAAUCCCUGUGGAGACGAUAUUGAAUACUCAUCAUUAUAUUACUUGUUGUAUACACUUGCACAUUGACACCAAUACCAUUUGAAUUUAGUACUAAUAGUGGUCAAUCGCACUUUGGGCAAUAUGUCACGGUGUGUUUGUGCUGACAAGCAACGAAACUGGGAAUCCACCAUACUUCAAGUCAAGUUUGCUUACAAUAGCAUGGUCAAUCUAGCAAGACCCCUUUUGAGAUUGUCAACACUUGUUUCCCACGCCAUGUUUGUGAUCUGGCUAUCAUGCCUACAAGGGUAAGAGGAAGUAAAACAAUAGAUAAUUGUUGGUAUAAAUUCAAAUGCUAGUGGUGUCAAUGUGCAAGUGUACACAACAAGUAAUAUAAUAAUAAGUAUUCAAGAUCGUCUCCACAGGGAUUGAUGUUACUGAAAUUGAUACAGCAAUCUUAACAGCGCAGUUUUCCUUAAAUGAAAAUAUAUUAACAAUUAAACUAAUACACUACGUAAUAAAAUGCAAUACAUGACUAAGCAGAAAACAAACUUUAACGUCACACACAUAAAGAUAAAAUCAAUAGGAGUAAAGUAGUUGAGUGAUUAAACUCUCUUAAUGGUUUUGACUAUUUCUUUUAAUUCUAAGUUCAGUUGCUAGAGCAUCUGCUAUAACAUUGGGCAGAAUCCUUAUGUAUCCUCAGCUGUCGCAUGUUGAAUGUCUUAUAUCUAUAUGCAACCUAACAGUAACCAAUUGUUAUGCCAACAUAAGAUAUAGCAUUACACAUUUAGAUUCUAUUUACCCUACAAGGUGAAUCCCAAUGUCUAGUUCAUCACUAAUUUUAGAUUAAGCAUGGCCCUUUUGGAAUUAAGUAAACUCAACUCAGGAAACCCAAUCUAAAACGAAGUAUUGUUCUAAUAUGUUCCACUAAAAUAGGCCCUUUUGUGGCUCUUUCUUAGUUUGUAUCAUUAAAUGGAAAGCUUUACCAAAACAAAAUGCUAUAGGAAAUAUGCAGCAACAUAUAAAUUCAGUCAAUUAAAAUUGUCUAUCACUCAACCACAAGUAAAUUUAGUUCAUAGUUUGUGAAAAGAAAGUAAGCAACAAUGUUUCAGCCAUCAAAUACAUCUUCGUGAUCAAAGAAUAAACAAGAAAACAAGAAAAAAAUAAGAAAGACUAAAUUCCAAUUGAUUCCCACAAAUUCUCCACUGGUGCAGCCUUGAUUCUUGCUCUUGAAUUCUGUUUUUCCUUUGUUUCUUUUAGGUUUUUUAUCUAGGUUGACAACUUCUCUUUUCUUUUGCGUGUGUGCCUCUUUUAUAGCACAAAAUUAGGGUAAACGGAGGUUUAGGGCGCACAUCUUCCAGAUUAGGAAACUACAUAUCGCAAUCUGUUAUUUGCUUCGCACGAGAUUUUUUCUAUCAAUAUUCCAGGAUUACUACAGCUCUGGUUGCUACAGCAUCUGCACUGUUCCAGACUUGCUCUAAUUCUUCUAUAGCCAUGUUCUUUUGUCCUUUUUGUAAGCCCAUUGCCACAACAUCCUUCCCAUUAAAUUUGAACUUCCGGUUACCUACAAUUAUGCAUAUGUUUUAAGCAGACAAAUAUUUGAACUCAAACAAACUUUAUUAAACUUAAACUGAAAUGGAUGUUAAUGCAAACUGUCAUUAAAAUGCACUAAAACACAUCAAUUACUCUCUAAGUAAUCUUGAUUUAAACCUAAAAGUAUCAUGAUAACUCUCAUUUCAUAGAGUUAUCAAUAAUAUGGUAGAAAAGGCUCUUUAGAUCCAUGUUGAGGUUGAAGCUCACUUAUAGGCUUCCAAUGCUAAGUACAAGGCUAAGGCAGACAAGUACUGACAUAAGAAGGUGUUUUAAGAGGGUGAUUUGGUGAUGGCGCAUUUGUGGCAUAGUCGAUUCCUUAGUAUUCAUGCCAAGUUGGAAAAGUGAAAGUACAAUCCAUUUCAUAUGGCACAAAUACAUUAAUGACAAAACUUAUGUGCUUCAGCUACUGGACAAUUGGAAUAUCUCUCACACUUUCAACGUGACUCAUUUGUUCGCAUAUCAUCCAGAUGAUGAGGAGUUGUAUCAGACUAACUCGAGAAUGAGUUUUUUUUUUUCAAGUGAGGGGGAUUGAUGUAGGAUGAUUGUGUAUUACAGGUAGGAUACCUUCCGGAGGCCAUAACCUAGGCUACAGGUGUUCAUUUUCAACAUGUAAUUAAUGCAACGGAAAUUUAAGGUUCUAAUAUUCCGUUGAUUCUAUAGAAUACUGGUAUUAAAGAAUAAACUAAAUUCACAUUGAUUCGAAAAAGAAUUCUACGAAUUUAGGGGGUUAAGGCUCAUUGAUUUUGCAGAAUAUCGAGAAUUAACUAAAUUCAAAUACUCACACAAAAGAUUUGAAAAUUAAAAAUAUUAUUGAAAAUCAAAAUCUGCCUUUAAAGGCUACAAGAGAGAGCUACUUAUAUUAGUAAUACUUAUCCUAAAUAAAAGUCCUAAAUCUUAGUUAAUAAGGAAACUAAUCCUAGUAUAAUAUAGACCCCUAAGCUUACGAUGAGACGUAUCAAAUCCAUAAAGCUUGCAUUUGUUCUACCUUGUGGUCGAGCCAAAAAUUUCAUUUCAUUCCUAGAAGUUUUUCAGUUUUAAGAUUUUUUCCUAUUUUUCCUGAUUCUUCUAGGAUUUUUAUCUUUUCUUCUAGAACUCAAAUUUGAAUGCCAUUUGUUUCCUUUUCUUAUUUUUAUUAGGAGAUUUUUAUUAUAAAAGAAUAUUUUAAAUCUACCUAUUUUGGUAAAUUUGCGAUAUUUAGAAUUAUUAUAUAAAGGAGUCUAAAACGCUAGUUUUAUAUUAUUCCGAAUUAUUCAAUAAUGAUAUAAGACACACACACACAUAGUAGUCAACCUAUUUCCAAUGUUUCCGUUUCAUCACUUAUGCAACAGAACAACAAGCAAAUGAUAUAAGACAUCACACACACACACACAGAGCCUAGAAGAAUCAGGAAGCUUCCCACACCAACCUUUAAGAUGACUUCCUAGUCACUGUCGGCUGCUUGAAUUUAUUUAUUUAUUAUAUACAUUAUAAUUAUUGGCAAUAAAUUGUUAUUGCCCACAAAGUAAAGGAACAUACAUAUUGACUUUAGAUUACAACGCCUAAUACUAGAGUCACCUAAUAUUGCCCACAAAUUAAAGGAGAAUAUGUAUGUACAUAUAUAUUUGGAUGGAAAUUUUUCAAUCUAGGAUUUUAAAGUGCGGGAAAGUUCAAGAAAAUUUUGAAACUGUGCAGUUUUAAAUCUUAAUUUCAUAAUUCUAUUAAACCUCACAGUUUUAAUAUUUUCCCAAAUUUUUCCGUACUUUAAAAUUCUGGACUGAAAAACUACUAUGUGUGUGUGUGUGCGUGCGCAUAUAUGUGUGUGCGUGCGCAUAUAUACAAACCAAUUACUGUAGCCAUCAUGUGAGCCAUUGAAAAUUGUUUCUGAAAACCGCCACAUUUUGGCAGUUCUGGCCACAUUUUCCAAAUUAAAUUAAUAAUAUUUUGAAAGAAAAGACUAUUAUUGCUGAUAGUUUGUCUUGGAAUUACCUACGCCCCAAUCACCCACCUCGGCACACUCGGCUACUUCAUUCUCUAUAUAUACCCCACAUGCGUACGUAUUAUAUCAAACCAGAAUCAAGAACUCGCAAAACCAACUUAAUUACUUUGUAAUUUUGAUUCCGGAAGAAGUUAUCUUUUCUAUUUUGAAGAUUAUGGAAACUAUCUGCGCAGGUUUUUUGAGCAAUUUUAGUUGAAUAUCAUUUAUAAUUCUUAUUUUAAUAUAUUUAUGAUUAAUUCUUCUAAUAUGAAUUUUUCAGUUAAUAAUAAUUGGUCAGAGGGACUCGUCCUGCUAAUUCUUCUUCUCAGUGUUGCUGAUGAUGACAAUGUGAAUGACAAUCUUGAUCUUCUUGUUGUCCCUCAAUACGGGAGAAAUGCCGACUACACUGGUUAAUUACACUGUUACUCUUUUAUGUUAUGUUUAAUUGUAUAAAAUAAUAAGUAUUGUUACUUAUCGUUUUGUUAAUUACGUGACUGUCAGUUUGGUUCAAUUCAACUGAUAAAAUCUCUAUAGACAUAAGAGAUUUUAUUUGUUUAUUUACGUGUAUUGUGUAUUCCUAAAAAAGGAAAUAAAUAAAUAAAUAAAUAUUGUUGUGUGUCUAUGAGUUAAUAUUUAGUCUAUCCUUGUUUGCUUAAUUAACUCUCUCUUCUUGAUUAUCUUUUUCCAAAACAAACUCCAAAUAAUGGUUAACUAAUUGUUGCAGCUAGCAAGUGAUCUUAGAUCAUAAUUUAUUGAAAUAGACAAUGCAAGUAAAUUUAUAAUUUCAACCUUUAAAACAGUCAUGCCGUUUAGUAGGCUUAGGUUAAUCAACAAAAUCUUCGGCCAUAAUCACUAUUAAUUUGUUAAUUAUUUUGUUAAAUAAUGCGAAGUUACAAAAUUUUGUCUCUGAAUGUUGAGUUAAAAGCCUUUAAUCAUAUAUAUGAUCCCAUCAUCUGAACAUUAUUUGUUAAUAAUUAUGUAGAAGAUCUAUUAACUAAUGGAUUGAAACAAAAAAAAAAACCGAAACCCAAAAAACCUCUCUCUAACUUUCUCUCUCUAAAAAUUAUCUCAACUCAUCUCUGAUGCCCUUCUUUCUUCAUCAUCCCUAAAUGGCUUUUAUGGCCCCUUCGGCCGCCAGUGAUGGCGAUCGGUCAUCACCGGUAAACACACUACCCCCGAGAAGAGUUUCACAGGUUCUUGGAUCCACCUAGGAAAUCUUUUAGGAAGCCACCAAAAUUCACCAACGAACCACCACCUGACCUAAGGCUACCAUCACCACCAGAACCUAAGCCUAGACGAUCAAAGAGAUUGCUCAACCAGUGGCAAACAGCCCAUAAUCCACAUAUACAAUUACCACAUACCCUUACGAACCACCCUGAAGGAGAGUCACCACCAACAUCCACUGCCUCUAUCCUUUCUAAACCUCGUCAGCAAUCGAUUACGGUGAAUGAUCAAGAAGAAAUGUCAGAAGAUCAUGAACAAGGCGCUCCACCUCUCCAUGCAAAUAGCUUCCAUGGCGGCCAAGAGGAUGACGAAAAUCGCCGUGAGGAAACAAAUCAGUCACCCCCUCAUAAAGGUGAAAACGGAAGUCAAUCUCCGACCAAAGGCUUCACCUCCAACCAUGAACAAUCGCAACUUGGUAAAUCACAAGAUCCAACCUCCAUCGCCCUUGUACAAGAUCCACAACAACUCACGGCUGUUAACCUUGUAACCACCGUGAAUAGCCAAGAUGAAGCUUCUCAACCACCCUUGGAUUGCACACCUUUUGGUCCAAAAACGGCAUCUCCCAAAAGUCAGCAAAGAGAACUAGCUUUAGUCCCACUCACAUGCAAAAUUCCCGAAAUUCCCUCACAAAUUUUGACUACAUGCAAUCAUAUCCACUCCACCACCACCCACCAAUUAUUGUCCCCCACUCACACUAAGCCUCAUGACUCCAAUCACUCCGCUUUGUCUUUUUUCCAAGAUUUAAACAACACCAAUUCCGCCUCCCAACAAAUUCCACGUGAAAACAUCACAGGCAAUGAUUUGUGGCUCCCACCACUCAUAUAUUAUCCCCUUCACAUGCCUCGGCCCCCACCACAAGGAAUGGCAAAAAGCGGAUCUAGACCGAGUUUUUCAAGUCCAGCUCAAGCUGCCUUAAGUUUAGUAUGAGGGUCUGGACCGGACUCGGGUCGGAUUUGGAUUUUAUUUAUUUUUAAAUUUUUUUUAAAUUAUUGUAAAUUUAAAAUAAAUUAAUAAUCAACAAGUUAUUAUAAUCAUAGAUAAAUAAAAGAAAAUAAAUAUUUUAAAGUAAAAUAAUAAAUAAAAUAAAUAAAAGCUCAUAACUUUAAUUUUUUUUUCAUAUUGAAUUCUCUUAUUCGAAUGCUCUAUUAAUUAAUUAACACAAAAG